rnacentral:lncRNA from 1 species
ACGUACAAGGUGAAGCUGGUGACGCCCGAGGGCGAGGUGGAGCUGGAGGUCCCCGACGACGUCUACAUCCUCGACCAGGCCGAGGAGGAGGGGAUCGACCUGCCCUACUCCUGCCGCGCCGGCUCCUGCUCCUCCUGCGCCGGCAAGUUGGUGUCCGGCGAGAUCGACCAGUCCGACCAGAGCUUCCUCGACGACGACCAGAUGGAGGCCGGGUGGGUGCUCACCUGCCACGCCUACCCCAAGUCCGACAUCGUCAUCGAGACCCACAAGGAGGAGGAGCUCACCGCAUAAGCUGCUAUACCUAUCUCUCUUUGCAACGAGAUCGAGCUGAUAUCAUAUUAUCUCCUUAUCAUGCAUGCAUUGACAUGGCCAGAUACUCCGAUUUGUUUGUGCUCGAAUGAAUUGCUCGAUGCGUGAUUUGGUCAAGUAAUAAUGUCUCCGAAUUACCUUUUUGUACCGUAAGAUAUACUACUGUCGUAAUACUAGCGUGUACGUAAUUCAACGUACUGAAAUGAAUCCUGAUGGCUGAGGAGUCUCUCUGAUUAAUAAUAUCUUCUUUUUAAUUAAGAGACUGUUGAAUGUUGGUUUCCAGGAAUUUGAUGAACAUCUUACCUGCGGCUUUCUUCUAUGCAGAUAAUAGGUGCAUGUUACGACUUGUUUCAAUAUGAGUUUUGAGUUGCACGAUUUCCUCAUUAUUUUGUUUAGCUUGCAAAAUGAUUCAGGCUAGCAGGAUGUUUGUUAUGUUAGGAUUUAAACUAAUUCUAUUAAUUAGGGAUAAUCCUUCCUUGUAUUUAGCGUACGGUUUGCCUCCAGGCAACCGUCGCGUCGUACGUGCUAGGGCCUCUCGAGGCAACCGUCGCGUCGUACGUGCUAGGGCCUCUCGAGGCAAUCGUCGCGUCCGCUUCUCCCAUCUCCAUGAACAGACACGUCUUCUCUUGGCGUCCGUUCCCUUUGUAUAAAUGUGUUGAUCAUCAAUAGAAUAGAACAUAGUUCGAUCAAUUCGUACUUUCACAAGUUAUCAGCACUUCGACUAUGUCGAAAGAGCAAAUCACGCCGGUGUCAGUCGCCGGAAAAAGCAAACUAGAGGGAAAGAAAUGAGAAGAAAACUAUGAGAAACAAGAAGCAAUCAAAUGGAGGAGGAAAUUUUUUAGUGGAUAGUGGUGCCUCUAACACAAUUCUACGGGAGGUUAAAUACUUCCGAAGUCUAAAAAAGAGUAAGGGAAGUGUUAUGACAAUUGGUGGUCGUGACACGGUAAUUGUUGGUUCUGGUCAAGCCACAUUUACACUCCUGAAUGGUACAAAACUUGAAAUCUAGGAGGCAUUAUUGUAUCCAGAUUCAACUCGUACCCUGUUGAGUUUUAAGGAUAUCCGCAUGAAUGGCUACCACAUUGAAACUCAUGAAGACAAUGCGGUUGAAAGCCUGCUCAUAACUCAGCAUAAGGGAUCCGACAAGGAAACCCUUGAGAGACUGCCUGCUCUAUCUUCUGGACUGUAUUACACAUACGUCAAGCCAUAGCAACAUUUGGCAUACCAAAUAAUUUUUCAAAAUCUUGACAAGUUCAAGAUAUGGCAUGAUCGCCUGGGUCAUCCUGGUGUGGGGAUGAUGAGAAAAAUUAUUGAUGGUUCAACUGGACACAACAUAACGGUCGCUAAUUUCCCCAAAUCCUUGGAUUUCGUAUGCACUGCAUGUGCAACUGAAAAAUUAAUCACAAGACCUUCAUAUCUGAAGAUCAAGAAUGAACCACUUAAUUUUCUUGAACGCAUUCAAGGAGAUAUAUGUGGUCUAAUUCAACCAUUAUCGGGACCAUUUAGAUAUUUUAUGGUGCUCAUCGAUGCAUCAACAAGAUGGUCCAAUGUGUAUCUAUUAUCAACAAGGAACCAUGCUUUUGCAAAGUUGGUCGCUCAAAUCAUUAAAAUGAGGGCAAAUCAUCCUGAACACAGGAUAAAAUCCAUCAAAAUGGAUAAUGCUGCUGAAUUUAGUUCACGAGCAUUCAAUGAUUACUGCCUAGCUUUGGGCAUAACUGUGGAGCAUUCUGUACCAUAUGUACACACAUAAAAUGGUCUUGCAGAAUCACUUAUCAAGAGGAUCAAGUUGAUAGCAAGACCACUCCUAAAGAACUGUAAUCUCCCAACAUCUUGUUGGGGACAUGCGGUAUUGCAUGCCGCAGAGUUGAUAAAAAUCCGACCAACUGCAUAUCAUACAGCCUCCCCGUUGUAGUUAGUACGUGGAAUCAACCAAGUAUUUCCCAUCUUCGAAGAUUCGGUUGCGUUGUGUACGUACCAAUAUCACCACCUCAGCAUACAUCGAUGGGUCCACAUAGAAAAAUGGGGAUCUAUGUGGGGUACAAUUCUCUGUCGAUUAUAAAGUACCUGGAACCUCUAACAGGGGAUCUAUUUACAGCCCGGUACGCUGAUUGUAUCUUCGAUGAGGACAAUUUUCCGGCAUUAGGGGGAGAAAAGAACCACAAAGAAUGCCGGGAAAUAGAUUGGAAUGUCAAAGGCAUUCAGUCUUAGAUCCACGUACGAAUGAAUCUGAAUUGAAAGUUCAGAAGAUUAUUAAUUUGCCAAAUGUUGCAAAUAAUUUGCCAGAUGCAUUUACUGAUUAUAAAGGUGUCAGUAAAUCCCACGUUCCUGCUAUGAAUGUUCCAGAGAGAGUUGAGAUAUCUCAUAAGANNNNNNNNNNNNNNNNNNNNNNNNNNNNNNNNNNNNNNNNNNNNNNNNNNNNNNNNNNNNNNNNNNNNNNNNNNNNNNNNNNNNNNNNNNNNNNNNNNNNNNNNNNNNNNNNNNNNNNNNNNNNNNNNNNNNNNNNNNNNNNNNNNNNNNNNNNNNNNNNNNNNNNNNNNNNNNNNNNNNNNNNNNNNNNNNNNNNNNNNNNNNNNNNNNNNNNNNNNNNNNNNNNNNNNNNNNNNNNNNNNNNNNNNNNNNNNNNNNNNNNNNNNNNNNNNNNNNNNNNNNNNNNNNNNNNNNNNNNNNNNNNNAGGGGAAUGAGGAAUCCUCAAACAGUAAAUGCAGGUCAACUUCAUGUUGACAUUCAACCUAGGGUUGAAGGACACCUGAAGAAUGUUUGACACAUCCAGGACCCAACACGAGUGCGCACGAAAAUUUGGUGCUGGGACAUCGGAAGACCUUGACUCAAUUGUUGUGGGAAAUCACAAAGAGUCAAAAGGUAAUGAUGAAAUCUCCACUAUGUAUAUGGAUACGGGAGAAUCAUAUAAUAAAGACUACAAUAUGUCAACAUUUAUUUCUCCUCGAGAAUUUCAAAAGACCUUGGAUUGGAUCAAGAACUUGAGUCCAUGCAUGGCUAAGUGUCUUAGACGCUUUAGUUGAUCCAAAGGAAGGAAACAAUUAAGGAGGCGCUCACUCUCAUGAAGAGGGGUAUUGACCUGACCAGUAAUACCCACUCCUAUGAAUGUGUUUCCGGGGGAGCACAGUUGGUUUUUGUUUCUGAGAGGAAUGAAAACCAAGAGGUGGUGAUACCUGAAGCGAGGCAUGUAGCACAUGGGUUCACGCGGAGACCCUUCACCCCUUUAAGAUGAAACAUGUUCUCCUAUUGUGAGUGGAAUAACUUUUUGAUAUUUUAUAUCACUGGCAGUGAAUAAUGAAUUUGUAUAUUCAAGUGAUGGAUGUUGUGACUGCAUUGUUGUAUGAGUCACUUGAUUCAGAUAUGUAUAUGAUAGUUCCUGAGGGAAUGAAGAUUUCGAAUUGAAUAGCGACAUGUAUUGGGUAAAGGUUCUCAGAAGUCAUUUUAUGGUUUGAAGUAGUUGGGAUGGAUGUGGUAGAACCGACUGAAUGAGUUCCUUUAUUAGAAGGAUUACUCCAACACUGAUGAUUGCUCAUGCAUGUUCAUCAAGAAAAUUAAAGACGGAUUUUGUAUAAUUUCCGUGUAUGUUGAUGACUUGAACAUCAUUGGGACUACACGAGAAAUACAUGAGGCAAGUAAUCAUUUGAAGACGGAAUUCGAGAUGAAAGAUUUGGGUAAAACCAAAUUUUGUCUUGGUUUGCAACUAGAACAUUUUUCUUCAGAAAUACUUGUUCAUCAGUCUGCUUACGUUCAAAAGAUAUUGGAAAAGUUCAAUAUGGAUAAAGCAUACCCGUAAAAAACACCUAUGGUCGUCAGGUCUCUUGAUAGAGAUAAAGACCCAUUUAGACCUAAGGGUGAUGAUGAAGAGCUAUUAGGACCUAAGUUUCCUUACCUCAGUGCUAUUGGAGCACUGAUGUAUCUAGCGGACUGCACCAGGUCUGACAUAGCUUUUGUAGUUAAUUUACUGGCUAGAUACAACGCAUCACCAACGAAAAGGCAUUGGGUUGGUGUGAAGAAUAUUUUCAGAUAUCUUUAGGGCACCAAAGAUCUUGGUUUAUUCUAUUAGAAAAAUCAAGAGAGAACCAUGGUGGGGUAUUACGAUGCUGGAUAUUUAUCAUAUCCCCAUGAGGCCAGAUCGCAGACUGGUUUUGUCUUCUUACACGGAGGUACGACCUUCUCUUGGAAGUCAACAAAGCAAACCUUAGUUGCAAUGUCCACCAAUAAUUCUGAGAUAACUGCUUUGUUCGAAGCAUCACGUGAAUGUGUAUGGCUUUGCAGAAUGAUGAACUUUGUUCAAAGUUCAAGUGGGAUUGGUUCAUUGAAAUCACCCACCAUUAUCUAUGAAGAUAAUGCUGCUUGGAUUGCACAAAUGCAAACGGGUUAUAUUAAGAGCAAUAUUACAAAGCAUAUUUUUCCUAAAUUAUUUUAUCCCCAUGAUCAGCAAGAGAAGGGGGAGAUAAAUAUUUUGCAAACGAAGUCAUGCGACAAUCUUGCCGAUCCGUUUACAAAGUCCUUACGGAAAUAUGCCCUAGAGGCAAUAAUAAAGUUGUUAUUUUGUAUUUCCUUAUAUCAUGAUAAAUGUUUAUUAUUCAUGCUAGAAUUGUAUUAACCGGAAACUUGAUACACGUGUGGAUACAUAGACAAAACACCGUGUCCCUAGUAAGCCUCUACUAGACUAGCUCGUUAAUCAAAGAUGGUUAUGUUUCCUAACCAUAGAAAUGUGUUGUCAUUUGAUGAAAGGGAUCACAUCAUUAGGAGAAUGAUGUGAUGGACAAGACCCAUCCGUUAGCUUAGCAUUUGAUUGUUCAGUUUUAUUGCUAUUGCUUUCUUCAUGCCAUAUACAUAUUCCUUUGACUAUGAGAUUAUGCAACUCCCGGACAAUGGAGGAAUACCUUGUGUGCUAUCAAACGUCACAACUUAACUGGGUGAUUAUAAAGAUAAUCUACAGGUAUCUCCGAAGUGAAGGAAAUAUGCCCUAGAGGCAAUAAUAAAGUUGUUAUUUAUAUUUCCUUAUAUCAUGAUAAAUGUUUUUUAUUCAUGCUAGAAUUGUAUUAACCGGAAAUUUAGUACAUGUGUGAAUACAUAGACAAACAGAGUGUCACUGGUAUGCCUCUACUUGACUAGCUCGUUAAUCAAAGAUGGUUAAGUUUACUAACCAUAGACAAGAGUUGUCAUUUGAUUAACGGGAUCACAUCAUUAGAGAAUGAUGUGAUUGACAUGACCCAUCCGUUAGCUUAGCAUGUUGAUAGUUUAGUUUGUUGCUAUUGCUUUCUUCAUGACUUAUACAUGUUCCUCUGACUAAGAGAUUAUGCAACUCCCGAAUACCGGAGGAACACUUAGUGUGCUAUCAAACGUCACAACCUAACUGGGUGAUUAUAAAGAUGCUCUACAGGUGUCUCCGAUGGUGUUUGUUGAGUUGGCAUAGAUCGAGAUUAGGAUUUGUCACUCCGAUUGUCGGAGAGGUAUCUCUGGGCCCUCUCGGUAAUGCACAUCACUAUAAGCCUUGCAAGCAAUGUGACUAAUGAGUUAGUUGCGGGAUGAUGCACUACGAAACGAGUAAAGAGACUUGCCGGUAACGAGAUUGAACUAGGUAUUGAUAUACGGACGAUCGAAUCUCGCGCAAGUAACAUACCGAUAACAAAGGGAACAAUGUAUGUUGUUGUGCGGUUUGACCGAUAAAGAUCUUCGUAGAAUAUGUGGGAGCCAAUAUGAGCAUCCAGGUUCCGCUAUUGGUUAUUGACCGGAGAUGAGUCUCGGUCAUGUCUACAUAGUUCUCGAACCCGUAGGGUCCGCACGCUUAACGUUCGAUGACGAUCGGUAUUAUGAGUUUAUGUGUUUUAAUGUACCGACGGUAGUUCGGAGUCCUAGAUGUGAUCACGGACAUGACGAGGAGUCUCGAAAUGGUCGAGACAUAAAGAUUGAUAUAUUGGAAGGCUAUGUUUGGACACCGAAAAGGUUUCGGAUGACUUCGGGCAUUUUCCGGAGUACCGAGGGGUUACCGGAACCCCCAGGGGAGUUAAUGGGCCUUAAUGGGCCAUGGUGGGAGAGAGGAGGAGGCGGCCAAGUGGGAGGCAUGCGCCCCCCAAGCCCAAUACGAAUUGGGGGGGGGGGGCUUUCCUUCUCUCCUUCUCCCUCUCCUUCUCCUACUCCAACUAGGGAAGGGGGAAACCUACUCCUACUAGGAGUAGGAAUCCCCCUUGGGCGCGCCAUAGAGAGGGCCGGCCCUCCCCUCCUCCACUCCUUUAUAUACGGGGGAGGGGGGUGUUGGGGAACGUAGUAAUUUCAAAAAAAUUCCUACGCACACGCAAGAUCAUGGUGAUGCAUCGCAACGAGAGGGGAGAGUGUUGUCUACGUGGUGUCUCAGCACGAAGAACUUUCGCAACGAUGCAUACUCAGGAAGAACACUUAUAUCUUGAAAUUUAGUGAGAGAUCAUCUUAUAAUGCUACCGUCAAACAAAGCAAGAUAAGAUGCAUAAAUAUAAACAUCACAUGCAAUCAAUAUAAGUGAUAUGAUAUGGCCAUCAUCAUCUUGUGCUUGUGAUCUCCAUCUUCGAAGCACCGUCAUGAUCACCAUCAUCACCGGCGCGACACCUUGAUCUCCAUCGUAGCAUCGUUUUCGUCUUGCCAACUUAUGCUUCUACGACUAUCACUACCGCUUAGUGAUAAAGUAAAGUAUUACAGGGCGAUUGCAUUGCAUACAAUAAAGCGACAACCAUAUGGCUCCUGCCAGUUGCCGAUAACUCGGUUACAAAACAUGAUCAUCUCAUACAAUAAAAUAUAGCAUCAUGUCUUGACCAUAUCACAUCACAACAUGCCCUGCAAAAACAAGUUAGACGUCCUCUACUUUGUUGUUGCAAGUUUUACGUGGCUGCUACGGGCUGAGCAAGAACCGUUCUUACCUACGCAUCAAAACCACAACGAUAGUUCGUCAAGUUAGUGCUGUUUUAACCUUCUCAAGGACCGGGCGUAGCCACACUCGGUUCAACUAAGUUGGAGAAACUGACACCCGCCAGCCACCUGUGUGCAAAGCACGUCGGUAGAACCAGUCUCGCGUAAGCGUACGCGUAAUGUCGGUCCGGGCCGCUUCAUCCAACAAUACCGCCGAACCAAAGUAUGACAUGCAGGUAAGCAGUAUGACUUGUAUCGCCCACAAUUCACUUAUGUUCUACUCAUGCAUAUAACAUCUACGCAUAAAACCAGGCUCGGAUGCCACUGUUGGGGAACGUAGUAAUUUCAGAAAAAUUCCUACGCACACGCAAGAUCAUGGUGACGCAUAGCAACGAGAGGGGAGAGUGUUGUCUACGUACCCUCGUAGACCGUAAGCGGAAGCGUUUAUCAACGCGGUUGAUGUAGUCGUACACCUUCACGAUCCGUCCCGAUCAAGUACCGAACGUACGGCACCUCUGCGUUCAGCACACGUUCAGCUCGAGGACGUCCUCGCCUUCUCGAUCCAGCAAGAGGGGCGAAGUAGUAGAUGAGUUCCGGCAGCACGACGGCGUGGUGACGGUGUUGGUGAAGAACAAUCUCCGCAGGGCUUCGCCUAAGCACUACGAAAACUAUGACGGAGGAUAAACUAGAGGGGACAGGGUUGCCGGCACACGGCUUGGUGUUUCUUGAUGUGUCUUGGGUGCUAGCCCUACCCCUCUAUUUAUAUGUUGAGCCUUGGGGUCGAAACUUGGAGUAAAAGCCUCCACAAAGUCGGUUUCACCCGAAAGGCAAGAGUCCUUCUAGGACUCCAGGACCAGACGCCAGGGUUCCCGGUGUCUGGCCCCAGACGCCAGGGACCCUGGCAUCUGGCCCCUGGACUCCGCAAAACUUCCUUUUGCGCUUUCCAAAAACCUUGUGGGCUUUCCCCUUUGGCCCAAAUAAAGUGUUCUCAUACCCAAACAUUUUGGGAAACAUCCGGAACCCCUUCCGGUGAAUUCCGGAACCCUUCUGGAUUCCAAACACUAUUAUCCCAUAUAUCAAUCUUUAUCUCCGGACCAUUCCGGAGUUCCUCGUCAUGUCCGUGAUCUUAUCCGGAACUCCGAACAACAUUCUGUUACCAACAUACAUAACUCAUAAAUACUAUAUCGUCAACGAACGUUAAGCGUGCGGACCCUACGGGUUCGAGAACUAUGUAGACAUGACUGAGACACUUCUCUGGUCAAUAACCAAUAGCGGAACCUGGAUGCCCAUAUUGGCUCCUACAUAUUCUACGAAGAUCUUUAUCGGUCGAACCGCAUAACAACAUACGUUAUUCCGUUUGUCAUCGGUAUGUUACUUGCCCGAGAUUCGAUCGUCGGUAUCUCAAUACGUAGUUCAAUCUCGUUACCGGCAAGUCUCUUUACUCGUUCCGUAAUGCAUCAUCCCGCAACUAACUCAUUAGUCACAUUGCUUGCAAGGCUUAUAGUUAUGUGCAUUACCGAGUGGGCCCAGAGAUACCUAUCCGACAAUCGGAGUGACAAAUCCUAAUCUCGAUCUAUGCCAACUCAACAAGUACCUUCGGAGACACCUGUAGAUCACCUUUAUAAUCACCCAGUUACGUUGUGACGUUUGGUAGCACAUAAAGUGUUCCUCUGGUAAACGGGAGUUGCAUAAUCUCAUAGUCAUAGGAACAUGUAUAAGUCAUGAAGAAACCAAUAGCAACAUACUAAACGAUCAAGUGGUAAGCUAACGGAAUGGGUCAAUUCAAUCACAUCAUUCUCCUAAUGACGUGAUCCCGUUAAUCAAAUGACAACUCAUGUCUAUGGCUAGGAAACUCAACCAUCUUUGAUCAACGAGCUAGUCAAGUAGAGGCAUACUAGUGACACUAUGUUUGUCUAUGUAUUCACACAUGUAUUAUGUUUCCGGUUAAUACAAUUCUAGCAUGAAUAAUAAACAUUUAUCAUGAAAUAAGGAAAUAAAUAAUAACUUUAUUAUUGCCUCUAGGGCAUAUUUCCUUCAGUCUCCCACUUGCACUAGAGUCAAUAAUCUAGUUCACAUCGCCAUGUGAUUUAACAUCAAUGGUUCACAUCUUUAUGUGGUUAACACCCAUAGUUCACAUCGACAUAUGACCAACACCCAAAGGGUUUACUAGAGUCAGUAAUCUAGUUCACAUCGCUAUGUGAUUAACACCCAAAGAGUACUAAGGUGUGAUUAUGUUUUGCUUGUGAGAUAAUUUUAGUCAACGGGUCUGUCACAGUCAGAUCCGUAAGUAUUUUGCAAAUUUCUAUGUUUACAAUGCUCUGCACGGAGCUACUCUAGCUAAUAGCUCCCACUUUCAAUAUGUAUCUAGAUCGAGACUUAGAGUCAUCCAGAUCGGUGUCAAAGCUUGCAUCGACGUAACCAUUUACGACGAACCUUUUGUCACCUCCAUAAUCGAGAAACAUAUCCUUAUUCCACUAAGGAUAAUUUUGACCGUUGUCCAGUGAUCUACUCCUAGAUCACUAUUGUACUCCCUUGCCAAACUCAGUGUAGGGUAUACAAUAGAUCUGGUACACAGCAUGACAUACUUUAUAGAACCUAUGGCUGAGGCACAGCGAAUGACUUUCAUUCUAUUUCUAUUUUCUGCCGUGGUCGGGCUUUGAGUUUUACUCAACUUCACACCUUGCAACACAGGCAAGAACUCUUUCUUUGACUGUUCCAUUUUGAACUACUUCAAAAACUUGUCAAGGUAUGUACUCAUUGAAAAAACUUAUCAAGCGUCUUGAUCUAUCUCUAUAGAUCUUGAUGCUCAAUAUGUAAGCAGCUUCACCGAGGUCUUUCUUUGGAAAAACUCCUUUCAAAUACUCCUUUAUGCUUUUCAGAAAAUUCUACAUCAUUUCUGAUCUACAAUAUGUCAUUUACAUAUACUUAUCAGAAAAGUUGUAGUGCUCCCACUCACUUUCUUGUAAAUACAUGCUUCACCAAAAGUCUGUAUAAAACCAUAUGCUUUGGUCACACUAUCAAAGCGUAUAUUCCAAAUCUGAGAGGCUUGCACCAGUCCAUAAAUGGAUCGCUGGAGCUUGCACACUUUGUUAGCACCUUUAGGAUCGACAAAACCUUCUGGUUGCAUCAUAUACAACUCUUCUUUAAGAAAUCCAUUAAGAAAUGCAGUUUUGACAUCCAUUUGCCAGAUUUCAUAAAAUGUGGCAAUUGCUAACAUGAUUCAGACAGACUUAAGCAUCGCUACGAGUGAGAAAAUCUCAUUGUAGUCAACACCUUGAACUUGUCGAAAACCUUUUGUGACAAUUCAAGCUUUGUAGAUAGUAACACUACUAUCAGCGUCCGUCUUCCUCUUGAAGAUCCAUUUAUUCUCAAUGGCUUGCCGAUCAUCGGGCAAGUCAACCAAAGUCCAUACUUUGUUCUCAUACAUGGAUCCCAUCUCAGAUUUCAUGGCCUCAAGCCAUUUUGCGGAAUCUGGGCUCAUCAUCGCUUCCUCAUAGUUCGUAGGUUUGUCAUGGUCAAGUAACAUGACCUCCAGAACAGGAUUACCAUACCACUCUGGUGCGUAUCUCACUCUGGUUUACCUACGAGGUUCGGUAGUAACUUGAUCUGAAGUUACAUGAUCAUCAUCAUUAGCUUCCUCACUAAUUGGUGUAGGAGUCACAGGAACAAAUUUCUGUGAUGAACUACUUUCCAAUAAGGGAGCAGGUACAGUUACCUCAUCAAGUUCUACUUUCCUCCCACUCACUUCUUUCGAGAGAAACUCCCUCUCUAGAAAGGAUCCAUUAUCAGCAACGAAUAUCUUGCCUUCGGAUCUGUGAUAGAAGGUGUACCCAACUGUCUCCUUUGGGUAUCCUAUGAAGACACAUUUUUCCGAUUUGGGUUUGAGUUUAUCAGGAUGAAACUUUUUCACAUAAGCAUCGCAACCCCAAACUUUAAGAAACAAUAACUUUGGUUUCUUGCCAAACCACAGUUCAUAUCAUCUCAACGGAUUUAGAUGGUGCCCUACUUAACGUGAAUGCAGCUGUCUUUAAUGUAUAAUCCCAAAACGAUAGUGGUAAAUCGGUAAGAGACAUCAUAGAUUGCACAGUAUCUAAUAAAGUACGGUUACGAUGUUCGGACACACCAUUACUGUGGUGUUCCAGGUGGCAUGAAUUUGUAAAACUAUUCCACAUUGUUUUAGUUGAAGACCAAACUCGUAACUCAAUAUUCAUCUCCGCGAUCAGAUCGUAGAAACUUUAUUUUCUUGUUACGAUGAUUUUACACUUCACUCUGAAAUUCUUUGAACUUUUCAAAUGUUUCAGACUUAUGUUUCAUCAAGUAGAUAUACCCAUAUCUGCUCAAAUCAUCUGUGAAGGUCAGGAAAUAACGAUACCCGCCGCAAGCCUCAACACUCAUCGGACUGCAUACAUCAGUAUGUAUUAUUUCCAACAAGUCUGUUGCUCGCUGCAUUGUUCCGGAGAACGGAGUCUUAGUCAUCUUGCCCAUGAGGCAUGGUUCGCAAGCAUCAACUGAUUCAUAAUCAAGUGAUUCCAAAAGCUCAUCAACAUGGAUUUUCUUCAUGCGCUUUACACCAAUAUGACCUAAACGGCAGUGCCACAAAUAAGUUGCACUAUCAUUAUAAACUUUGCAUCUUUUGGCUUCAAUAUUAUGAAUAUGCGUAUCACUACUAUCGAGAUCCAACAAACUAUUUUCAUUGUGUGUAUGAUCAUCGAAGGUUUUAUUCAUGUAAACAGAACAACAAUUAUUCUCUGACUUUAAAUGAAUAACCGCAUUGCAAUAAACAUGAUAAAAUCAUAUUCAUGCUCAACGCAAACGCCAAAUAACACUUAUUUAGGUUCCACACUAAUCCCGAAAGUAUAGGGAGUGUUCGAUGAUGAUCAUAUCAAUCUUGGAACCACUUCCAACUCACAUCGUCACUUCACCCUUAACUAGUCUCUGUUCAUUCUGCAACUCCCGUUUCGAGUUACUAAUCUUAGCAACUGAACUAGUAUCAAAUACCGAGGGGUUGCUAUAAACACUAGUAAAGUAUACAUCAAUAACAUGUAUAUCAAAUAUACCUUUGUUCACUUUGCCAUCCUUCUUAUCCGCCAAUUACUUGGGGUAGUUUUGCUUCCAGUGACCAGUUCCUUUGCAGUAGAAGUACUUAGUCUCAGGCUUAGGUCCAGACUUGGGCUUCUUCACUUGAGCAGCAACUUGCCUGCCGUUCUUCUUGAAGUUUCCCUUCUUCCCUUUGCCCUUUUUCUUGAAACUAGUGGUCUUGUCAACCAUCAACACUUGAUGUUUUUCUUGAUUUCUACCUUCGCCGAUUUUAGCAUCGCGAAGAGCUUGGGAAUUGUUUUCGUCAUCCCUUGCAUAUUAUAGUUCAUCACGAAGUUCUCGUAACUUGGUGAUAGUGACUAGAGAACUUUGUCAAUUACUAUAUUAUCUGGAAGAUUAACUCCCACUUAAUUCAAGCAAUUGUAGUACCCAGACAAUCUGAGCACAUGCUCACUGGUUGAGCUAUUCUCCUCCAUCUUGUAGGCAAAGUACUAUCAGAGGUCUUAUACCUCUCGACAUGGGCAUGAGUAUGAAAUACCAAUUUCAACUCUUGGAACAUCUCAUAUGUUCCGUGGCGUUUCAAAAACGUCUUUGAAGCCCCGAUUCUAAGCCGUAAAGCAUGGUGCACUAAAAAAUCAAGUAGUCAUCAUACCGAGCUUUGCCAAACGUUCAUAACGUCUGCAUUUGCUCCUGCAAUAGGUCCGUCACCUAGCGGUGCAUCAAGGACAUAAUUCUUCUGUGCAGCAAUGAGGAUAAUCCUCAGAUCACGGAUCCAAUCCGCAUCAUUGCUACUAACAUCUUUCAACUUAGUUUUCUCUAGGAACAUAUCAAAAAUAAAACAGGGAGCUAAACGCGAGCUAUUGAUCUACAACAUAGAUAUGCUAAUACUACCAGGACUAAGUUCAUGAUAAAUUAAAGUUCAAUUAAUCAUAUUACUUAAGAACUCCCACUUAGAUAGACAUCCCUCGAAUCAUCUAAGUGAUCACGUGAUCCAACUCAACUAAACCAUGUCCGAUCAUCACGUGAGAUGGAGUAGUUUUCAAUGGUGAACAUCACUAUGUUGAUCAUAUCUACUAUAUGAUUCACGCUCAACCUUUCGGUCUCCAGUGUUUCGAGGCCAUAUCUGCAUAUGCUAGGCUCGUCAAGUUUAACCUGAGCAUUCCGCGUGUGCAACUGUUUUGCACCCGUUGUAUUUGAACGUAGAGCCUAUCACACCCGAUCAUCACGUGGUGUCUCAGCACGAAGAACUUUCGCAACGGUGCAUACUCAGGGAGAACACUUUUAACUUGAAAUUUAGUGAGAGAUCAUCUUAUAAUGCUACCGUCAAACAAAGCAAGAUAAGAUGCAUAAAAGAUAAACAUCACAUGCAAUCAAUAUAAGUGAUAUGAUAUGGCCAUCAUCAUCUUGUGCUUGUGAUCUCCAUCUCCGAAGCACCGUCAUGAUCACCAUCGUCACCGGCGCGACACCUUGAUCUCCAUCGUAGCAUCGUUGUCGUCUUGCCAACUUAUGCUUCUACGACUAUCGCUACCGCUUAGUGAUAAAGUAAAGUAUUACAGGGCGAUUGCAUUGCAUACAAUAAAGCGACAACUAUAUGGCUCCUGCCAGUUGCCGAUAACUCGGUUACAAAACAUGAUCAUCUCAUACAAUAAAAUAUAGCAUCAUGUCUUGACCAUAUCACAUCACAACAUACCCUGCAGAAACAAGUUAGACGUCCUCUACUUUGUUGUUGCAAGUUUUACGUGGCUGCUACAGGCUGAGCAAGAACCGUUCUUACCUACGCAUCAAAACCACAACGAUAGUUCGUCAAGUUAGUGCUGUUUUAACCUUCUCAAGGACCGGGCGUAGCCACACUCGGUUCAACUAAAGUUGGAGAAACUGACACCCGCCAGCCACCUGUGUGUAAAGCACGUCGGUAGAACCAGUCUCGCAUAAGCGUACGCGUAAUGUCGGUCCGGGCCGCUUCAUCCAACAAUACCGCCGAAUCAAAGUAUGACAUGCUGGUAAGCAUUAUGACUUGUAUCGCCCAAAACUCACUUGUGUUCUACUCGUGCAUAUAACAUCUACGCAUAAAACCAGGCUCGGAUGCCACUGUUGGGGAACGUAGUAAUUUCAAAAAAAAAUCCUACGCACACGCAAGAUCAUGGUGAUGCAUAGCAACGAGAGGGGAGAGUGUUGUCUACGUACCCUCAAAGACCAUAAGCGAAAGCGUUUAUCAACGCGGUUGAUGUAGUCGUACACCUUCACGAUCCGUCCCGAUCAAGUACCGAACGUACGGCACCUUCGCGUUCAGCACACGUUCAGCUCGAUGACGUCCUCGCCUUCUCGAUCCAGCAAGAGGGGCGAAGUAGUAGAUGAGUUUCGGCAGCAUGACGGUGUUGGUGAAGAACAAUCUCCGCAGGGCUUCGCCUAAGCACUACGAAAACUAUGACGGAGGAUAAACUAGAGGGGACGGGGUUGCCGGCACACGGCUUGGUGUUUCUUGAUGUUUCUUGGGUGCUAUCCCUACCCCUCUAUUUAUAUGUUGAGCCUUGGGGUCGAAACUUGGAGUAAAAGCCUCCACAAAGUUGGUUUCACCCGAAAGGCAAGAGUCCUUCUCGGACUCCAGGACCAGACGCCAGGGUUCCCGGCGUCUGGCCCCAGACGCCAGGGACCCUGGCGUCUGGCCCCUGGACUCCGCAAAACUUCCUUUUGCGCUUUCCAAAAACCUUGUGGGCUUUCCCCUUUGGCCCAAAUAAAGUGUUCUCGUACCCAAACAUUUCGGGAAACAUCCGGAACCCCUUCCGGUGAAUUCUGGAACCCUUCCGGAGUCCAAACACUAUUAUCCCAUAUAUCAAUCUUUAUCUUCGGACCAUUUUGGAGUUCCUCGUCAUGUCCGUGAUCUUAUCCGGAACUCCGAACAACAUUCGGUUACCAACAUACAUAACUCAUAAAUACUAUAUCGUCAACGAACGUUAAGCGUGCGGACCCUACGGGUUCGAGAACUAUGUAGACAUGACUGAGACACUUCUCUGGUCAAUAACCAAUAGCGGAACCUGGAUGCCCAUAUUGGCUCCUACAUAUUUUACGAAGAUCUUUAUCGGUCGAACCGCAUAACAACAUACGUUGUUCCCUUUGUCAUCGGUAUGUUACUUGCCCGAGAUUCGAUCGUCGGUAUCUCAAUACCUAGUUCAAUCUCGUUAUCGGCAAGUCUCUUUACUCGUUCCGUAAUGCAUCAUCCCGCAACUAAAUCAUUAGUCACAUUCCUUGCAAGGCUUAUAGUGAUGUGCAUUACCGAGUGGGCCCAGAGAUACCUCUCCGACAAUCGGAGUGACAAAUCCUAAUCUCGAAAUACGCCAACCCAACAAGUACCUUUGGAGACACCUGUAGAGCACCUUUAUAAUCACCCAGUUACGUUGUGACGUUUGGUAGCACACAAAGUGUUCCUCCGGUAAACGGGAGUUACAUAAUCUCAUAGUCGUAGGAACAUGUAUAAGUCAUGAAGAAAGCAAUAGCAACAUACUAAACGAUCAAGUGAUAAGCUAACGGAAUGGGUCAAGUCAAUCACAUCAUUCUCCUAAUGAUGUGAUCCCGUUAAUCAAAUGACAACUCAUGUCUAUGGCUAGAAACAUAACCAUCUUUGAUCAACGAGCUAGUCAAGUAGAGGCAUACUAGUGACACUCUAUUUGUCUAUGUAUUCACACAUGUAUCAUGUUUCCGGUUAAUACAAUUCUAGCAUGAAUAAUAAAAAUUUAUCAUGAUAUACGGAAAUAAAUAAUAACUUUAUUAUUGCCUCUAGGGCAUAUUUCCUUCAGGGGGCACCCCAUAGACACACAAGUUAGCAAUUGUUUUAGCUGUGUGCGGUGCCCCCUCCACAGAUUUCCACCUCGGUCAUAUCAUUGCAGUGCUUAGGCGAAGCCCUGCGUCGGUAACAUCAUCAUCACCGUCACCACGCCGUCAUGCUAACGAAACUCUCCCUCGGCCUCAGCUGGAUCGAGAGUACGAGGGACGUCACCGAGCUGAACGUGUGUAGAUGGCGGAGGUGCCGUGCGUUCGGUACUUGAUCGAUUGGAUCGCGAAGACGUUCGACUACAUCAACCGCGUUACUUAACGCUUCCGCUUUUGGUCUACGAGGGUACGUGGACACACUCUCCCCACUCGUUGCUAUGCAUCUCCUAGAUAGAUCUUGCGUGAUCAUAGGAAUUUUUUUGAAAUACUAUGUUCCCCAACAGUGGCAUCCGAGCCAGGUCUAUGCGUAGAUGUUAUAUGCACGAGUAGAACACAAAGAGUUGUGGGAGAUAAUAGUCAUACUUCUUACCAACAUGUCAUACUUUGAAUCGGCAGUAUUGUUGGAUGAAGCGGCUCAGACCGACAUUACGCUUACGCUUACGCGAGACUGGUUCUACCGACGUGCUUCGCACACAGGUGGCUAGUGGGUGUCUGUUUCUCCAACUUUAGUUGAAUCGAGUGUGACUACGCCCGGUCCUUGUUGAAGGUUAAUUAAAACAACACACUUGACGAAAAUCAUUGUGGUUUUUGAUGCGUAGGUAAGAACGGUUCUUGCUAAACCCGUAGCAGCCACGUAAAAUUUGCAACAACUAGUAGAGGACGUCUAACUUGUUUUUGCAGGGUAUGUUGUGAUGUGAUAUUGUCAAGAUGUGAUGAUUGUUGUAUGAGAUGAUCAUGUUUUGUAACAGUUAUCGGCAACUGACAGGAGCCAUAUGGUUGUCGCUUUAUUGUAUGAAAUGCAAUCGCCAUGUAAUUGCUUUACUUUAUCACUAAACGGUAGCGAUAGUCGUGAUAGCAAUAGUUGGCGAGACGACAACGAUGCUUCGAUGGAGAUCAAGGUGUCAAGCCGGUGACCAUGGUAAUCAUAACGGUGCUUUGGAGAUGGAGAUCAAAGGCACAAGAUGAUGAUGACCAUAUCAUAUCACUUAUAUUGAUUGCAUGUGAUGUUUAUCCUUUAUGCAUAUUAUUUUGCUUAGUACGGCGUUAGCAUUAUAAGAUGAUCUCUCACUAAAUUUCAAGGUAUAAGUGUUCUACCUGAGUAUGCACCGUUGCGACAGUUCAUCGUGCCGAGACACCACGUGAUGAUCGGGUGUGAUAAGCUCUACGUUCACAUACAACGGGUGCAAGCCAGUUUUGCACACGCAGAAUACUCGGGUUAAACUUGAAGAGCCUAGCAUAUGCAGAUAUGGCCUCGGAAUACUGAGACCGAAAGGUCGAGCGUGAAUCAUAUAGUAGAUAUGAUCAACAUAGUGAUGUUCACCAUUGAAAGCUACUCCAUCUCACGUGAUGAUCGGACAUGGUUUAGUUGAUAUGGAUCACGUGAUCACUUAGAUGAUUAGAGGGAGGUCUAUCUAAGUGGGAGUUCUUAAGUAAUAUGAUUAAUUGAACUUUAAUUUAUCAUGAACUUAGUCCUGAUAGUAUUUGCAUAUCUAUGUUGUAGAUGAAUAGCUCGCGAUAUAGCUCCCCGUUUAUUUUUGAUAUGUUCCUAGAGAAAAUCUAUGUUGAAAGAUGAUAGUAGCAAUGAUGCGGACUAGGUCCGUGAUCUAAGGAUUAUCCUCAUUACUGCACAGAAGAAUUAUGUCCUUGAUGCACCGCUAGGUGAUGGACCUAUUGCAGGAGCAAAUGCAGACGUUAUGAACGUUUGGCAAUCUCGGUGUGAUAACUACUUGAUAGUUUAGUGCACCAUGCUUUACGGCUUAGAACCGGGACUUCAAAAACAUUUUGAACGCCACGGAGCAUAUAAGAUGUUCCAAGAGCUGAAAUUGGUAUUUCGGACUCAUGCCCGAGUCAAGAGGUAUGAGACCUCUGACAAGUACUUUGCCUACAAGAUGGAGGAGAAUAGCUCAGCCAGUGAGCAUGUGCUCAGAUUGUCUGAGUACUACAAUCGCUUGAAUCAAGUGGGAGUUAAUCUUCCAGAUAAAAUAGUGAUUGACAGAGUUCUCUAGUCACUAUCACCAAGUUACUAGAACUUCGUGAUGAACUAUAAUAUGCAAGCGAUGACGAAAACGGUUCCCGAGCUCUUCGUGAUGCUGAAAUCGACUAAGGUAGAAAUCAAGAAAAGCAUCAAAUGUUGAUGGUUGACAAGACCACUAGUUUCAAGUAAAAGGGCAAGGGAAAGAAAGGGAACUUCAAGAAGAAUGGCAAGCAAGUUGUCACUCCCAUGAAAAAGCUCAAAGCUAGACCCAAGUCUGAAACUGAGUGCUUCUACUGCAAAGGAAAUGGUCACUGGAAGUAGUACUGCCCUAGAUACUUGGCGGAUAAGAAGGAUGGCAAAGUAAACAAAGGUAUAUUUGAUAUACAUGUUAUUGAUGUGUACUUUACUAGUGUUCAUAGUAGCCCCUGGGUAUUUGAUACUGGUUCAGUUGCUAUGAUUAGUAACUCGAAACAGGAGUUACAAAAUGAACAAAGACUACUUGAGGGCAAGGUGACGAUGUGUGUUGGAAGUGAUUCCAAGGUUGAUAAGAUCACCAUCGCACACUCCCUUUACCUUCGGGAUUAGUGUUGAACCUAAAAUAAAUGUUAUUUGGUGUUUGCGUUGAGCAUAAUAUGAUUGGAUCAUGCUUAUUGCAAUACAGUUAUUCAUUUAAGUCAAAGAAUAAUUGUUAUUCUAUGAAUAAAACCUUAUGUGGUCAUACACCCAAGGUGAAUGGUUUAUUGAAUCUCGAUCGUAGUGAUACACAUAUUCAUACUAUUGAUGCCAAAAGAUGCGAUAAUGAUAGUGCAACAUAUUUGUGGCACUGCCGUUUAGUUCAUAAUGGUGUAAAGCGCAUGAAGAAACUCCAUGCUGAUGGGCUUUUGGAAUCACUUGAUUAUGAAUCACUUGAUGCUUGUGAACCAUGCCUCAUGGCCAAGAUGACUAAAACUCCAUUCUCCGGAACAAUGGAGCGAACAACUGACUUAUUGGAAAUAAUACAUACUGAUGUAUGCGAUCCGAUGAGUGUUGAGGCUCGCGGCGGGUAUCGUUAUUUUCUGACCUUCACAGAUGAUUUGAGCAGAUAUGGGUAUAUCUACUUGAUGGAACAUAAGUCUGAAACAUUUGAAAAGUUCAAAGAAUUUCAGAGUGAAGUGGAAAAUCAUCGUAACAAGAAAAUAAAGUUUCUACGAUCUGAUCGCAGAGACGAAUAUUUGAGUUACGAGUUUGGUCUUCAUUUGAAACAAUGUGGAAUAGUUUCGCAACUCACGCCACCUGGAACACCACAGCGUAAUGGUGUGUCCGAACGUCAUAACCGCACUUUAUUAAAUAUGGUGCGACCUAUGAUGUCUCUUACCGAUUUACCACUAUCAUUUUGGGGUUCUGCAUUAGAGACAGCUCCAUUCACGUUAAAAAGGGCACCAUCUAAAUCCGUUCAGACGACACCAUAUGGACUGUGGUUUAGCAAGAAACCUAAGUUGUCGUUUGUUAAAGUUUGGGGCUGCGAUGCUUAUGUGAGAAAGCUUCAACCUGAUAAGCUCGAACCCAAAUCGGAGAAAUGUGUCUUCAUAGGAUACCCAAAGGAAACUAUUGGGUACACCUUCUAUCACAGAUCCGAAGGUAAGAUAUUCAUUGCUAAGUGAAAGUGUGUUAUAUCGACUAGAGGGGGGGUGAAUAGGCGAUUUUUAUGAAUUCUUCACUGAGGAAUUUGCGGGUGAGGAAAUUCCUUAGCGAAGAACUACUUGCAGCGGAAUAAGUACUCAAGAGUAAUCAUAGCAGAACAUAGGCAUGGUCAUCAUGAUGAAAUGAAGACAAACACAGAGUACAGAAAGCGUAAACACAGGAUAGCACAGGAUGAAGACAAACAGACUGAAGAAAUUGAACUGAGGAAAUUGAGAAAGUCUUCAGUCAAAGUCUUCAAACACAGAUAUGAACAAGUGCACAACACAGUUAUGAGGAAAUGAAAGAGUUGAGGAAAUAGAACCAGCAAGCUCGGUGAAGACAACAAUUUGGUAGACCAGUUCCAACUGCUGUCUCAGUUGUACAUCUGGUUGGAGCGGCUAUGUAUUUAAACCUGAGGACACACAGUCCCGGACACCCAGUCCUGAACACACAGUCCAGGACACCUAGUCCUCACCUUAUUCUCCUUGAGCUAAGGUCACACAGACCUCGCCCAAUCACUUGUGGUAAGUCUUCAGGUGACUUUCAAACCUUCACAGACUCGGUCACUCGGCGAUCCACAAUUUCCUCUUGGAUGCUCUAGACCAUGACGCCUAACCGUCUGGAAGAAGCACAGUCUUCAAAGGUAACAAGCGUCGGAUCCACGCAGGAUCAAUCUCUUCAGUGAUGCUCAAUCACUUUAGGUUUGUGGGUGUUUGGGUUUGGGUUUUCCCCACUUGAUGAUUUUUGCUCAAAGUCCUCAGAGGAUGGGAUGCUCUCAAAUGACAAGUGUCAGUUUCGCUCAGAGCAGCCAACCAGCUAGUGGUUGUAGGGGGCGGCUAUUUAUAGCCUAGGGAGCAGCCCGGCAUGAUAAGACAUAAAUGCCCUUAAAUGAUAUGACCAUUAGGUGGGUAGAUAUUUUGGGACAGCUGGCGUAUAGCACAGCAACGGUCGAAAAUUUGAGUAUCAAAUUCCUCAGGGCUAUCAUGUUCCUCACUGUGUAGGCAAUCCGCACUGGCGAAUUCCUAACUCCUCAGUGAGAACAAAUUCCUCAGAGACCAGAAGAACUUUGUCUCUGUCACUGAAGAAUAUGACUGAACUAUAUGAUAUUUCCAAUGGCUUCACUCGAAGGGAUUGGUAGGUGUAGGAUUUUGAGUUGAGCAUCACAUGGAAAUUUUUCCUUAGUAUUUCCUCGACCCCCUUUAACAGUACGGUGUUUCCUAUGACUCAAGAAAGAGAAAAUGAAACUACGUAAACAAAAGUCUUCACGCUUCAUGUUCCUUAAAUGAAUACCAAGUCUUCAAGGUCACACCAAUUUCUUCACUUUCAAAGUCUUCAGAAAGUCUUCAGAAAUCCAAAGUCUUCAGUUGAAGAACUUUAUUUUUAGGGGUCGACUUUCUCUGUAAAUAUCAAACUCCUCAUAGACUUAUAGACAUGUGUACACUCAUAAACACAUUAGUCCCUUAACCUAUAAUUCUUCAAUACACCAAAAUCACUAAGGGGCACUAGAUGCACUUACAAUCUCCCCCUUUUUGGUGAUUGAUGACAAUAUAGGUUAAGUUUUCAACGGGGAUAAACAUAUGAAGUGUAAAUACUGAUAUUGAGGAAUUUGAUUGCAAGAUAUAGAAGAACUCCCCCUGAAGAUGUGCAUAGUGAGGAAUUUGCUUUUGAAGCAAUGCACACUUGAAGAGUUGAAUCAUGGAGAUCUCCCCCUAUAUCUUGUAAUUCAUACACGCAUUUGACAUAAUAUAUGAAGAAUUUGAAAUGCAUGAUGAAAUAUGGUGACUGAUGUAAUUCAGCAUGCGUGCAAUGACAUUAACGAGGAAUAAGCAUGCAGAAGAAACAACAAAAGUAUCAGGCCACCAUAGAGUUUAAGUUUACAACUCGAUCCAACAAAGUCAUCAGAAGAACGAGAGUUGUAACUUAGGAAAAAAACGCCCAUAUAAUAGACCCGCUUGAAGACUAACUCAAAUUUCUCCCCCUUUGUCAUCGAAUGACCAAAAGGUUCGAAAAUGAGGACUAACGCCCCUGAAGAAUAUCAAGUUGAUGAAGGAGCGUCAGCGUUGUCGGGGUCGUUUGUUGUAGUAGGGUCUGCCGCAGUGUCGUCCAAGUCCUCAUGUUCAUCAGUGUCACGUGAUGAAGAAUAGGAGAUGGCCACCAAGGAAGGAACUUUGGCCUUCUUGUACUUCUUCGGAGGAGGUGCAACCCAGUCAAGAUCUUCCUUGAGACCCAUUUUCUUUAGAUCUUCUUCACCAUAUAUGUGCGACAGAACAGCCCAGGUGCGGUUGAGGGUUUCAUGAAGGUAGUAGUGGUUUUUCUUCACUACAUUGUGGGUAGCAGUCAUGUUGUGAAGAAUUGAACCAAACUGACGUUUGACCCAUUUAUGAUUGCGAUCAACCUUCUGGUGAAGACUGAGGAGAAGCUCACGGUGAGUCAUCACCCUGGGUGCUGUGCCUUGAGGAUUUUGCUUGGGUACGUUGGCGGCAGAGUCAUGGGUGGCAGAGUCAUCAUUGGUGGAGUAGGAUGCAGCCUUGCGAAAUUGACCAUCCAAUGGACGAAUGCCUUCAUCAAUUACAGCCGUAGCCUUGCCCUUUUCAUCAGCUAAGGAAAAUGCCCGUUUGAGGACUUCAAUCGGGGGCAAGUAGCUGCAAUGGUUCAGUGUAUCAGCUUUGUAGUUGAGUGAAGACCUUGUUCUGAUGAAUCUCAUAAUCCACGGUGCAUAAGGCUUCAACUCAAAUGGUGACAUUGCGACAUUUGCCAGAGUCCUCAUGAAGAAAUCAUGGAAGUUGACAGGAACGCCAUGAAUGAUAUUGAAAAGCAGAUUCUUCAUGAUGCCAACGACUUCUUCUUCAUUCGAGUCGUGGCCCUUGAUAGGACUCAAUGUCUUCGUCAGAAUGCGAUAGACAGUCCGAGGCACAUACAACAAUUCCUUCACAAGGAAUUUUGUUCUUGGGGCCUGACCUGGCUUCAAAGGCUUCAUCAUCACUUGCAUAUAGUGAUCGGUAAGCUCAGGUUCAUUGUAGACGCAACAAGCACCUUCAAGGGGUGGACUGAGAGGCAAAGCACGAAGCAAUUCAGUAGCUGGUGCUUUGUAGUGAGUGUUUUCAGACAUCCAGUCCAGCACCCAUGAAUUCACGUCUUCAGGGUUGCCGGUGAUGUGCAGAGUUGCAUAAAAUUGAAGAAUUAGCUCUUCAUUCCAAUCACAUAUGUCAGUGCAGAAAUUUAACAGUCCAGCGUCGUAGAGAACACUGAGGAGUGGCGCGAAGCAUGGCAGAGAUUCCAUAUCCACGUGAGGAAUGUGCUCAUCAUCGAAGACUUUGUCUUUGUUGAACAACACUGAGGAAUAGAAAUUUGCCUGGCUGGCAGUCCAGAAACGCCUCUUCCUUAUGCGAGCAGAGUCAUAAGGGUUGUAAUCAGUGAAUAAUAUGUGCUCGCCGAAGAAAUCAUCAACCUUGAAUUUUGGCUUCCUUGAGAAUGGAUCCUUUGGCUUGGGCAGAGGAGUGUCAGUCAGUUGCAUGAUGACCUCAGGAAUCGCAAUCUUAGGUUCUUCAGGCUGAGGAAUUUCUGGUUCCACUUCAGUGGCAGCCUGGUUCUUCAAAUCUUCAUUUUCAUUUUCUUCAGCACUAGCGGCUGGAAUGUCUUCAUGAGCUUCAUCAGAUCCCAUUUGAACUGUAGUGGCUGGGGACUGAGGAAUUUGCUGCAGUGGAGUGAAGAGUGGAGAAUUGGGGUGCUGACUUUCCCAAAAGUCAUCAUUCAUCACUGGUGUGGUACAGCCAAUGUCCACAUCUUCUUCUUCAAUUUCUUCAACGCCAGCCUCUUCAGUAGUAAACUGAGGCAUAGGCGAGGAAACUGUGGGGGUUGUAGGGAUUUUAUCCACUUCAAUUUCUUCAUCCAUCUGCUCUGACGAAGCAGCAUAAGGAUUUUCUUCAUCAGAUCCGCUAGGGAUCACAUAUUCUUCAUCAAAAGAGAUGAUUUCCUUUGAUGGCAUGGAGGAAACUGGAACAGCAUCAAUUGGAUUAGCAAAUGAGCUUGUCAAUUUCUUCAUCUUCUUCGGUGCUGAAGAAUCUGAAGGAGCUGAUGCUUUCCUUUUCUUCACUGCUGCACGCUCUGCAGCCUUGGUCUUCUUCACAUCUGAUGCAGAUGGAAGGAUUGGAGUUGGUGUAGGCACAGGAGGAGCAGAGGAAUGUGGUUGAUUUUCUUCAGGCACAACUGAUGCAGUUGCCCUGACCUCUUCAUUUUCUUCAGGCGCACCACUAGUGGGUGCCCUGGCAGUUUCAUCAGCGGCUGGAAUGCAGUCAUCAGCCCUGGAACUCACAUUUUCUUCAGCAGCCUGAUUGUCAUCAGCGGUGCUGGCAUGUUCUUCAGUUGGCUAAGCAGCUGCUUCAGCCUGAGGAAUUUCUUGUUGCGAUGGGGCUGCAACAUUUGAGGUGAACAUCUUUGUCAGUUUGACAAACCUGACCUUGGCUCCUUUCCAAUCAGCAUAGUAAGCAUUGAAAUCAUCAUUGAGGACUUUGAUUUCAGACUGGAUCUUCACAAGUUCAUCAGGUGUCAUAGAGACAACGUUGUUCUUCAGGAAUUUCUCCUUCCUGUACUGUGCUUUCUUGAGCUGCCUGGCCUUCUCAAACUUCCAUUUCUCUUCUUGGAUGAAGGCAGUCAGCAUAUGACUUGACCAGGAGUCAGCUUGAAGUCAGGCAUAGGAGUGUUUGGGUCCUUGUGCCAGAGAUCAAUGUAAUCGAGGAUCAACUUUGGAUCCAAAAGCAGAGGCACAUUUGUGCCCUUGCCUGUCUCUGAUGAUUUCACCAAGUUCUUCAUCAUCAGCUUCGUCUUCUUCAGACGGCACUUGGAAGGCGACCUGCUUCUUGUGAGGACUUGGGCUAGAGCCUCGUCCAGCAGUGGUCUUAGUCUUCAGCAGAGAGGGUCCUGUUGAAGAAUUUGGUGCAGCUGAGGAACUAGCUGAAGCUCCUGAGGCAAUAGAGAUGCCUGUAGUCCUUUGGCACCUGGCAAGAUGCACAGGUGCUGAGGAUUUUGUCGGAGCAGCUGAGGACUUUGGAGGAGUAGGAGCAGCGUGAGGAAUUGGCCGUGAGGGCUUAGCUGAGGAAAUUGGCCGUGAGGGCAUUGAAGAAGAGGCACUUGGCUUGUGCGCAGGCUUCUUUGCCAUGGAUUUCUUCUGCCUUACAGAGGCUCAGCAGCAGCAGCAGUGGAAUCUUCGUUGAAUUUCUUCACUACAUCUUUUGCCUGUUUGGCCAACUUGGCCUGUCGCUUGGCCCAUUCUUCAGGAAACUCCUCACCGCGUUUGAUGCUAGUGGGAUCUGCUUCUUGGCCAGGUGCCAAUGGUGGUCUUGAGCAUGGAGGAGUAACAGCGAAUUUCUUCAUGUACUUUGGAGUCACAUAUCCGUACUCCCUCCACUCUCUUGCCCAUCUCCUCUCAAUCUUUUGAAUGCGCACUUUGCGCUGAUUUUUAUCCUCCUCAGGGGGUGUGCAGUACCCAGCAUAGAUGUCCUCAGGGAUUUCAAAAGCAAUGUUGACCUCAUGCCUCUUUCCUCCUUUCUGUGGCUUCUUACCGUCAGCCAUUUUCUUCAGAUGAGGAAUUUGAACAAUGGAAUUCUUUGAAGAAGUAUGCAACUUUUCUUCGAGGAAUGCAUAUACGAAGAACACGACGAACUGUGAGGUGGAGAAGUGAAGUUCGUUUGUGCAGAUCUUCCACGCCCUAACUCGGCGGAGGAAGACGGCUACGGCGGCGGCGGAGUGAAGAUUUCCACGGCCGGCGCGAGUACGACGGCGACGAGGUCGAGGCAGUGAAGCUCUUCCUCACCGGCGACGAUGAAGUAGCGGCGGUGCUAGGGUUUGAGAAGCUUGAGCUGGAGAGAGGUCGGGCGAAGUAAAGGAAGUGAGGAAGGGGAGAGGGGGUAUUUAUAGCCACGGUGAAAAACGGUUCUCCCGAAGAAAUUGGACGAACGUGCCCCUGACCCUUCUCAUUCGCUUGACAUGUGUCACCCACGUACUGAGAAGUGGAGAUCGUGUUAGAUCGUGGCUGAAUAGAUAAGUAUUUCGUGGGAUGCGAAACGGUUUGAGCGGCAAAGCCGAAAAUUUGGAUAAGAUAAGUUAAAAGUUCCAUUCGCAAAUUUUUCAGCUGACAAGGGCACAGUGAAGUUUUUGAACGAGUUUCAAAUAGAACGCACAUGAAGAAUGUAGCGACCCGACCCGAAUGGCUCAAGUCUCUGUGCUUAAGUGUCAUCCCUGGAUCGGUAUGCCGACACACACAGUACUCGAGGAUUUAUAACAGAGGUAAAUCACAUGUAUAAAGUAACGUAAAAACUAUUACCUCAAUCCAAAUAGCGGAAGUAACAACAAGGUUGUGGAUUCCCAUCAACACCAACGGCAAAGUUGAGUGUAGAAAUCGUAACCCUAAUGUAUCACUUACUUGUCGUAAGAAUCCUGCAACAUGAAACGUUGCAGCCUGAAAACGGGUCAGUACAUUGAAUGUACUGGCAAGAUAACACAAGAGAGUAAUGAACAGAAUAAAAGCCAACACUACAUGCAUAUAUGGCUGGUGGAAGCUCUAUGGUAUAAUGUUUUUGCAGAAAGCCAAUUUUUCCCUACUGCAAAGGAAUAAAUUUUAUUUAACUAUCAUGGUGGUUGUUAAACAUUGAGAAGGUACCUCCAACUCAAUCCCAAUUAAGAAUGUGAUUAAACCCAAUCAAAUUUAACUUAAGUAACAUGAUGAGAUACACAUGAUAAUCCAGGUACUAGAUACUCAAGUUGUCCAUAACCGGGGACACGGCUAAUCAUGAUUAGUUUGUACACUCUGCAGAGGUUUGUGCACUUUUCCCACAAGACUCGAUCUCCUCCGCUGGAUUUCUCGCACUGCAUGGUGUUUGAGAAACGGAUGACCGAGACACAGUCUUUCAGAAGCAUUAACUCUAACCCUGGGUAGACAGUACCAACCUACACCCCCUACAUCUGCUAGCCUACCACUGGAAGAGGUCAUGCAACAUACUCAACUAUGCUAGAGCCCAUAAUAGCUUGUGGUUGCACACGGAAGUUUCUAGCAUGAAUAAUCUUAUGAUCCCUUUGAGUCUGGGUGGCGGUCCAUAGGAUGAUCACACGGGUACUCCGGGAUAUCCAAAAAUACAGGCAACACUGGGUUCUCCAGGUGCCUCAAUCCACCCAGAUGUUUAUUUAAGUAGCCACCUUAAGUUGAACCAUUAAUUAACAACCUCACAUCUGUCAUGGAAAUUCACUCAAACCCAAUCCACGUCUACGAGCAUAGCAUAGCAAUAUAAGCAAACGUAGAAGUAACUCCCAAGGGUUUGAUAAUAAACAGGGCAAUAGGUUCCUACCUCAUCAACUACUUCCCAAUACCCACAUGUUAUCAAUCCUACUCAUGCAAUGUUUGAGGGUUGAAUCUAAUGCAUAAAAACUGGGUAUGAAAGGGGUAUGAUCAAAGUGUGAACUUGCCUGCAAUGUUGAUGAAGAUGAUUCGCACUCAAAACUCUUGAUAGUUCUACUCGUCACACUCCGGUCAAUCUAUCGUAAGCAAGCAAUAGUAACCACACAUAAGCAAUCACUCAAAAGAUCGGAAAGAACGAAGAAAACAAUUUGGAAAACUUCAAAACCAAGCUAAUAACUCUUGCAACAUAAAACAAUUUCUAACAGUACCAAAAUUAUGUGAACUUGGCCUUAUCAGAAGGUUUAGGUCAAGAGCUUCGGUUUGCAAAAAGAAUCAACUCAAACGGAGCUACAAAACUCAAGUUACGAUCAAAUGAAGUUCAAUUCUAAUCUGUUUGAAAUCAAAUUUUAAACUUUCAAAAACAAGGUUGAGUUGGAUUACUGGAAAGAGGGGAUCGUAACGAAGAAGUGGGCGUUGGUUUCAUUGGAUUUGGAUAAACGAGCAAAAAGUUGUGAUCGUUUGAAAAUCAGGGGCUAGACUGUAAAAUAAAUCAUCACAGAUAGGUCCCUGGCGAAAAACUAAAAUAAAAGAAAAAGACUAAAUGGCGAACGUUCACUACAGAAACUUACACGGCGAAAACCGUUCACUAUAGAGGCUAAACCAGCGAACGUUCAUUAAAUAAAACAAAAUGUUUUAAAAAAAGAAAAGGAAAAAAAACACCUCGAUCUGGACCGUUGGAUCCAGAUCGGACGGACGAGGGCAGGCGGCGGUUACCGCGGUGGCUGGAGUCGCCGGCGACGUGGGACGGCGGCGAUGGCGUCGGCUGCGAGCGGGGAGGCGGCUCCGGCGGUCGGCUGCUUCGGGUCGAAGCACGGGGAGGCGCGGCGCGGCGAGGUGAGGAGGAUGGCGGCGUCGGCGGCGGUCCUCGGCGACGGGACGAAGCGAGGCGGCAGUGGCAGAUCUCGUCGGGGCGGGACUCCGGCGAGGGCGGCGGUUGCGGCGGAGGAGGAGGAGAGAGAGGGCCCCGGGGCGGCACCCUUUAUAGGAGGGGAGGGGCAAGGUGGCGUGGAGGAGGGGGCAGGGCAAGGCGGCGGCGGUGUCCGGCUGGGGCACGGACGCCGAGGCAGUGCGGUGGCGUGCGGCGGCGUGCGGAGGGAGGAAUCCCGCUCGGGGCUCGGGGACGAGCGGCGUGGGCCGGCUGGGCCGUGGCCUGGCGAACUGGGCCGGCCCGGUCGGUCCGAGGAAGAGUUAAAAAAAAAGAAAACACAACAAAAUAAAAAAUGAAAUAAAAUGAAAUUGAUCCUACGCAUAUUUUAUAUCAAAAUUUUCAGAAAAAGAUUUCCUCCAAGAUGAACAUUUUUCUAGCGUCAAAUAAAAUCCACACAAAUUUAAAUAAAUCAAACAGUGCUACUGCCUUAAUAAAAUCCAAUAAAAUAAUUUUAAAAAUACCAAAAUGAUUUCAAAUUUAUUUCUCUCCAAUUUACUGAUGUAGGGAAUCAUGUUACCCUAUUUUACAUAAAUUUUUAUUUUGGAGAAAAAUAAUUUGAAUAAAACUCAAAUAACUCCAAUAUUGAAAAUAAUUUCAAAAUGGAUUUUAAAUUUGAGUUUCUUUGAAACUCCCAACUCAUAUUUCAUAUAUUUUGAAGAAGUCAUUUUAUCUUCUCUCAUGAAAAUCAUUGAGUUGCAUAAAGUUUCAGAAUUGGAAAUAUUUUCAAAUGAAAUUCAAAUAUUUUCAACACCCCUUGUCAUUUAAAUAAAUGGAAGAAGUCAUGUCAUCUUCUCUCCAGAGUUUUGUGGUGAAAAGAAUUUGAAUUCACGGAGAUCAUAAAGCAAAAAUGAAUGUUUGGGAAAGUCCUUUUAUUCCCUCUCAUUUAACUCUCAAAAAUUUCGAAUUUCACUCAAUCAAUCAAACAAUCAAUCAAAUCUAUCUAUUUAUUAUAACAUUCCAAAAUUUAGAAUUUUGGGAUGUUACAAACCUACCACCCUUAAAAUGAAUCUCCUCCUCGAGAUUCGGGGAGGCUAGAAAGAAAUAGGUUAGGUUUGGGGUCUUCUCAAAAUCCAUCGAUCAUCACCGGGGUCUGGGGUGCUACCACCCUUAGAAGCAUGGUUACGGUUCCAUCAAAACUCAGAUACUCCAUCCUUAUCUUUGACAGUGUCAGUCUUCUCAGAUUCUCGGAAAAAUUCCUUCUCUGGCUCUUUGGGUAGCGGCAUAACCUUUUCCUCAAUUCUUCUGUCUUUCAUCUUGGUAAGGUUAUUUCGAGACUGGGUCUUCUUAGCUGACGGGUCAGGCGCCAAUACUAAACAACUAUCGACAUCUCCUAGUGGUCAACAAUUUACGGUUUCUCCUGCAGGAAAUGGGUCUGGGUUGAACCUCACCGUAUAACCUACGGUUGGCAACAACUGCCGUGUACAAGGGACAAUACCUAUACCAUUCUAAGGUUUAAACAAGGUUUAAAUCGUCGUCACUCUACUAUAGGUAAGUCACUCAGAUUUACCAUCCCAUAUAGCAAGGCGAAUAAUAAGAGUAAGUCGGUAUGGUGAUCAAUCCAUCCCGCACCCAAAUCAUUACCUUGUACAUGGUUUAGCGAAUCUCGCAUUCUAACACUCGGUCAUUCUCGCAAGCAUUGCAGAAUUUCUCUUGUCAACGAACCAAGUUCGGAUAAAUCCAUGGAUUCUGCAAGCCAAACAAACAUCUAUCAUUCCUUCCCAACCCUCAGGUUUUGCGUAACUCCUAAUAGAUCGUCUGUCGAUAAAAUCAUAACUUCUUCCAGGGUCUUCCCUUCAACAAGAGUGUGCUUGCUUCUUGGCAGGUCCUGGGGCCUGUGGGUUAUGGCCCAUCUCAUCACUUGCAAACCUUGAAUUCAUCAUCAGGGCAACUGAUCCUUAUUCCAACAUCCAGCUUCCUAGCAUUCUUAAAUCCAUCCAAUUUUAUUGUCCUUCUUCCUUCUAUUAGCACCAAACUAAGACAUGAUUACUCAGACUCAUUAUGGAAUUUCCAUUGAUCCAUAUUUCCAACAUCAUACCUCCUUUUAUAUCCAAUAGUAAUUUAUCUCUUCAUCCUCGUGGGAUAUCCCACAUACCGAGAUAAAAAAACUUAUACUUAUGAAGUCCAUACUCCACUUCGUGGAACAUCAUUAUCCUUUCUAGGGUCAAGCGUCCUUACAGGGGAAUGUUGGCCAUCUCUGCAUGGCACUUCUUCAACUAGGAAACGUGAAACACAUCAUGAACUCCUGACAGUCCUUUGGGUGACUCCAGCUUGUUGGCCACUUCUCCCAUACGCUCCAAAACUCGGUAUGGUCCUACAAAUCUCGGGGCUAACUUUCCCUUAACUCCAAAUAGUUUAACUCCUCGCAGAGGGAACACACGAAGACAUGCUCCAUCUCCAAUUUCAUAGACUACCUCCUUUACAUCCAAUAAUACUCCAUACCCUCAUAUUCUUGGGGUAUCCAACAUAUCAAGAUAAAACUCAUACUUAUUUUGUUUGAAAUCCACUUCGUGGAAUAUCAUUACCUUUCUCCAAGGGUCAAGUUUCCUCACAGGGUACUACCACCUUUAAAAUGCACAAUCUUCCAUAGACCAUAUUUCUCAUAUCCUCGAAAAUGGUCAAAAUCUUUCUUCAUAGAGUAACGACUCAUAAAAUCCAAAUCAAUACCAAUGAUGCUAACUUUAUUGAUUCUCAAAUUAUUACAAUCUCCUGCAUUCCAUUACAUGCCUCAAUCCGACACCUCACUAAUAAAAGAAAUGACCACACUUCUACUACUAUAUUUCUUGUUGCACUCAACUAUUUGUCACAAGUCUCUGUCUCCUUGGGGCAUUUUCUGGCAAGCUUCAGCAGUAGACAGUGAUACGCAGUUCUGUUUCUUCGAGGACCAACAGACCAAAGAUCGUCCGAGGAAAUGACAUGUACCAGAUGUUGACUUGCGGUCCACACGAUCACCAUCCUAGUCAGAGUCAGAAUAUCCAAUGAGAUCAAAAGCCGAGCCCUUGGGGUACCAUAAUCCAAGUGUUGGUGUGUGAGCUAGAUAUUGAAGAAUAUGUUUCACAGCCUUAUGGUGUGAUUCCUUCGGUGUAGCUUGAAAUUGGGCACACAUGCAAACACUAAGCAUAAUAUCUGGCCUAGAUGCACAUAAAUACAAUAAAGAACCAAUCAUGGAGCGGUAUACCUUUUGAUCGAAGUCAAUACCAUUUUCAUCAGUGCACAGAUGGCCAUUUGUGGGCAUCGGAAUUUUGACGCCUUUGCAAUCUUGCAUGCCAAAUUUCCUCAGUACAUCCUGAGAUAUGAAUAUGCCAUUGCGCUGUUGACGAAUUUGAAGACCUAAGAAGAAUUUCAACUCUCCCAUCAUAGACAUUUGAUAUUCUUCACUCAUUAUAUAGGCAAAUUCAUCACUAUAACGUUGGUCAGUACAGCCAAAGAUGAUAUCAUCAACAUAUAUUUGGCACACAAACAAUUCAUCAUCAUAUGAUUUAGUGAAAAGUGUAGGGUCGAGUGAACCGGGUUUGAAGCCUUUCCUCAUGAGGAAUUCCUUCAAAGUAUCAUACCACGCCCGAGGGGCCUGCUUGAGGCCAUAGAGGGCCUUAUUUAGUCUGAAGACUUUGUCAGGAUGCUUAGGAUCUUCAAAACCUGGGGGUUGAGCAACAUAUACUUCUUCCUCAAGCUUACCAUUGAGGAAUGCACUUUUCACAUCCAUUUGAUAUAAAGUGAUAUCAUGAUGGUUAGCAUAAGCGAGUAAUAUGCGAAUAGCUUCAAGUCUAGCAACAGGUGCAAAAGUUUCAUCAAAAUCAAUUCCUUCAACCUGUGUGUAGCCUUGAGCUACUAGCCAUGCCUUAUUCCUCACCACAAGGCCAUUUUCAUCUUGCUUGUUGCGGUAUAUCCACUUUGUGCCAAUGAUAUUGUGUUUGCGAGGAUCUGGACGAUUGACCAGUUCCCAAACGUUGUUGAGCUCGAACUGAUGUAAUUCUUCUUGCAUGGCCUGAAUCCACUCAGGCUCCAGAAAUGCUUCAUCUACCUUAGUGGGCCCUGUGAUAGAGAAAAAAGCAUAGUGCCCACAAAAGUUAGAUAAAUGUGAAGCUUUUGAGCAUGUGAGAGGACCUGGUGCUUUAAUGUCAUCGAUGAUCUUUUCAACUUGCACUUCUUUUGCAACGCGAGGAUGAGUUGGUUGUCAUCGAGGAAUUUGAUCAGCAUUUUCUUCAGCACCAUUUUCUUCAGCAUUUUCUUCAGGUGCAUUAGCUCGACGUUCUUCAUGUUCUGGAAUGAAUUCUUUAGCAGAUUCUUCGGUAGGAAUGACAUCCUCAGUAGCCUUGAACUUGAUAGAUUCCCCAGGUGCUGGUUCAUCUAUCACAGAAGGUAGGUGCUCCCUUUGCGAGCCAUUAGUUUCAUCGAACCGCACAUCUACAGUUUCAACAACCUUGUGAAGAAUGUUGUUGAAGACUCUGUAGGUGUGCUAGUCCUUUCCGUAACCAAGCAUAAAACCUCCAUGUGCUUUCAGUGCAAAUUUAGCAUUGUGAUGAGGAUCUCUAAUCCAACAUUUAGCACCAAAGACUUUGAAAUAACUCACAUUGGGUUUCUUGUCAAUGAGGAGUUCAUAGGCAGUCUUCUUGAAGAAUUUGUGAAGAUAUACCCUGUUGAUGAUGUGGCAUGCAGUAUAAAUUGCCUCAAUCCAGAAGUGACGAGCCGUCUUGUACUCAUCAAGCAUAGUGCGAGCCAUCUCAACAAGAGUUCUGUUCUUGCGCUCCACGACGCCAUUUUGCUGAGGAGUGUAAGGAGCAGAUAACUCAUGAGUAAUACCAAGUUCAUCAAGAUAGUCAUCAAUACCAGAAUUCUUGAACUCAGUUCCAUUGUCACUUCUGAUGUGCUUGAUCUUCACACCAAAGUUGGUUGAAGACCUCGAGGAAAAUCGUUUGAAGACUUCCUGCACUUCAUGUUUGUAAGUGACAAUAUGUACCCAUGUGUAACGAGAGUAAUCAUCAACAAUAACAAAGCCAUAGAGAGAUGCAUCAUUUGUGAUUGCUGAGUAAUGGUUAGGACCGAAGAGAUCCAUAUGAAGCAAUUCAAAUGGUCGAGUAGUGGUCAUGAUAGUCUUCGAUGGAUGCUUAGCCUUGGUCAUCUUUCCAGCUUCACAAGCUCCACACAAGUGAUCCUUGAGGAAUUUGACAUUCUCAAUGCCAAUGACAUGCUUCUUCUUCGCAAGCGUGUGCAAAUUCCUGAUGCCUGCAUGACCAAGUCGUCGAUGCCAUAGCCAGCCUUCUGAAGCUUCUGCAAGUAGGCACACGGCUGGUUGUGGUCCUGUAGAGAAAUCAACAAUAUACAAGUCUCCUCUCCUAAAGCCUUCGAAGACUUUGGAAUUGUCAGCUUCCAUAACCACAACACAACGAUACUCGCCAAAGACAACAACCAUAUCAAGAUCACAAAGCAUUGAGACAAACAUGAGGUUGUAUCCUAAGGACUCGACGAGCAUACUUUGUCCAUUUGUUGAUCCUUUGUGAUCGCAACCUUACCUAGACCAAAUACCUGACUUUUGCCUUUGUCAACGAAGAUGAUAUGCUUCAGAUGCGAUGGUGAUAAGGGAGCAUCCAUCAAUAGAUUCUUGUCACCAGUCAUAUGAUUUGUACAUCCACUAUCGAGGACCCACUCAGUGGCUUUGGGUUGAACAUCCUGCAGAUGAAUUAGUGCAGCUUACGAACUUCAUAUACUUCAUCAAUGAAGAAUAUGACAUCACAAUUCAUCAGACCAAUUUCAUCAAGCAAUGCAAUAGUUAAAGCAGUAUGAGGACGUGAGAAAUGAAAGUUCAUUUCUUCAUGAUUAGCCUGCGUCUUUUCAGGCACUUUUCAGGUCUCCAGCAAAUUCUUCAGACGUUAAAGUACGUCUGGAGACCUGACCCUGCAUAAAAGAUUAGUUCUUUUUCUUCACCACCCACAUCUGAAGGGGUGGCAAAGAGUUCAUCACUCUGCGAGCUCCAUACGAGAAAGGUGGCAUAGAAGCCAAUCCAUUUCAUUUCACAUAAGAGGAGUUAGGGUAAGCAUAUGAAUAAGCAGAGAAAUUCUUCGAGGACUUAUGAACAUAAUGAUUAGAAGAAUAAUGCUCAUAUUCAUAGCCCUUAGCUCUUCCCUGCGAAACAGAGUUGUUAGCACGAUGAUGUCCAUAUGAGGACUUUGAUCCUUUUGAGGAAUAUGAUCCACGUGAGGAAUUCGAUCCGUAUGAGGACUUGGAUCCAUAUGAAGAAUUUGGUCCAUAUGAAGAAUUUGAUCUGGGGUUCCUAUUAUUCACAGGUGGUGUCAUGAGGACAUUCACCUGAAGACUUUCAAGGCACCUUUUGGGAACCCAGAUUUUCUUCAUAGGAGAACCGUUCCUGCAGUUAGUGCCAACAUAUCUAGCAAAUACUUCACCAUUCUGAUUUUUAAACAGUUUAUAGUUGGAGUCAAAUGACUUAUCGGAAGAAUGAGAAGAUUCACAUGUAAAGCCAAAUAAAUUAGAUGGAUCAACUGGAGGUCCCUUGGCAGCAACCCAUGAGGUUUUGGGGUACUGCUCAGGCUUCCAAUAUGUACCAUCAACAUUGAGUUUCCUCUCAAAGCAAUACCCUCUUUCCUAGGGUUCCUGUUGAGGAUCUGCUUUUUAAGCACAUCAUAAAGAGUCUGAUGCCCUUUGAGGCUUUUGUACAUGCCUGUCAUGUACAAUUCCUUCAGCCCUGCAUCGACAGUGAUACUAGCAAUGUUCUCAGAUGAGGAAUUAGUGAUAGCAGAGACAGUUGAAGAAUUUGUAGCAUUAGAAGCAUUUGAACAUUCAGGUGAAGAAUUAGCAGAUUCACGUUCAAUGCAUUUCAAACAUGGAGGAACAAAUUCUUCCUGAGAAGCGCUGAUUUGUUGAGCAAGUAAUGAAUCGUGCUCCUUCUGAAGAUCUUCAUAACUCACUCUUGGCUUCUCAAGAUCUUGCUUUCUUUGAAGAAAUUCAUAAGAAAGCUUCUCAUGAUCAGAUAAGAGAGUGUUAUGAUGACUUUGAAGGUUGUCAAACUUAUACUGAAGUCUCUGAAGAUUUUCAGUCAAGGUUUUAGUGCGGUCCAUUUCUUCACCCAACAUAUCAUCACUUUUAUCUAGCAUGUUUUGAACCUUUUCCAAGGCCUUUUGUUGUUUAGUGGCAAUACAAACAAGCUUGGUAUAGCUAGGUCCAAAAUCAUCAUCAGAUUCAUCAUCACUAGACUCGGAUGAGGAACAUUCGGUUACCUUGGCACCUUUUGCCAUUAGGCAUGGUGCAGAAGAUGAUGGUUCAGGUUCGAAAGUCAUCGUUUUGAGUGAUUCCUUGAAAUCCUCAAACCAGGGAUCGUGACAAGUUCGAUGACCUUCAUAGACGUCAGAGAUUCGGUCCCAGAUAAGCUUCGCAUUGCAAAGAUGCAUAAUGCGCCUGAAUUCAUCUCUGGAUAGGCAGGAACAGAUGAUAUCCUUCGUCAUGAUGUCAAGUCGAGUGUACUUGCGAAUAUCAUCAGUGUCUGCCAUCUUGCAUAGAUCGGUAAGACCAAACUCAGUGACGGUCCACAGCUCGCUGUUCAUUGCCAUGAGGCGUUUCCUCAUCAUGGCCUUCCACUUGGGAUAAUCAUGACCGUCAAAGAUGGGGCAUGUCACUUUCUUCAUACCAGUAGUCGACAUAACUAAAACUCCAGGCGGUUAAACCAAAAUCACACAGAACAAGGGAGUACCUUGCUCUGAUACCAAUUGAAAGUGUGUUAUAUCGACUAGAGGGGGGUGAAUAGGCGAUUUUUAUGAAUUCUUCACUGAGGAAUUUGCGGGUGAGGAAAUUCCUUAGCGAAGAACUACUUGCAGCGGAAUAAGUACUCAAGAGUAAGCAAAACAGAACAUAGGCAUGGUCAUCAUGAUGAAAUGAAGACAAACACAGAGUACAGAAAGCGUAAACACAGGAUGAAGACAAACAGACUGAAGAAAUUGAACUGAGGAAUUGAGAAAGUCUUCAGUCAAAGUCUUCAAACACAGAUAUGAACAAGUGCACAACACAGUUAUGAGGAAAUGAAAGAGUUGAGGAAAUAGAACCAGUAAGCUCGGUGAAGACAACGAUUUGGUAGACCAGUUUCAACUGCUGUCUCAAUUGUACAUCUGGUUGGAGCGGCUAGGUAUUUAAACCUGAGGACACACGGUCCCGGACACCCAGUCCUGAACACACAGUCCAGGACACCUAGUCCUCACCGUAUUCUCCUUGAGCUAAGGUCACACAGACCUCGCCCAAUCACUCGUGGUAAGUCUUCAGGUGACUUCCAAACCUUCACAGACUCGGUCACUCGGCGAUCCACAAUUUCCUCUUGGAUGCUCUAGACCAUGACGCCUAACCAUCUGGAAGAAGCACAAUCUUCAAAGGUAACAAGCGUCGGAUCCACGCAGGAUCAAUCUAUUCAGUGAUGCUCAAUCACUUUAGGUUUGUGGGUGUUGGGGUUUGGGUUUUCCUCACUUGAUGAUUUUCGCUCAAAGUCCUCAGAGGAUGGGAUGCUCUCAAAUGACAAGUGUCAGUUUCUCUUGGGGCAGCCAACCAGCUAGUGGUUGUAGGGGGCGGCUAUUUAUAGCCUAGGGAGCAGCCCAUCAUGAUAAGACAUAAAUGCCCUUAAAUGAUAUGACCUUUAGGUGGGUAGAUAUUUUGGGACAGCUGGCGUAUAGCACAGCAACGGUCGGAAAUUUGAGUAUCAAAUUCCUCAGGGCUAUCAUGUUCCUCACUGUGAUCCAUAUAUGUGCAAGCUCCAGCGAUCCAUUUAUGGACUGGUGCAAGCCUCUCGGAGUUGGAAUAUACGCUUUGAUAGUGUGACCAAAGCAUAUGGUUUUAUACAGACUUUUGGUGAAGCAUGUAUUUACAAGAAAGUGAGUGGGAGCACUACAACUUUUCUGAUAAGUAUAUGUGAAUGACAUAUUGUUGAUCAGAAAUGAUGUAGAAUUUUCUGAAAAGCAUAAAGGAGUGUUUGAAAGGAGUUUUUUCAAAGAAAGAGCUCGGUGAAGCUGCUUACGUAUUGAGCAUCAAGAUCUAUAGAUAUAUACCAAGACGCUUGAUAAGUUUUUUCAAUGAGUACAUACCUUGUCAAGUUUUCGAAGUAGUUCAAAAUGGAACAGUCAAAGAAGGAGUUCUUGCAUGUGUUGCAAGGUGUGAAGUUGAGUAAAGACUCAAAACCCGACCACGGUAGAAAAUAGAAAGAGAAUGAAAAGUCAUUCCCUAUGCCUCAGUCAUAGGUUCUAUAAAGUAUGCUAUUCUGUGUACCAGACCUAUUGUAUACCUUAGCAUGAUUUUGGCAAGGGAGUACAAUAGUGAUCUAGGAGUAGAUCGCUGGACAACAGUCAAAACUAUCCUUAGAGGACUCAGGAAAUAUUUCUCGGUUAUGGAGGUGACAAAGAGUUCGUCGUAAAGAGUUACGUCGAUGCAAGAUUUUACACCGAUCUAGACGACUCUGCGUCUCAAUCUGGAUACAUAUUGAAAGUGGUAGCAAUUAGCUAGAGUAGCUCCGUGCAGAGCAUUGUAGACAUAGAAAUUUGCAAAAUACUUACGGAUCUGAAUGUGGCAGACCCGUAGACUAAAACUUCUCUCACAACCAAAACAUGAUCACACCUUAUUACUCUUGGGUGUUAAUCACAUAAGCGAUGUGAACUAGAUUAUUGACUCUAGUAAACCCUUUGAGUGUUGGUCACAUGGUGAUGUGAACUAUAAAGUGUUAAAUCACAUGACGAUGUGAACUAUUGGUGAUAAAUCACAUGGCGAUGUGAACUAGAUUAUUGACUCUAGUGCAAGUGGGAGACUGAAGGAAAUAUACCCUAGAGGCAAUAAUAAAGUUGUUAUUAAUAUUUCCUUAUAUCAUGAUAAAUGUUUAUUAUUCAUGCUAGAAUUAUAUUAACCGGAAAUUUAGUACGUGUGUGAAUACAUAGACAAACAGAGUGUCACUAGUAUGCCUCUACUUGACUAGCUCGUUAAUCAAAGAUGGUUAAGUUUCCUAACCAUAGACAUGAGUUGUCAUUUGAUUAACGGGAUCACAUCAUUAGAGAAUGAUGUGAUUGACAUGACCCAUCCGUUAGUUUAGCAUGAUGAUCGUUUAGUUUGUUGCUAUUGGUUUCUUCAUGACUUAUACAUGUUCCUCUGACUAUGAGAUUAUGCAACUCCCGAAUACCGGAGGAACACUUAGUGUGCUAUCAAACAUCACAACAUAACUGGGUGAUUAUAAAGAUGCUCUACAGGUGUCUCCGAUGGUGUUUGUUGAGUUGGCAUAGAUCAAGAUUAGGAUUUGUCCCUCCGAUUGUCGAAGAGGUAUCUCUGGGCCCUGUCGGUAAUGCACAUCACUAUAAGCCUUGCAAGCAAUGUGAAUAAUGAGUUAGUUGCGGGAUGAUGCACUACGGAACGAGUAAAGAGACUUGCCGGUAACGAUAUUGAACUAGGUAUUGAGAUACCGACGAUCGAAUCUCGGGCAAGUAACAUACCGAUAACAAAGGGAACAAUGUAUGUUGUUGUGCGGUUUGACCGAUAAAGAUCUUCGUAGAAUAUGUGGGAGCCAAUAUGAGCAUCCAGGUUCCGCUAUUGGUUGUUGAUCGGAGAUGAGUCUCAGUCAUGUCUACAUAGUUCUCGAACCCGUAGGGUCCGCACGCUUAACAUUCGAUGACGAUCUGUAUUAUGAGUUUAUGUGUUUUGAUGUACGAAGGUAGUUCGGAGUCCCAGACGUGAUCACGGACAUGACGAGGAGUCUCGAAAUGGUCGAGACAUAAAGAUUGAUAUAUUGGAAGGCUAUGUUUGGACACCGAAAAGGUUUCGGAUGAGUUCGGGCAUUUUCCGGAGUACCGGGGGGGUUACCGGAACCCCCCGGGGAGUUAAUGGGCCUUAAUGGGCCAUGGUGGGAGAGAGGAGGAGGCGGCCAAGUGGGAGGCGCGUGCCCCCCAAGCCCAAUCCGAAUUGGGGGGGGGGCUUUUCUUCUCUCCUUCUCCCUCUUUCUUCUUCUCCUACUCCAACUAGGGAAGGGGGAACCUACUCCUACUAGGAGUAGGAAUCCCCCUUGGGGCGCGCCAUAGAGAGGGCCGGCCCUCCCCUCCUCCAAUCCUUUAUAUACGGGGGAGGGGGCACCCCAUAGACACACAAGUUAACAGUUGUUUUAGCCGUGUGCGGUGCCCCCCUCCACAGAUUUCCACCUCGGUCAUAUCGUUGCAGUGCUUAGGCAAAGCCCUGCGUCGGUAACAUCAUCAUCACCGUCACCACGCCGUCGUGCUGACGAAACUCUCCCUCGGCCUCAGCUAGAUCAAGAGUACGAGGGACGUCACCGAGCUGAACGUGUGCAGAUCCCGGAGGUGUCGUGCGUUCGGUACUUGAUCGGUUGGAUCGCGAAGACGUUUGACUACAUCAACCGUGUUACUUAACGCUCCCGCUUUCAGUCUACGAGGGUACGUGGACACAUUCUCCUCACUCGUUUCUAUGCAUCUCCUAGAUAGAUCUUGCGUGAUCGUAGGAAAGUUUUUGAAAUACUGUGUUCCCCAACACGAAGGUGUUUGUUGGGUUGGCAUAGAUCGAGAUUGGGAUUUGUCACUCCGAGUAUCGGAGAAGUAUCUCUGGGCCCUCUCAGUAAUACACAUCAUAAGAAGCCUUGCAAGUAAAGUGACUAAUGAGUUAGUUGUGGGAUGACGUAUUACGGAAUGAGUAAAGAGAGUUUCCGAUAAUGAGAUUGAAUUAGGUACGAAGAUACCGACGAUUGAAUCUCGGGCAAGUAACAUACCGAUGACAAAGGGAAUAACGUAUGUUGUCAUUACAGUUCGACCGAUAAAGAUCUUCAUAGAAUAUGUAGGAACCAAUAUGAGCAUCUAGGUUCCACUGUUUCUUAUUGACUAGAGAGGUGUCUCGUUCAUGUCUACAUAGUUCUCGAACCCGUAGGGUCCGCACGCUUAACGUUCGAUGACAAUUUUGUAUUAUAUCAGUUAUGUGAUUUGGUGACCGAAUGUUGUUCGGAGUCCCGGAUGAGAUCACGUACAUGAUGAGGAAUCUCGAAAUGGUCGAGAGGUAAAGAUUGAUAUAAAGGAUGAUAGUAUUCGGACACCGGAAGUGUUCCGAAGUGUAUCGGGUAUUUAUCGAACUAUCGGGGGGGGGGGGGGUUACCGGAAACCCCAGAGGGAAUAAUGGGCCUUAUGGGCCAUAGGAGGGGAGCACACCAGUCCACAAGGGGUGGCGCCCGCCUAAGUAAGGAGGCCGAGUGGGAGAAGGAAGAGGGGGUUCGGCCCCCUUUCCUUCCUCCCUUCCCUCUUCCCUUUUCCCCCUUUCGGUAAUAAGGAAAGGGGGGAGGGCGAAUUGGACUAGGCCCCCAAGUAGGAUUCCUCCUACUUGGGGCGUCCCAUGGCAGCUCCCCUCCCCCUCCCACCUAUAUAUAUGUGGGGAGGGGGCGCCUAGAAGACACACCAACAAUAGUUAGCCGUGUGCGGCGCUGAUGUCGCUUGAAGCUACGUCGGUAUUUCCCCAAAGAGGAAGGGAUGAUGCAGCACAGUGGCGGUAGGUAUUUCCCUCAGAUAUGAAACCAAGGUUAUCAAACCAGUAGGAGAACCAAGCAACACAACGUAAACAGCCCCUGCACACAGAUAACAAAUCCUCGCAACCCGACGUGUUAAAGGGGUUGUCAAUCCCUUCCGGGGUACGGCGCCUCAAGAUAGGCAAAUGGACGUGAGGUAAAUUUGUAGUAGAUUGAAAGAUAGAUCGCAAAUAAAAUAAAUAGAAAUAAAACACAGCAAGGUAUUUUUUGUAUCUUUGGUUUAAUCGACCUGAAAAUAAAUGCAAGGAAAAAGUAGAUCGCAAAGGCAAAUAUAUUAGAAAGAAGACCCGGGGGCCGUAGGUUUCACUAGUGGCUUCUCUCGAGAAGAAUAGCAAAUGGUGGGUGAACAAAUUACUAUUGGGCAAUUGACAGAACAUCAAAUAAUCAUGACGAUAUCCAGGCAAUGAUCAUUAUAUAGGCAUCGCGUCCAAGAUUAGUAGACCGACUCCUGCCUGCAUCUACUACUAUUACUCCACACAUCAACCGCUAUCCAGCAUGCAUCUGGUGUAUUAAGUUCAUGGAAAAAUGGAGUAAUGCAAUAAGAACGAUGACAUGAUGUAGACAAGAUCUAUCUAUGUAGAGAUAGACCCCAUCAUUUUAUCCUUAGUAGCAACUAUACAUACAUGUUGUUUCCCUUUCUGUCACUAGGAUCAAGCACCGUAAGAUCGAACCCACUACAAAGCACCUUUUCCCAUUGCAAGAUAAAUAGAUAAAGUUGGCCAAAAAACCCAAAUAUUGGAGAAGAAAUACGAGGCUAUAAGCAAUCAUGCAUAAAAGAGAUCAAAGAAACUCAAAUACUUUCAUCGAUAUAAAAAGAUAGAUCUGAUCAUAAACUCCAAGUUCAUUGAUCCCAACAAACACACGGCAAAAGAGUUACAUCAUAUGGAUCUCCAAGAGACCAUUGUAUUGAGAAUUCAGCGAGAGAGAGGAAGCCAUCUAGCUACUAACUACGGACCCGAAGGUCUAUGCUACCUCUUGAGCACUGCGUUGGUUUUCCCUUGAAGUGGAAAGGGUGAUGCAGCAAAGUAGCGUAAGUAUUUCCCUCAGUUUUUGAGAACCAAGGUAUCAAUCUAGUAGGAGGCUACGCGCGAGUCCCUCGCACCUACACAAAACAAAUAAAUCCUCGCAACCAACGCGAUAAGGGGUUGUCAAUCCCUUCAUGGUCACUUACGAGAGUGAGAUCUGAUAGAUAUGAUAGGAUAAUAUUUUUGGUAUUUUUGUGAUAAAGAUGCAAAGUAAAAUAAAAGCAAAGUAAAAGCAAAGGAAAUAAAUAAGUAUUGGAAGAUUAAUAUGAUGAAGAUAGACCGGGGGCCAUAGGUUUCACUAGUGGCUUCUCUCGAGAGCAUAAGUAUUUUACGGUGGGUGAACAAAUUACUGUUGAGCAAUUGACAGAAUUGAGCAUGGUUAUGAGAAUAUCUAGGUAUGAUCAUGUAUAUAGGCAUCACGUCCGAGACAAGUAGACCGACUCCUGCCUGCAUCUACUACUAUUACUCCACUCAUCGACCGCUAUCCAGCAUGCAUCUAGAGUAUUAAGUUCAUAAAAACAGAGUAACGCCUUAAGCAAGAUGACAUGAUGUAGACGGAUAAAUUCAUGCAAUAUGAUAAAAAAACCAUCUUGUUAUCCUCGAUGGCAACAAUACAAUACGUGCCUUGCUGCCCCUACUGUCACUGGGAAAGGACACCGCAAGAUUGAACCAAAAGCUAAGCACUUCUCCCAUUGCAAGAAAGAUCAAUCUAGUAGGCCAAACCAAACUGAUAAUUCGAAGAGACUUGCAAAGAUAACCAAUCAUACAUAAAAGAAUUCAGAGAAGAUUCAAAUAUUGUUCGUAGAUAAUCUUGAUCAUAAACCCACAAUUCAUCGGUCUCAACAAACACACUGCAAAAGAAGAUUACAUCGAAUAGAUCUCCACAAGAGAGGGGGAGAACAUUGUAUUGAGAUCCAAAAAGAGAGAAGAAGCCAUCUAGCUACUAACUAUGGACCCGAAGGUCUGAGGUAAACUACUCACACUUCAUUGGAGGGGCUAUGGUGUUGAUGUAUAAGCCCUCCGUGAUCGAUGCCCCCUCCGGCGGAGCUCCGGAACAGGCCCCAAGAUGGGAUCUCGUGGGUACAGAAGGUUGCGGCGGCGGAAUUAGGUUUUUGGCUCCGUCUCUGAUCGUUUGGGGGUACGUCGGUAUAUAUAGGAGGAAGGAGUACGUCGGUGGAGCAACAGGGGGCCCACGAGGGUGGAGGGCACGCCCUGGGGGGGUAGGCCCGCCCCCUACCUCGUGGACUCUUUUGUUUCUUGACAUGGGGUCCAAGUCUCCUGGAUCAUAUUCUUCCUAAAAAUCACGUUCCCGAAGGUUUCAUUCCGUUUGGACUCCGUUUGAUAUUCCUUUUCUGCGAAACUCUGAAAUAGGAAAAAACAGCAAUUCUGGGCUGGGCCUCCAGUUAAUAGGUUAGUCCUAAAAAUAAUAUAGAAGUGAAUAAUAAAGCCCAAUAAUGUCCAAAAUAGUAGAUAAUAUAGCAUGGAGCAAUCAAAAAUUAUAGAUACGUUGGAGACGUAUCAAGCAUCCCCAAGCUUAAUUCCUGCUCGUCCUCGAGUAGGUAAAUGAUAAAAACAAAUUUUUUGAUGCGGAGUGCUACUUGGAAUAAUUCCAAUGUAAUUCUUCUUAAUUGUGGUAUGAAUAUUCAGAUCCGAAAGAUUCAAGACAAAAGUUUAAUAUUGACAUAAAAAUAAUAAUACUUCAAGCAUACUAACAAAGCAAUUAUGUCUUCUCAAAAUAACAUGGACAAAGAAAGCUAUCCCUACAAAAUCAUAUUGUCUGGCUAUGCUCUAUCUUCACCGCACAAAGUAUUUAAAUCAUGCACAAACCCAAUGACAAGCCAAGCAAUUGUUUCAUACUUUUGACAUUCUCAAACUUUUUCAAUCUUCACGCAAUACAUGAGCGUGAGCCAUGGACAUAGCACUAUAUGUGGAAUAGAAUGGUGGUCGUGGAGAAGACAAAAAAGGAGAAGAUAGUCUCACAUCAACUAGGCGUAUCAACGGGCUAUGGAGAUGCCCAUCAAUAGAUAUCAAUGUGAGUGAGUAUGGAUUGCCAUGCAACAGAUACACUAGAGCUAUAAGUAUAUGAAAGCUCAACAAAAGAAACUAAAUGGGUGUGCAUCCAACUCGCUUGCUCAUGAAGACCUAGGGCAUUUUGAGGAAGCCCAUCAUUGGAAUAUACAAGCCAAGUUCUAUAAUGAAAAAUUCCCACUAGUAUAUGAAAGUGACAAAAUGAGAGACUCUCUAUCAUGAAGAUCAUGGUGCUACUUUGAAGCACAAGUGUGGUAAAAGGAUAGUAACAUUGUCCCUUCUCUCUUUUUCUCUGAUAUUUUUUUUAUUUGGGCCUUUCUCUUUUUUAUGGCCUCUUUUAUUAUUAUUAUUUUUCGUCCGGAGUCUCAUCCUGACUUGUGGGGCAAUCAUAGUCUCCAUCAUCCUUUUCCUCACUUGGGAAAAUGCUCUAAAAAUGAAGAUCAUCACUGUUGAGGAUAUAGACCUUAGAGUCACCCGCCAGGAGGGGCCGGGUUACUCAUAUGGUCAUUGCCAGAAGCCCGGCGCCGAGCUUAAAGACGGUGGGCCAAAGACGGGCUUAGGACCCGGAUAUGGCUUAAGGCCCGUAGUUACAAUCAUUAUUAUGGUAGAACUUGUAGUGUAAGGCAAGAGUAGUCGAGAGUCCGAGCCGGACACUCUUAUGAGCCGGCCGGGGCUCUGAGAACUGCUGGGCGUCAGCCUCCCUAUAUAAAGGGACGACCCGGCAGCGGUUUGGGGGCGAGAACAAUCUCAUCGAGAGCCAAGCAUAGCAGUUUAGCUCCCUGGUGAUCGUAACCUUAAUCAAUACCACCUCAAACUGGACGUAGGCUUUUACCUUCACCGUAAGGGGCCGAACCAGUAUAAACCCUCGUGUUCCUUGUCCCGCAUUAACCCCUUCAAGCUUCCUAGCUGCGAUGGCUCCACGACUAAGUCCUAGCUCGAGGACAUCUGCCGUGACAAUUCUGUGACAGUUGGCGCCCACCGUGGGGCCAGCGCACGGUGGGUUUGAGUUCUUGAAGGGCGGCUUCGAAGGGCUCAAGGGAUACGCUGUGGGCCGGAUGACCAAGAGUCGUCGCGGCAAGCUCUACAUCGACGAUGCAAGCUGGGGCCCCGACGCCGGCUCAAUUGAGUACGGGUACCGGGUCCCCUUCGGCGGAAUUCAUGUUUUCAUUGGCAAGAUUGGUGAGCCGGGCCCUGAGCCGGGUCUCUGCGCCGAUCUCGUCGAGACGGCUCAGCGUGCAUGACCCGCCCGGGCCCGGCCUGCCUUAAGGCAUGCUUUUGUGGGAUGUAUCCAUGGAGGGGCCUCUGAUCGAUCUGGAUCUGGUGAUGAGGCGGCCGCCGGUGCUGACGGCGAGUCGUCCACCAACGAGUCAAACUCGUUGUAUCAACUUCAAGAUGGCAGGCUCAUGGGUUGUUCCGAUGGUGACAGUAUUCCGGACCCGUUUGAGCCGCCAAGUCAGGUUGGAGUCUUUAUGGCCGGUGCACAGUCUGUUCAGAACCCCGUUGCUGGAGCGGGAAACCCGGUGCCCUCGCCGGCUCAGGUACUAAUGGAUCUCACGGACAAGAUGACGGCUCUGUUAACCGCCACGGUUGACCUGGCAGAUCAAGCUCAGCAUGAUGCGGAGGUGGCGCAGUUAAAAUUGGAUCUAGUGAAAGCUAAGGAGGAUCUGGCAGCAGAAGGGAUCAGGAUGGCUGCGGAAAGGGCGGCUCUCGACGCCCAAACCCAGUUGAUUCAAGCGCAGUCCUUCCGGCUCACGAUGGAUCAAAACGCGUCCAAUGAGGUCCUGAGAAGGAGGCAUCAAAAGUCCCAAUCCCGACUCCCUCCGGUUUACGAUCCACGAAACCUCUUCAACACGCCAGGUGCAGGAUCUAGUAACCCGCCAGGGGUCAUAGUGCCCGGGUCUGGGACCCCUAUUCAGCCAGAAGUGAUGGGGCCUCCCCAGGUGCCCCCAGCCCCACCUCAGUACGUGCCAAUACCCCCGGGUCAUUAUAAUAACCCGCUGGAGAACAUGGUCGCCGCGGCGGCACGGCUGGCGGCUCUCCCGGUUGACGGCGACUCUCCGACGGCUAUUGAAACCCGCCGGGUCAGGGAACUCCUCCACCCAACAACCCCAGCCCAGGCCGGAGCCCGAGUUACAGCAGGCACAUGGUCUCAGCGACCGGCUCAAGUAACGUCCGACGCCAUGACCCGCCCCCUGGCCAUGGCCCGGCUCAUAACGGAGCCUUUCACGCGGCAGACCAAGACAGAGCACGGCGAGAGGCGGAGCAGGUGCCCCAGCUGACGGCUUACCAGACUCCCCAGCUUAUCCGACGGCUUCCGUCGACGUGGGUAUCCCUACCAGGACUGGGGGUGUCCCUUGUUUAGUGCCAGCUAUCCGCAACGAACGUUUACCCAAGGACUUCAAAGGCCCUAGGAAGGUGCCUAAUUACACAACAGACUUACAACCCGCAGCCUGGAUCGAGAGUUACGAGAUGGCUAUGGAACUGCUGGAGGUCAGUGAGGCGGCCAUGGCUAAGUACUUCACCAUGAUGUUAGAUGGGACUGCCCGCACUUGGUUGAAAGGGCUACCACCGAAUUCCAUUGGGUCUUGGGCUGAGCUGAAGGCCCGGUUCAUCCAAAACUUCAAGGAUACCUGUAGGCAGUCUAUGUCAAUCGUGGAUUUGACUAACUGCAAGCAGUAGGAGGGUGUCUACGACACAUUGGGUUCGCCGGGUUAAGGAGAUAAUACAUUCCUCGGAUAAAAUGGAUGCCGGCUCUGCAGUCUUAAUGUUGGAGCAGAAUUGUCGUUUUGUGCCCCUGAAGAUGAAACUCAGGCGGCUUAAGCGCGACUGCAAUGAUAUGGGUACAAUGAUGGCGGCUCUUGUCAAAUACGCCGAUUCUGAUGGUACCAAGGACCCCGCUUCAGAUGAUGAAAGGACAGGGAAGGGAAAGAAGAACGGUAAUGGCAAGGGUCCUCAGCAUAACCCGGGAAACCAAGGAGGAGGCAAGCGCAAGGCCGAUGGCAGCCUAGAGUUUGUAGCCAACGCCAGCUCGCAAGGUAGUAACCAGCGACGCAAGGGGAGGCCCCCUCCCCGAGGUGGCGGGUCCGGCCCGACGCUGGAACAACUGUUGAAUGAGCCUUGUCCAAGGCAUGGCUCUAGAGAGAAGCUAGCAACUCAUCUAUGGAAGGAUUGUGCAAUCAUGAAGGCCUUUAAGAAUUACAAUGGCCCGGGCGGCGGCUCAGGCGCCGGCGGCUUUCAUGGCCCGGGCGGCGGCUCAAAUUCUAACCCUCAGAACGGUCAAGGGGGCUUUAAUCAGCAGUCUGGCCAGGGUCAUCAACAGCAGCAGGGAGGUUAUCAGACCAAUCCAAAGCAGCUUAGCGGUGGGCAGUAUCAUGUGUUUACCACCAGUCUGUGCAAGCGAGAUCAGAAGCUUCAUAAGAGGGCUGUGAACGCUGUUGAGCCGGCGGUUCCACGCUACUUGCGGUGGUCAGAGCAACCUAUAGUGUGGAGUAGGGAGGAUCACCCUCCCCGGGUGGAUAAUCCGGGUCACUUGGCCCUGGUGGUGGCUCCUCAGGUGGGAGGAUAUAAGUUCACUAAGGUACUCAUGGAUGGGGGCAGCAGCAUCAACAUCCUCUAUUAUGAGACAUUUCGUCGUAUGGGGUUGAUUGAUAAGAAUCUCAGCCAAUCAAACACUAUUUUCCACGGUGUGGUACCUGGUAAGUCGGCUUACCCAGUCGGCAAGAUCGAGUUGGAAGUGGCCUUCGGAGAUGAGAACAACUAAGGGUGGAAAAUUUGACCUUUGAGGUGGUCAAGAUAAGAAGUCCGUACCAUGCCAUAUUUGGGCGGCCGGCUUACGCCAAGUUCAUGGCACGACCGUGUUACGUAUAUUUACAGCUCAAGAUGCCGGGUCAUAAUGGGACCAUUACGGUUCACGGCAGCCGGAAGGUGGCCUUGGAAUGUGAGGAAGGCGAUGCAGCUUAUGCAGAAUCUGUUUGUGCAGCAGAGGAGUUGAAGUUUUACAAAGACAACGUCGACCCAACAGAUAUGACCUCUCUGAAAAAGCCGACUACGGAGCAUGAGCCGGCAAUGAAAUUUAAGCCGGCUGAUGAGACUAAACUUGUUGACUUCGUUCCAGGAGAUUCAUCUCAGCAAUUCAGCAUCAGUGCCAAUCUGGAUCCAAAAUAGGAAAGCGCGCUCAUCGAGUUCAUCCGUGAGAAUAGGGACAUCUUCGCAUGGAAACCUUCUGACAUGCCAGGUGUACCUAGAUAACUCGCUGAGCACACUCUCAAUGUUGAUCCGAAAUUUAAGCCGGUUAGACAGUUCCUUCGGCGGUUUAAUGAAGAGAGGCGGAAAGCCAUUGGCGAAGAGGUGGCCCGGCUCUUGGCGGCCGGGUUUAUUGUUGAAGUCUUCCACCCCGAAUGGUUAGCUAACCCGGUGCUCGUACUCAAGAAGAACGGCACUUGGCGGAUGUGUGUGGACUACACGGACUUAAAUAAAGCAUGUCCGGCUGAUCCUUUUGCCCUUCCCCGUAUUGAUCAAAUUAUUGAUGCUACGGCCGGUUGUGCGCACUUAAGUUUCCUGGACGCUUAUUCAGGAUAUCAUCAGAUUAAAAUGGCAGUUAAGGACCAGGAGAAGACGGCGUUCAUCACUCCCUUUGGAUCCUUCUACUAUGUAUCCAUGCCCUUUGGACUCAAGUGUGCACAGGCGACUUAUCAGUGUUGCGUGCAGAACUGUCUUCAUAAACAGAUUGGGCGCAAUGUUCAUGCUUAUGUGGAUGAUAUUGUGGUUAAAUCCAUAAAGGAGGAAACCCUGAUAGAUGAUUUGAGAGAAACCUUUGAUAAUCUCCGGGUCUACAAGAUGAUGCUUAACCCGGCCAAGUGUGUCUUUGGUGUCCCUGCAGGCAAGCUCUUGGGUUUUUUGGUUUCUGACAGAGGCAUUGAGGCUAACCCGGAGAAGAUCAAGGCCAUCACCUCCCUGGCUAAGCCGGCGUGUAUAAAUGACGUUCAGCGUUUGGCGGGUCGCAUCGCUGCUUUAAGCCGGUUUAUAAGCCGUUUGGGUGAGAAGGCCAUGCCAUUAUAUCAGUUGAUGAAGAAAACUGAUAACUUUGUCUGGAAUGAUGCAGCUAAUACCGCUUUUGAGGAUUUGAAGAAGCAGCUGGCAGAGCCCCCAGUCCUUGCUGCUCCGGUUGAUAAGGAGCCCUUAUUACUGUACGUGGCGGCGAACACACGAGCCGUCAGUGUGGCUGUGGUGGUGGAACGCAAGGAAGAGGGUAAGGAGCAUCCGGUUCAGCGGCCGGUUUAUUAUGUCAGCGAAGUGCUUAUCGAGUCCAAACAGCGGUAUCCACAUUGGCAGAAGCUUGUUUAUGGUGUGUUCAUGGCAAGCCGGAAGCUUAAGCAUUAUUUCCAGGGUCAUCCCAUAACCGUGGUUAGUUCUGCCCCUCUUGGUGAUAUCAUUCAAAACAGAGAGGCCACAGGGAGAGUGGCUAAGUGGGCUAUCGAGCUCGGACCUCAUGGUCUCAAAUAUGUGCCACGCACUGCUGUUAAAUCUCAGGCCCUGGUGGAUUUCAUCAAUGAUUGGACAGAGUCACAAGUGCCCGAGCAAAAGCCGGAUAACACAUAUUGGACUAUUCACUUCGAUGGGUCCAGGCAGUUGGAGGGCUCGGGGGCUGGAGUUGUAUUGGCUUCCCCUAAAGGUGACAAGUUCCAUUAUGUGCUACAGUUGAUGUUUCCUUGCACUAACAAUGUGGCUGAGUACGAGGCCUUGCUCCACGGUCUUCGGAUUGCAAAGGAGAUGAGCUUGAGCCGGGUAAGGUGUUUCGGUGACUCAGACUUGGUGGCUCAACAAGUAUCAGGCAAGUGGGACUCUAAGGACCCUCUCAUGGCGGCUUAUCGCCGCGAAGUUGAUGCCAUUGCUGGGCACUUUCAGGGCUACCAAGUAGAGCACAUUGAUCGUAGGAAGAACGAGGCGGCUGAUGCUUUAAGCCGGCUAGGCUCGCAGCGAAAGCCGGUGCCGCCUAAUACUUUCCUGGAUGUCUUGUAUAAUCCUUCUGUUAAGUUGCCUACAGAGGAAAACUUGGCUGUCCCCGACCCGGAGGCACGACUGGUGGCGGCUCUCCAUAUAAUACCAGACUGGACAAUGCCCUAUCUGGCUUACAUGACCCGGGGCGAGUUGCCUGAGGAUGAAACUUUGGCCAGGCAAAUAACCCGGCGGGUUAAGUCAAUGAUUGUUAUCAAUGGUGAGUUGCACCACCGCAGUGUUACGGGAGCGUUUCAGCGUUGUGUUUCCCCUGAGGAAGGGCAAGAGAUCUUGCGUGAGAUCCAUGAAGGGGAUUGUGGCCAUCACGCCGGCUCAAAGUCUCUUGUGGCCAAGGCUUUUCGUCAUGGUUUUUAUUGAUUGACGGCUCAUGCUGAUGCAGAGGACUUGGUCAGUAAGUGUGAUGGUUGCCAAAGGUUCUCGCGACGGGCUCAUGUACCGGCUCAAGAGCUGAGGAUGAUCCCAAUUACUUGGCCCUUUGCGGUCUGGGGGCUGGAUAUGGUUGGGCCUUUCAAAAGAUCCAAGGAUAAGAAGACCCACCUUUUGGUGGCAGUUGACAAGUUUACCAAGUGGGUUGAAGCGGAGCCAGUUAGCAAGUGCGAUGCAGCCACGGCGGUUCAGUUUAUGAAAAAGGUGAUCUUUCGCUUUGGUUUUCCACACAGCAUUAUAACUGACAAUGGCACCAAUUUAUCCAAAGGCGCCAUGGAGGAGUUUUGUCAAUGAGAGCGUAUCCGACUUGAUGUUUCCUCGGUGGCUCAUCCUCAAUCCAAUGGUCAGGCGGAGAGAGCUAAUCAGGAGAUUCUGAAGGGCAUCAAGCCCCGGCUUUUGGUCCCUUUGCAACGGACGCCGGGUUGUUGGGUGGAGGAGUUGCCCUCCGUGUUAUGGAGCAUCAACACUACUCCUAACAGGUCUACAGGUUUUACGCCUUUCUUCAUGGUUUAUGGGGCAGAAGCAGUCCUCCCCAGUGACAUCCGUCAUGACUCACCUCGAGUGGCGGCUUACGUUGAGGCGGAUAAUGAACAGGCACGCCAGGAUGCUCUUGACUUGUUGGACGAACAGCGUGAUGUGGCAGCAGCCCGUUCAGCGAUUUACCAACAAGACCUGCGCCGUUAUCAUAGCCGCCGGGUUAAAUCCCGGGUCUUCCAGGAAGGUGAUCUCGUGCUCCGGCUCAUCCAGAUGCGCACAAGCUAUCCCCGCCUUGGGAAGGGCCCUUUGUGGUCAGCAAGAAUUUGCACAACGGGUCAAAUUACCUCAUUGACAUUCGGGAGCACAAAGAUUCACGUAAGUCGGAGGAAGAGAACCAACGGCCGUGGAACAUAGCUCAGCUUCGGCCUUACUACACUUGAGCCACCGGAUCUCAUGAUGUACAUACUUCUCUAAGCCAUGUAUAUAUUAUGAUAAGCAAUAAAGCAGGACCUCUGUCCUUUUUUCUCCUCCAAAUGUGCACGUGUUGUUUUCAUUGCCAGAUUACAUGAUAACUUGAAGGAGGAUCCGGCUUAUGAUCGUAUUCGAAUCUAGCCGUAGGCGAUAAUGUCACUUGGGGGCUUCCUGUUCAAACAUAGGUCGUAUUCGAACCAAAGAGAACACAGCUGUCGAUACCCAUUUGAUUGGCAAAGUGCCGAGCUCAUUGGGGAGUUUUCUUUGAUCAUAUUUGAAUCUUAGUUUAACCCCUUUUGAGAACCGACGUGGAUCGUAUUCGAAUCAGCGUCGUUAAACAAUUCUUAAAGUCAUUUGGGGGCUUCCUGUUCAAACAUGGGUCGUAUUCGAACCAAAGAGAACAUAGCUGUCGAUACCCUCUUGAUUGGCAUCACCACACCCACUGGGGGCUAUAUGAUCGUAUUCGAAUCCUAGCAUAACCCCUUUGGGCCGGGUCUCUGGUCGUAUCCGAACCGGAAGCCCCUAAGUUCCUCUGCUUUAUAGCAAGUUCCGUCUGUUUCUUUCCAAGUGUGUACGGCCGGGUCUCACUUUGCCGGCUUAACUUUGGUUUACAGUAUUAGCUGAACACAAUGGGUGUUAUUAAGACAGGUAAACCGGAAUUUCGGUACCAACCUUCCUACCCGGGUUAUCUAAGCCGGAAGUAUGCUUGCAGGCCGCUAAGUAUGUUAUUACGGCUGUAUUCAGGAUAUUAUUGAAGACCAGUCCUUUUUUGAUUUAUAUUCCGGGUUAUCUAAAACCUAUGAUUCUCAGGGCGGUCAGCCUCCUCGAGGCUUGUUAUUUGUCUUUCUCUGCAGGAUAGUUACAGGCAACUAUUUUGAGAGUGAGGAAAACAAAUGAUUAAUUAUGACCCGGAGAAACAUAAAGGAGACAAUUUCAACAGACUUCAGAAUUCAAGGCGUGCACGAUGGCACGGCAAAGAUGAAGUAUUGGUCCUACUCCAUUACAAGACUCAUUGAGUCCAAAAGGGUGAGGCAUUGUUUGCUAAGCCGCCAGCCAAGUUACGACGCUUGUUGAGUUGAAGUCUCCGGCUCGUUCCUAUCUUCUCCUCCGGCUGAUCCCAAGACCUGGAAAGUUGAUGACUUCCAGCCGAUGCCGCUGAGAGCUUCGAAUUGGGCUUCCUCGUCAAUUAACCCGGCCGGGUCAAUCUCCGGGGCGAAGGUGUGCUGACGAGCCGGCAGGAUCAAGUUAAGGGCUUCAUAGCGCCGAGUAGGGAUCCUCUGAUUUUCUGCAUCGUAGCCCGGCUGAUAUUUAGUCAGAUCUAUAUCGUUGCCAAUCAGAGUGGCCACCGGGCGUACGGCCUUCACGCAAGCUGCGAAGUCCUUCUGAUCGAAAGCGGAGCCGUCUUCCUUCAGGCUUGGAUAGCCAAGGGCGAUGUCCGCCGGGUCUAACUCCGGCAGGAACGCCUUGGCCCGGCUCAGCGCAGCGAUCGCUCCGGCUCUUGCAGAGGCCCGUCGCAGCUCUUGGAUCCGUUGAGGCAGAAUGGCGAGCCGGCGCAGGACUUCUGCCAGGUGAGUCGGCACCUCGUUGGAUAGGGCCACCACAGCCAAGGCACGCUGUGACCCGGUGUAGAGCUGCUCCACCAGGGUAUACACGGCCUUCAGCUUGGUUACCACGCUGUGGUUGAGAUUGGCACUUCUGGGACCUGUUUAACAGAAUCAGAUAAGCCGCCGACAAGGAUGAAUUAUGAGAUAUAAAAUUCUAAACUUGAUGAAAGCCGGUGAGGCGACUUACCGAAGAUUGCGGCCACCAUCUGGGACACCUGGCGCUUUAGGCCGGAGAGCUCGGCGGUCUUCUCGGAGAGAGCUUUCUCCGCCUGUUCAGCCCGGUUCACCAAUGCGGCCUUCUCUUCGGCCCACGCCUUCCGCUCAGCGUCAAACUCCGUCUUCAGCUUCUCUUGAGCGGUGAUGCUGGACACAAAUUUGGCAUUUGCCUUCCGGGUCUCCAUCUCUUGCAUCUUCAGCCGGUUCUUGAGAUCGGCCAUGUCAGCCUCAAGCUUCUUGCCAGCAGCCUGCAUAAAUUUCCGGGUUAUGACAGGAACGGUUACUAUACAAAUUUAAAAGUCCCAAGCGUUUUCCAAGCAAAGACACUUGGCACUUGGGGGCUAAUGCAUAUUGAACGUAUCUAUCUACAAACCGCCGGUUCAACUGAGUAAGCCGGAACCUAAGUCUACAACAUAUUCAAUCAUAAUUCGUCGACUUGGGGGCUAGCAUGGUAAAGGUAACUAUGCAGUAAGUAAGAGGACAGCAGAAUGAUACCUCAGAUUUCUACUGGAUCUGGUUCACCAUGGCAACCUCUGCGUCCCGGCUCUUGUGCACUUGGCUGAUGUAGCCAGAGACGAGCCCUCCAAUGCUCAGGUUGGCGUAGUCGGAGAGAUCCAGGUUCACCCGGUGGGGCUGCAGCAACUCCCCCUUAGCGGAGCACUUGGCCAGUGCGGUAGGUGUCCCCGGCUCAACAAAUUCCGUCCGGGUGAUUACCACGCCUGGAUCAUUUGUUGGUUGAGCCGAGCCGGAGGCCUCCGGGUUAGCAGAAGCUUCGGCAGCUGCCUUGUUGUUUGGAGCGGCGGCUUCGGGAGCGGAGGCAGCUGGCGGUUCUUGAUCUGCUGCCUCCGGCUCAGGCAACUCCGGCUCUUCGAUUGGCUUGGCCUUCUUCGCCCUCUUGGUGAGUUUGGCUUGGGCACUGAAAGGACAGAAACGUUAAGCACAAAAGGGUAAGUAAAGACAAGUAUAGCAUGAGAUGGUUAUCAUUACCCGGGCGCGGUCUUGAAAGCCGGCAGACUCGACUGCAUAGAGUCGCUCGAAGAGGGGGAGGUCUCCUGAUAAUUUGAGUCAGAAGAAUUGAGUGGCUGACGGAUAACACCCGCCAAGGGAUGAAAAGGGUACGAGUGGGAAAUAACCUCAGUUCGGCGCUUCCUCGAUGCGUCAGGUAAACCGGAGGAGAGGUCGAUGUCCUUGUUGGUCCGGGUGUGACGCUGGCUCUCAUGAACCUGUCGCUUCAAAAUAAAUUGAGGAUCUUGAUAAGCUAAAGGAUGUGAAAAUCUUACUUUCCGGGUUACCCUUCGGACUUUCAGCCUUGGCAAGGGCUCCGAGUCGGAGGAAAGUGACAUUACCUCUUCAACCACCGGGUUACAGGCUCCGGUGUCAUCCUGUUGAUGAACAAGUGUUGGUAAGGCGGACAGAAAUAAACAAUAAAACAUAACAAAGAGCUUACAGGUUCAGGGGUUACCUCUGACUCGGAGCUGUCGCUUAGUUGCAUCAGCUCCGAAGCAGUUGGCCUACUUCCCUUCUUACGGGGAGCGGGCUUUUUUGGCGGCUUUCUUCGCCUUUCUGGCCUUCUUGGCCGCCUCAUGGUCAUAUUUGACCCGCCAGAACUUGUCGUCAUCCUGAAAAAUACAAUGAUGAUUUCUUCAAACGAUUCAGAUGAAAGUUAUAUACAGAAGAAGAUAGGAUGUUCAGAUUGGCGGCUUACCGCUGGGGCUGGGUUGGUCUUGCAGAAGGAGGCUAACCCGGUCCUUCCGUAGUCUGCUAGGCUCUCGUUUAAAAGAGCCUUGGUCAUCUCCUCUGCAACAUCUUCAGGAAGAUCGUUGCGGCUGUGUCUCUGAGGGUCAUCCUUUCGGCCCGUGUACUCGCACAUUAAGCCGGGGCGGCGGCUCAAUGGGAUCACCCGCCAGGAGAUCCAGACCCGGACCAAAUCGAUUUCGUUGAGACCAUUGCCCAGGAGAGCCUUGAUCUUGUUUAUGGUGGGGAGCAGAGGCUGGCGCUCCGCUGGAGUCAGCUUGUCUGACAGUGGGUGUGUUGACUCCAGACGCGAUGGGCGAAAGCCGGGCAGCGGACUUUCAUCAGCCGGUGACGUGUCUUGGCAAUAGAACCAAGUCAUGUUCCAGUCCUUUGGGUGACUCGGCGGCUCGGCAUAAGGGAAAAGACAGUCUCUCCGUCUCUGAAUGGAGAUGCCGCCUAGCUCCAAACUUGGCCCGUUGGCGCACUCGUUCUGGCGAUUCAAGUAAAAAAUCUCUCUGAAGAGCAGCAGACUAGGUUCUUCUCCAAGGUAAACCUCGCAGAACACUUGGAAGUUGCAGAUAUUGGACACUGAGUUGGGUCCUAUGUCCUGAGGCCGCAGAUCGAAGAAAUUCAGAACGUCUCUGAAAAACUUUGAGCCGGGCGGUGUGAAGCCCCGGCUCAUGUGAUCCGCAAAAAUGAUCACCUCCCCGUCCUUUGGCUGUGGUCUCUCUUCUGACGGGUCAGGGGCGCGGUAGGACAUGACAUCCUUCUUUGGCAGGUGGCCGGACUUGACAAACUCUGCUAGCGUUUCGUUGGUGACAUUGGACCUCAUCCAAUUGCAAGUGAUAGAGGCUUUAGGAGCUUUGGGAGGCAUGGUGAAAGUCGGCAGCCUAUGAUAAAAGGAAACGUCCGGUUUAAGUAUAAGCCGGAGGAAAGUUGUAAUUCAGUAUUAAGUGGCGGCUUACGGAGGGGACUAAUGACAUAUAUCUAAGUACACUGGGCUAUUUAAGCCGCCUGAAGUAUUGAGAGUAAUUCGAUUGUCUACGGCCUUAUCACAGAUGAGCCGGAAAAUUCUAUGGUGCAUGGUCUCCUUUAAGUCGGAAGGUUCUACGGCGCGUGGUUUCUUUAAGCCGGAAAUGUAAACCGCCAUGGCUCAAUGGGGGCAGUUUUUUACUAAGUGUGGUGAAAACAGGUUUCACACUUUACGGUAAAUAUUUUGGAUCAAAAUGGUCGGGUAAAAAGAAAAUCUCUAGACCUAAAGGCAGAUGCAGGGGAGUUCUUGAGCUCGAAUGAGGCCUUUAUGCAGUGAACAUAAGUCUACCUGUGUUUGAAAUGGGUGCUAAAACAUCUACCGCAAUGGUUCCAUACGGGCUAAGAUCAAAAAGGAGCAGUAAAAAAGAAAACUACCGGAGCUUCUGGGCGAUGGUGACGAACACGAAGAACGCGGACGAACCCUACGGCAGAUCUAUUCUACAGGACAAGCAGGACUUACAGGGGCUGGAGAGUCGCGGAGGUCGUCGCGUUUCUCUGGUCAGAUCAGGGUGAUGCAGCGGCCUGAGCUGGUGACGACGAGAAGACCCGCGGCGGCGACGGCGGCGGAGCUCGAGCAGCACGGGACAGUGAGAGGAAGGAGACGACAGAGGAAGGAGAGUGAGAAAGGCCCGUCGGGCCGGCCUAUUUAUAAGGGCGAGCUCAUAAGUGGGCGCGAGAAUCAAGGAGACCACGGCGUGGUUAUCUCCCCACUAAACGCCUCGAUUUUCGGGAUGACAGUAAAGGUAAAGAUCCGUUGUGGAUCUGGCGGAGUAAAAAACGGGCUUAAUGGAAGAUGACGUCACGGCGGAUUAUCCGGAGUCCAGAGGAUGACGUCACGCCGGGUUAUGGCCUUCACACAAUUGUAAGCCGGAGGUUUUCUGUCGAAGGAAUGGAAGAUUGACAUGAGCCGGCUCAAAUCAAUCUGGGGCCUAAUGUUGAGGAUAUAGACCUUAGAGUCACCCGCCAGGAGGGGCCGGGUUACUCAUAUGGUCAUUGCUAGAAGCCCGGCGCCGAGCUUAAAGACGGUGGGCCAAAGACGGGCUUAGGACCCGGAUAUGGCUUAAGGCCCGUAGUUACAAUCAUUAUUAUGGUAGAACUUGUAGUGUAAGGCAAGAGUAGUCGAGAGUCCGAGCCGGACACUCUUAUGAGCCUGCCGGGGCUCUGAGAACUGCUGGGCGUCAGCCUCCCUAUAUAAAGGGACGACCCGGCAGCGGUUUGGGGGCGAGAACAAUCUCAUCGAGAGCCGGGCAUAGCAGUUUAGCUCCCUGGUGAUCGUAACCUUAAUCAAUACCACCUCAAACUGGACGUAGGCUUUUACCUUCACCGUAAGGGGCCGAACCAGUAUAAACCCUCGUGUUCCUUGUCCCGCAUUAACCCCUUCAAGCUUCCUAGCUGCGAUGGCUCCACGACUAAGUCCUAGCUCGAGGACAUCUGCCGUGACAAUUCUACGAUAAUCACACUUUUAUUUUCUUACAACUCAACAAUUACAACUUGAUACUUAGAACAAAAUAUGACUCUAUAUGAAUGCCUCCGGCGGUGUGCCGGGAUAUGCAAUGAAUCAAGAGUGACAUGUAUGAAAGAAUUAUGAACGGUGGCUUUGCCACAAAUACGAUGUCAACUACAUGAUCAUGCUAAGCAAUAUGACAAUGAUGGAGCGUGUCAUAAUAAACGGAACGGUGGAAAGUUGCAUGGCAACAUAUCUCGGAAUGGCUAUGGAAAUGCCAUGAUAGGUAGGUAUGGUGGCUGUUUCGAGGAAGGUUUAUGGUGGGUGUAUGAUACCGGCGAAAAGUGCUCGGUAUUAGAGAGGCUAGCAAUGGUGGAAGGAAGAAGAGUGCGUAUAAUCCAUGGACUCAACAUUAGUCAUAAAGAACUCAUAUACUUAUUGCAAAAAUCUACAAGUUAUCAAAGCAAAAUAUUAUGCGCAUGCUCCUAGGGGGAUAGAUUGGUAGGAAAAGACCAUCGCUCGUCCCCGACCGCCACACAUAAGGAAGACAAUCAAUAAAUAAAUUAUGCUCCGACUUCAUCACAUAACGGUUCACCAUACGUGCAUGCUACGGGAAUCACAUACUUUAACACAAGUAUCUCUCAAAUUCACAACUACUAAACUAGCAUGACUCUAAUAUCACCAUCUUUAUAUCUCAAAACAAUUAUCAAGCAUCAAACUUCUCAUAGUAUUCAACACACUCAUAAGAAAGUUUUUACUAAUCUUGAAUACCAAGCAUAUUAGGAUUAUUUAAUAAAAUUACCAUGAUAUUAAAGACUCUCAAAAUAAUCUAAGUGAAGCAUGAGAGAUAAAUAGUUUCUAUAAAACAAAUCCACCACCAUGCUCUUAAAGAUAUAAGUGAAGCACUAGAGCAAAACUAUAUAACUCAAAAGAUAUAAGCGAAGCACAUAGAGUAUUCUAACAAAUUCCAAAUCAUGUAUGGAUCUAUCAAAAGGUGUGUACAGCAAGGAUGAUUGUGGUAAACUAAAAAGCAAAGACUCAAAUCAUAUAAGACUCUCCAAGCAAAACACAUAUCAUGUGGUGAAUAAAAAUAUAGCUCGAAGUAAAGUUACCGAUGGAAGUAGACGAAAGAGGGGAUGCCUUCCGGGGCAUCCCCAAGCUUUGGCUUUAUGGUGUCCUUAGAUUAUCUUGGGGGUACCAUGGGCAUCCCCAAGCUUAGGCUCUUGCCACUCCUUGUUCCAUAAUCCAUCUAAAUCCUUCACCCAAAACUUGAAAACUUCACAACACAAAACUCAACAGAAAAUCUCGUGAGCUCCGUUAGCGAAAGAAAACAAAAGACCACUUCAAGGUACUGUAAUGAACUCAUUAUUUAUUUAUAUUGGUGUUAAACCUUCUGUAUUCCAACUUCUCUAUGGUUUAUAAACUCUUUUACUAGCCAUAGAUUCAUCAAAAUAAGCAAACAACACACGAAAAACAGAAUCUGCCAAAAACAGAACAGUCUGUAGUAAUCUGUAACUAACGCAAACUUCUGGAACUCCAAAAAUUCAGCCAAACUAGGAAGACCUAGAAUUUUUUUUAUUGAUCAGCAGAAAUUGGAAUAAAUAUUUUAUCACGUUCUGGCGAUUUUUAACAAUUAUUUUCGUGAACAGAAAGUUUCUGGAAUUUUCAGCAAGAUCAAAUAACUAUCAUCCAAGGAGAUCCUAUAGGUUAAACUUGGCACAAACACUAAUUAAAACAUAAAAAAAAUCUAACCAGAGGCUAGAUCAAAUAUUUAUUCCUAAACAGAAGCAAAAAGCAAAAAACUAAAAAUAAAAUUGGGUUGCCUCCCAACAAGCGCUAUCGUUUAACGCCCCUAGCUAGGCAUAGAUAAUUUUAAUGAUGCUCGCAUGAGAGACAAGAAUUGAAGCACAAAGAGAGCAUCAUGAAACACGUGACAAACAUAUCUAAGUCUAACAUACUUCCUAUGCAUAGGCAUCUUAUAGGCAAACAAAUUAUCAUAGCAAGCAAAAACUAGCAUAUGCAAGGAAGCGGAAAUAAACAAUAGCAAUCUCAACAUAACGAGAGGUAAUUUAUUAUCAUGAAAAUUUCUACGACCAUAUUUUCCUCUCUCAUAAUAAUUACAUGUGGGAUCAUAAGCAAAUUCAACAAAAUAGCUAUCACAUAAAAUAUUUUCAACACGAUCCACAUGCAUGCAAAGUUGACACUCUUCCGAAAUAGUGGGAUUAACAUUAACUAAAGUCAUGACCUCUCCAAACCCACUUUUAUCAAAAAUUUCAUAAGAUUGAAUAUUCUCCAAAUAUGUGGGAUCUAAAGUUGACACUCUUCCAAACCCACUUUCAAUAUUAUUGCAAACAAUAAUCUCAAUCUCAUAUUCAUCAUGGGGAUUAAAUAAAUUUUCAAGAUCAUAAGAAGAAUCACCCCAAUCAUGAUCAUUGCAACAAGUAGCAAAACUAGCAUCCCCAAGCUUAGGGUUUUGCAUAUUAUUAGCACAAUUGACAUCAAGAGAAUUUAUAGUAAAAUCAUUGAAAUCAUGCUUUUCAUCGAGGGAACUAUCAAGCAUGGGUGCAAUAGCAACAAUCUCAUUUUUAACAUAAGGAACUAUAGCAAAUUCGUCUUCAUAAAUAUUGGCAUCAUGGCCACAAGAAUAGCAAGCAUCAUGUUCAUCAAGGGAUAUUUCAACCAAAUCAUCGGAAUCAUCAUUAUCUAUAGAUUCAUGCAUAUCAUUAUUUUCUUCCAAAGCAACGGUCAUUCUUUCAAUAAAUUCUUGGACAUAGACAUUAUGAGCAAAGUUUUCAUUGCAAUAUUUAAGUAUGACGGAAUUUUCAGAUUUGUUGAGAGUAAAAUCAUACUUUACAAUCAAAGAAGCAACUUCAUGAGCACCCUUAAAAACGACAAAUUCUUCAAUUUGUUCGAUAUCAUAGUAGCUAUAAACACCCUUCGCAUAAGAAGAUAAGAUUUCAUUAUCAUUAAACUCACAUAGGUAGGGAAUGUGUUUUUUAGGGUUCUUAGAGCAACAAGUAAAAUCACAAAUUUCACAAACGAUUCCAAGCAUAGCAUAGCAAAAUAUUUAUAUGAUACCAUAAGAGCUUCCCUUUUUCAGACAAACGAUGACGCACAAAAUGAGCAUGCUCAUCUAAAGAUUUCCCAUCAACUAGGCUAGUUGGGGUUUCAGCACGAGCGCAUAAGGAUCGAAGAUGAUCCAAGUAGAACACUUUAAGUGGAUCCAUAUCAAUAGAUUUUCAGCAAGCGAAGAUGCAAGCAUAUAGAAGGCACAAGGAAACACAAAAAAAUAUACAUACGGGAAGAAGGCGAACGGAAAAGAGAGAGGGCGAAUAAAACGGCAAGGGUGAAGUGGGGGAGAGGAAAACGAGAGGCAAAUGGCAAAUAAUGUAAUGCGGGAGAUAAUGGUUUGUGAUGGGUACUUGGUAUGUUGACUUUUGCGUACACCUCCCCGGCAACGGCGCCAGAAAUCCUUCUUGCUACCUCUUGAGCACUGCGUUGGUUUUCCCUUGAAGAGGAAAGGGUGAUGCAGCAAAGUAGCGUAAGUAUUUCCCUCAGUUUUUGAGAACCAAGGUAUCAAUCCAGUAGGAGGCUACGCGCGAGUCCCUCGCACCUACACAAAACAAAUAAAUCCUCGCAACCAACGCGAUAAGGGGUUGUCAAUCCCUUCACGGUCACUUACGAGAGUGAGAUCUGAUAGAUAUGAUAGGAUAAUAUUUUUGGUAUUUUUGUGAUAAAGAUGCAAAGUAAAAUAAAAGCAAAGUAAAAAAGCAAAGGAAAUAACUAAGUACUGGAAGAUUAAUAUGAUGAAGAUAGACCCGGGGGCCAUAGGUUUCACUAGUGGCUUCUCUCGAGAGCAUAAGUAUUUUACGGUGGGUGAACAAAUUACUAUUGAGCAAUUGACAGAAUUGAGCAUAGUUAUGAGAAUAUCUAGGUAUGAUCAUGUAUAUAGGCAUCACGUCCGAGACAAGUAGACCGACUCCUGCCUGCAUCUACUACUAUUACUCCACUCAUCGACCGCUAUCCAGCAUGCAUCUAGAGUAUUAAGUUCAUAAAAACAGAGUAACGCCUUAAGCAAGAUGACAUGAUGUAGACGGAUAAAUUCAUGCAAUAUGAUAAAAAAACCAUCUUGUUAUCCUCGAUGGCAACAAUACAAUACGUGCCUUGCUGCCCCUACUGUCACUGGGAAAGGACACCGCAAGAUUGAACCCAAAGCUCAGCACUUCUCCCAUUGCAAGAAAGAUCAAUCUAGUAGGCCAAACCAAACUGAAAAUUCGAAGAGACUUGCAAAGAUAACCAAUCAUACAUAAAAGAAUUCAGAGAAGAUUCAAAUAUUGUUCAUAGAUAAUCUUGAUCAUAAACCCACAAUUCACCGGUCUCAACAAACACACCGCAAAAGAAGAUUACAUCGAAUAGAUCUCCACGAGAGAGGGGGAUAACAUUGUAUUGAGAUCCAAAAAGAGAGAAGAAGCCAUCUAGCUACUAACUAUGGACCGGAAGGGAGGUAAACUACUCACACUUCAUCGGAGGGGCUAUGGUGUUGAUGUAGAAGCCCUCCGUGAUCGAUGCCCCCUCCGGCGGAUCUCCGGAACAGGCCCCAAGAUGGGAUCUCGUGGGUACAGAAGGUUGCGGCGGUGGAAUUAGGUUUUUGGCUCCGUCUCUGAUCGUUUGGGGGUACGUAGCUAUAUAUAGGAGGAAGGAGUACGUCGGUGGAGCAACAGGGGGCCCACGAGGGUGGAGGGCACGCCCUGGGGGGGGGGGUAGGCGCGCCCCCUACCUCGUGGCCUCCUCUUUUGUUCUUGACGUGGUGUCCAAGUCUCCUGGAUCAUAUUCUUCCUAAAAAUCACGUUCGCAAAGGUUUCAUUCCGUUUGGACUCCGUUUGAUAUUCCUUUUCUGCGAAACUCUGAAAUAGGCAAAAAAGGCAAUUCUGGGCUGGGCCUCCGGUUAAUAGGUUAGUCCCAAAAAUAAUAUAAAAGUGAAUAAUAAAGCCCAAUAAUGUCCAAAACAGUAGAUAAUACAGCAUGGAGCAAUCAAAAAUUAUAGAUACGUUGGAGACGUAUCAGUCUACAAAGAACUACUCACGCAUCAUCGGAGAGGCACCAAUGAAGGUGGUGAACCCCAUCCGAGAUGGUGUCUAGAUUGGAUCUGGUGGUUCUGGACUCUGCGGCGGUUGGAUGAAUAUUUCGUCGAUGCCUUUAGGAUUUCUGGAACAUUGGGGUAUUUAUAGAGCAAAGAGGCGGUCCGGGGGCACCCGAGGUGGGCACAACCCACCAGGGCGCGCCUGGGCCUCCUGCCACGCCUUGGUGGGUUGUGCCCCCUCGGGGCACCCCCAGGCGCAGCCAGGUCCUGUUGUGUUCCUUCUGGCCCAUAAAAAUUCUCCAUGGAGUUUCGUGGCAUUUGGACUCCGUCUGAUAUUGAUUUUCUGCGAUGUAAAAAACAUGGAAAAAGCAGCAACUGGCACUUGGCACUAUGUCAAUAGGUUAGUACCAAAAAAUGAUAUAAAAUGAUUAUAAAAUAUCCAAGAUUGAUAAUAUAACAGCAUGGAACAAUAAAAAAUUAUAGAUAUGUUGGAGACGUAUCAGCAUCCCCAAGCUUAACUCCCUACUCGUCCUCGAGUAGGUAAGUGAUAAAAACAGAUUUUUUGAUGUGGAAUGCUGCCUAACAUGUCAUAUCAUACUCUUUACUUUAUAGCAUGGACAUUUGGACUUUUAUGUGAUUGAAAGCAAUAGUCUAGUUUUGACAUAAUAAUUUAGAUACUCAAGCAUAUCAACAAGCAACCAUGUCUUUCAAAAUAUCAAUGCUAAAAUAAGUUAUCCCUAGCCCAUCAUGCUCAACCAUUGAUCCAUUCGUGAAACACACUCGAAUAUUAGCUACACCCAAUACUUAAGUACGAUCAUAUUGCCUCCUAGUUGGUGCUUUUGUAAGAGAAAAUGGAGACUCAAAAUUCAAAAUAAAAAUUGCAUAAAGUAAAAGAAAGGCCCUUCGCAGAGGGAAAUAGGGAUUUGUAGAGGUGCCAGAGCUCAAAGCGAAAAAUAGGGAUAAAAAACAUUUUGGGAGGUGUAUCCAUCCCACCAACGAAAACGACUUAGAGUUCCCAACACUUUCCAUGCUAGAUAUGCCAUAGGCGGUUCCCAAACAUAAAAUAAAGUUUAUUCCUUUUUCCACCAUACUUUCACUUUCCAUGGCUAACCGUAUCUACGGGUGCCCUCCAUACCAACACUUUCCAAGGAAUUUAUUAUUUGACAACAUAAAGUAAAUUCAUUUUUGCAUUUCGGGACUGGGCAUCCCUAAAACCUUUGCCUUACUCUCGUGCAAUGACAAGUGAAUAAACGCUCAUCUUGAGAAUAACACAUCUAGCAUGGAAAAUAUUAGCCACCCCUCACCGCUCCGCGAGCGAAACAAACACACAAAAUAGAAGUUUAUUUUGAAAAUUAGAGAUGGCACACACAAAUUUUCUUAGAACGGCAAAAGAAUACUGCAUAUAGGUAGAUAUAGUGGACUCAUGUGGCAAAACUGGUUUAAAGGAUUUUGGAUGCACAAGUAGAGAUCAUACUUGAUGCAAAAUGAGGGCUAGCAAAAGAUUGAGAAGCGACCAACCAAGAGACGGAUAAUCUCAUAAGCAAGCAUCAAGCAUAAAUAACACCUAAUAAUGCACCAUAAGUAGGAUAUAAUUUCAUUGCAUGACUAUUGACUUUCGUACUUGCAUAGGGAAUCACAAACCUUAACACCAAUAUUCUUACUAAAGCAUAAUUACUCAUCAACAUAACUCACAUAUCACAUCAUCAUAUCUCAAAACUAUUACUAAGAAUCAAGUUUAUUUUGUCCAAUGAUCUUCAUGAAAGUUUUUAUUAUAUCCUUCUUGGAUAUCUAUCACUUUGGGACUAAUUUUCAUGUGUUGCUUUUCAUAAGCUCAAACAAAUAUAAGUGAAGAUCAUGAGCAUACUUCUUUCUUUCUCUCAAAAUAAUUUAAGUGAAGCAAGAGAGAAUUUCUUGAAAAUUUUAAUAACUCUCAAAUAAAUCUAAGUGAAGAAAGAGAGCAUUUAUUCAAAAAUACUAAAGCACACCAUGCUCAAAAAGAUAUAAGUGGAGCACUAGAGCAAGUCCAUAGCUCAUAAAAAAUUAAGUGAAGCAUAGAGAGCAAUUCUAACAAGUCAUGACAUAAUUUUGGCUCUCUAAAAUGAGUGUGUCCAGAAAGGAUUGAUGACUUAAAACACAAAAUAAAACAAGCAAAGACUCAUAUCAUACAAGACGCUCCAAGCAAAACACAUAUCAUGUGACGAAUAAAAAUAUAGCUUCGAGUAAAAUACCGAUAGCCGUUGGAAGAAAGAGGGGAUGCCACUCGGGGGCAUCCCCAAGCUUAGUUGAUUGCUCAUUAUUGGAUAAUAGCUUGGGAUUCCGGGGCAUCCCCAAGGUUAGGCUCUUCUAUCCUUCCUUCAUCCAUCGUAAGAUAACCCAAAACUUGAAAACUUCAAUCACACAAAACUCAACAAAACCUUCGUGAGAUCCGUUAGUGUAAGAAAAAUAAAUCACUACUAUAAGUGCUGUAUCAAACCAAUUCAUAUUUUGUUUUUGUAUUAUAUCUACUGUAUUCCAACUUUUCUAUGGCAAAAACCCAUCAAAGAAAACCAUAUAGCCAUCAAAAUAAGCACACAACACAAAGAAAACAGAAUCUGUCAAAACAGAACAGUCUGUAGCAAUCUGAUUUGUUCGAAUACUUAUGGAACUCCACAAAUUCUGAAAAACUAGGACGACCUGGGUAAUUUGUAUAUUAAUCUUCUGCAAAAAGAAUCAGGGCAAAAGCUCUUUCUGAUAAAAAAUGAGAAUUGUUUUCGUGAGCGCAAAGUUUGUGUCUUUUUCAGCAAGAUCAAACAACUAUCACCCAAGAAGAUCCUAUUGGUUCUACUUGGCACAAACACUAACUAAAACACAAAAAACACAAUCAUAACUGUCGCAUAAUUGUGCUAACACUAAAGAACAGAAAGCAAAAUGCAAAAAUAAAAUUUAUUCAUUGGGUUGCCUCCCAACAAGCGCUAUAGUUUUACGCCCUUAGCUAGGCAUAAAGCAAGGAUCUAAGUUUUGUCAUCUUUGGUUCAAGAUCCAUAAGAUGCCCUCAUGAUUGAUUCAUAAGGUGGCUUAAUUCUUGUUCUAGGAAAGUGUUCCAUACCCUUCCUCAAAGGAAAUUGGAACAUAAUAUUCCCUUCUUUCAUAUCAAUCACGGCACCGAUAGUGCGUAAAAACGGUCUACCAAGAAUAAUUGGACAAGGCGGAUUGCAAUCAAUAUCAAGAACAAUAAAAUCCAUGGGCACAUAAUUCCUAUUUGCAAGAAUAAGAACAUCAUUAAAUCUACGGAGAAGUGCUUAGCUUUGGGUUCAAUCUUGCGGUGCUCGAUCCCAGUGACAGAAAGGGAAACAUCACGUAUUGUAUUGUUGCCAUCGAGGAUAAAAAGAUGGGGUUUAUAUCAUAUUGCAUGAGUUUAUCCCACUACAUCAUGUCAUCUUACUUAAAGCAUUACUAUGUUCUUAUGAACUUAAUACUCUAGAUGCAUGCUGGAUAGCGGUCGAUGUGUGGAAUAAUAGUAGUAGAUGCAGAAUCGUUUCGGUCUACUUGUCACGGACGUGAUGCCUAUAUACAUGAUCAUACCUAGAUAUUCUCAUAACUAUGCUCAAUUAUAUCAAUUACUCGACAGUAAUUUGUUCACCCAUCGUAAUACUUAUGCUCUUGAGAGAAGCCACUAGUGAAACCUAUGGCCCCCGGGUCUAUUUUCCAUCAUAUUAAUCUUCCCACACUUAGCUAUUUCUAUUGCUGUUUAUUUUACUUUGGAUCUUUAUUUCUCUUUAUUAUAAAAAUACCAAAAAUAUUAUCUUAUCAUAUCUAUCAGAUCUCACUCUCGUAAGUGACCGUGAAGGGAUUGACAACCCCUUUAUCGCGUUGGUUGCGAGGUUCUUAUUUGUUUGUGUAGGUGCGUGGGACUCGAGCGUGGUCUCCUACUAGAUUGAUACCUUGGUUCUCAAAAACUGAGGGAAAUACUUACGCUACUUUACUACAUCACCCUUUCCUCUUCAAGGGAAAACCAACGCAGUGCUCAAGAGGUAGCAGAGCCCAUGGAGAGGGUUGGUUGAACAGUACCCGGUCGAGUAGCGCGCGGCGGAGGCUGGAUGAACAGGAGCCCGUGGAUGAACAGUUGCAGGUGGAGGCUGGAGGAGGUCGACGCUGGAUGAACAGUAGCCCGUGGAGGCUGGAGGGGGUCGACGGUGGAGAUGAACAGUAUCCCGUGGAGUCCCGUUUUGCGGUAGCCACACCCCUCCCGAUGUACAGGACCCCCGUUUCGACCGUAGCGCUCCAACACAAGUCCGUUUCCUCCGUUUUGCGAUACGCCACACCCCUCCCGAUCAAUAGGACCCCCGUUUUGACCGUAGGAGGUCCGUUUCCUCCGUUUUGCAGUACGCCAGACCCCUCCCGAUGAACAUGAUCCCGUUUCGACCGUGGCCGGUCGAACACAAGGCCGUUUCCUCCGUUCUAUGGUACGCCAGGCCUCGUUUCCAUCGGUUGUUCCGUCCAAGCCCUCCCGAUGAACACGACGACGCAUUCCGUUCCGACCCAGCCGGUUGGCUCCCCAUGAACACGACGACGACGCUGUUUCUCCAUUCCAACCCAGCCAUGUACACGAGCCCUGGCCGUACGUACGCGCGAGUAGGCGCUUGAGACCCCGCCCGUAUGUACGUACGUGGCCGUAUUUACUUUCUUGCACCCUGGCCGAUGUACGUACGUGUACAUGCUACGUGCGCGCCUCUACUACGACACGUGCACGCCUCUACAUCGACCAGUAUGUACGUACAUGUUCGCGACCAGAAUGACAACGCUACGUACGCUUCGACCAGGUGGGUCCCGACUGUCAGGCACUUGCGUGCGAAGAUGUAGCUGGUGGGUCCCAACAGUCAGGGGGCGAAUUGGUUUUUUUGCCCGGACGCACUUCCUUGCGUGUGAAGAUGUAGCUGGUGGGUCCCAGCAGUAAGGGGAAACGUUUUUUUCGCGAAAUAUGGUGGCCCAUCCGGUGGGUCCCCGCUAUCAGGUGGAGGAAUAAUUAUUUUGCGCGUAAUAAGGAGGCACUUCCUUGCUGCGGCCGUGGACCCAGUUAUCAGCCUCUCCACGUACAGUACUCUUCCGACGGAAGUCGGUCGUUAACCACAUUGACCACGCCGCGCCGAGAGCACCACGGCGGUGGACGACGGUGAGGCCUAGGAAGGGGACGACGCGGAGCCGGGGAAGACGCGACAGGGGAUACCCACGUGGAGAGGAGUACGAGGGUUCACUAGUUCGGCUGCGGUGUGAGGCUGCCGUCGCCGCAGAAUAACAGGGGGUGUGGGUGAGUGGAAGGAUGGCCUGGCCAGCGGUGGGAGUAGUAGGGGGCGAUGAGGCCUCCGCGACAGCACAGCCGGCCACGGGAGGCAGGAGCAGGCGGCAUGACCGGCACUACUUUGGGCGGCUGGAGCAAGAAGACCAGAGGUUGAAGAAGCAUGACGGCCGUUGGAUGGACAUCGUACGGUCACUGCAGCUAGAAUCGUUUAUAUUGACUAAGUUGACAAAGCCCUUGGUACGCGUCAACUUAGUAGGCCCACAGGUCAUCUUCCGAAACGGUGCGCCCCAGAUGUCAGGGGGAGGAAUCAUUUUUUGGGCGGGUGAAGCUAGAAUAUCCGAGAUUGAAGAAGAAGCACGGCAUCCGUUGGAUGGACAUCCAACGGCCACCGCUGCUAGAACCGUGUGUUGACUAUAAGUUGACAAAGCCUUGCAUACGCGUCAACUCUCUUUUUUAGGGGACGCGUCAACUUAGUAAGGCCACAAGUGUGUGGCAGAGAACUUAUAGCCCAUUUGAGAUUUGUAAGAAUGUGCAACCAAUUUUUGAAUUCUAAUAGAAUUUACUACAGCCCAUUUACAGUUUGUUAAAAGUACAUCCCAUUUCAACCGACCGUUCAAAACAGAAUUCAAUAAAAUUUCCCACAUUUUGAUGGGAUCCAAAAUAUUUUUUUCUCGAAAUUUCUAGUCAGAUUAAAUACAAUUUCAAUAUAAAUUUAUAUUACGUAAAAAUCCAAUGAAACAUUGCGCUCGCAACAAUUAAUGAAAUUAAAAUUUUCAAUAUCCAAAAAUAAUAUUUUAUAAAGUAAUUACGUGUUUGGUGCAUUUUUAUAGUUACUGCCCAGUUUUUAUAAUUACAUCCCAUUUAUUAUUUCUUAAAUCCCAUUUUCUUGUUAAGCCUAAUGCAUCCCUCCUAGGAAAGAUUUGCAGCCCAGCGGGGCGGAGAAUAACAACUUGACCUGGCCUGGAUAUUCCUAAAAAAAUAUAGCUGGGCUAGCCAUUUUCAGCUUGAAAAAAAUUAAUAUCUGGGCUGGAUAUCUGGCCUGGGCUAGACGGGCCAUAGCCCGCCCAGUUAAUAGCUGCAGCGAUGUUUUCGUUGUUGUUCAGAGGAGAAAAAUUAAUAUCUGGGCUAAACAUCGCUCAAGAAAAACUCUGCAGUGCUCACACCUCAAAAACACAAAUACUGCUCGAGCUGCUUGGUCCCAGCUGUCGGCCGCUUCUUGUGCAAUUCUCUCGUUUAUUGACUACAUAGGUUGACAAUGGUGUGGGACCGUGAUGUCAGGAAACCAGGAGGAAGCAAAAAAAAUAGUUUUAUAUACUAAUAAGGAGGCACUUGCGUACGUGCGGCUAUGGCCCUGGUGGGUCCCCACUGUCAUCCUCUCCAAGUAAAGUCAUCUCCUCAUCCUCAUGUCCGUUGACCAUGUUGACAACGCGAGACAGCGGCGCCACGGCGAGCGCAACAACUCGAAGGACGACGGAGAGGGCCUCGCGGGCCCUACGGAUGGUCUGAUACAGCGCCCGCUGCUCAUUCGGGAAGCCAGGAUCAUAGGGCCACAUGUCCGUGACGACAUUGUCGUUCGCUUGUUCACCGGUGCUCGUUGAGGAGACGGAGGUUGCAGCACAGGUCCUCCUGCGCUGGUAGCUCUUCCACCAUUAGGGCGUCGAAGUGCGGCCGCACCUGCUCUAUGGUGAACACGGCAUGAACCGGCUUGGACAGUGGCGCCGGCUCCUGGUCGGAAGCUACGUCCAUCGUCUGAUUGUCGUCGCUCAGCUCGGCGAGGUAGCUGGUGAGCUAGCAUGUCCGACUACUGGACCGACCCACUGCCAAGCACGAGUCUGACUGCCCUGGCCCACCCAGACCGCCUCCCUCGCCCGCGCGCGCUUUCUGCCUGAAACGGUCAGCGCCGCCCGCCCCGCUUCCCGGUGCCUGCGAUUGCUCCGCCUUCAAAUGACACAAGUGUCGUCCGUCCGUCCUUCUGUCGCCCACAUUAAUGAUACGCGGUUGCCGAGGCGGCUACUCUGGCGCCACACGUCCGUCCCUCCGCCGCCCAUCGUUGCUAUAUAAACUGCUGCGCCGGCUAUAGCCGCAGUCAUCUGCAUCCGUUCCUAUUCUGUCCACACCACUACUGCCCAGCAUGGCUUCCUCGCGCUCCAGCGCUCUUCGGGACGGGCGUACGAUGGACCACAAGGAGAUGGCUGCCAUUUUUGCCGACUGGCUGGCCGGCAGGCAGCCGGAGGACGAUGACGUCCCAAUAAAGAACAUGGUAGUCGACGAUCCGGCGCCAACCCCCUCCUCCGCGCCAUCCUCGCUGGUGCAUUGCACCAUGACCAUCAGCGAGGCCCGUGCCCAAUAUAUGGACAUGGUGAGGCAGAAGCGUGAGGAGCAGUUCCGGGAGGCGUAGGCCAACGCCGCCUACAACCACCAUCUCCUCCAGGAGCACCUGCAGGCGGAGGAGCAGAUCGCCGCGGAGCGGGCGGAGCAGGAGGUGUUGCUCGACUCAUACCGCUCCACCUGCGAGGGCCGCCUCGAGCGCUGGCGGUACCACAUGCAGGUGGCGGAGGCUGAGGCCGCCUACAAAGAGGGCGAUGAAGCGGGCGAGGCGCUGUUUGGCGAGACCGAGGACGAGGCAGAGGACAAUGCCGGCUCCGACGAGUCCCCGCUCCGCUGGCGUCGAUGAGGCCCUGCGACGCCGAGGCCCCGCGGCGCCAACAACGAGGCAGAGGACACCGCCGGCUCCGCCGAGGCCCCACCCUGCCGGCAACGAGGGGGAGGAUUUCCCCCGCUCCGCCGAGGCACCGCCCGCCGACAACGAGACAGAGGACAUCGCCGGCUCCACCGAGGCCCCGCCCCGCUGCCAACGAGGUCGCGCCACACAGAAAACGAGGAAGAGUAGAACACGGUAGGUCGCCGCCGCUCGGGUCCAAGUAAGGCCACCGCUGCUACCCUCCGGUUGCUGGCACUAAGCUGUACAUCAUGGAGCAAUUCUAUGAUUACAGGAUGAUUGAAGAGCACUCCGUGGUUGAGCAAGCUCAUGAGAUACAGUCAUUUGCUAGAGAACUUGAGCACUUCAGUUGUAUGCUACCGGACAAGUUUGUUGCCAGAGGUAUCAUCACUAAGCUUCCUUGGCACUCUUGAUGUGGAAGAAAAGGCGAGAGCAAAGGACACACAUGCUCGAGGAAUUGAGGGAGGAUCUAGUGCCAAUCUGGUAUAGAAGAAGAACUUCCAGCCCCACAAGUUCAAGAACAAGGGCAAGUUUGAUGGUAAAGCAAAGUUUGAUGGGAAGAACAAGGCUGUGCAACACACGAACCUCAAGAAGAAGAAUGACAAGAAGAAAGGUGUUUGUAAUGUGGGGAUCCUGAUCAUUGGGCUCCAAGUUGCCCUAAUCGUUAUGACAAGCUAGGCGGGUUGACCACUGACGGCCGGUUAGCUUCUUGGCGGCGACGUGCAGUCGGAGAGCUAUGUUGGAGAAGGACGCUGCUUCUACUUAACUGGUGGUGCAGUUGGCUGACUGACACGUGGGCCCAAUAGGCGUCUGGGCCACAUGUCAGUUACGCAACUGCACCAGCAGUUAAGUCACUGAAGCUUCUGUUCGGCUCAGCCGGACAUAGGUGGGUAGCUUCAGUUAAUUAGUUAUACCUCCAGCGCACCCCUUUUUAGUUGAAGAAUGUAUGAAAUGUAAUGAAAUCCGGCAUGUUUAUAUGAAAUCCGACCGCGUAUGAAUGAAUUUAUUUCGAUUAGUUCGAAUUCUUGUAUCACUGGCAUUGGAUGAACAUGCAAAACAAUACGUACUAGCAUUAUUCCCAGGGUGAUCACCUCGUUUGCAGCAGUUUCACAUGUACUCCCUCCGGUCCUUUCUAGUCUGCAUACAAGUUUUGUUCGCAGUCAAAGUAUCUCUACUUUGACCAAUCUUAUAGAAAAAAAAAUGCACUUUCACAAUGUGCAAAGUAAAAAGGAACAGAAGGAGUACAAAGAGUUUGAGCAGCUUUUUAGCGUUCCUGUACAUUGCAAUCAAACACACAGGCCUGGCAAUUCAUAGAGAACAUUCAAAAAAAUUGAUGAUUAUGCAUCUCAGUGAUUCACAUGUUAGAGCAAAUAUUUACUUCACAACUAAAGAAUAAAGAAAAAUGGAUCGACGCUGCUGACAGCAAAGGGCGUCCCAUUCGAAAAUAUCAAACGCAUGUCUUCUUGCUAAAAUCAAUGAGCAAAAUUUGACAAGGUUUUCCCAUUCCAAAAUAUCAAAUGCCUACGAUUGUGGAAUGGGCUGGGUUUGCCAUCAGUUCGGGCAUUGACAUGGCACCUCGUGCUAAAUAAACCAGCUGUUUCUUUUUGUGCAGUUCCACCAAAAUCAACCAAAUUCGCGCGUAGCUUGUAUGAUUUCGCCCUUAUAUGUUGCAACACAUUGAACUUAUCGGCACCUCCUUCCUUGUGGUGGAAAUGAAAUUCAAUGUAUUCAUGAACAUUUUGUGCAGUUCCCAUUGAAAUCAAGCUGAGCACCCCUGUUUGCACAAAUACAAAAAAAGUGAUUAGUAUAAAGCAAAUUGUACUAUGAAUUGACAGUUUAAACAGGCACCUACAUGGUCCAUGUAGAGCACACUUUUAGAAAAAUGGAACUCACCGGAAAGAAUCCUAGAACAACAUUGUACUCGCGCAUCACAGCAAGAAAAUGGAGAUUUGUCAGUCCUUCUGAGCUGAAGUUAGUUUGGUCUUGUGGGGGGUAAUGUAACCAUCCUUCAACUGCUCCUUCUUAUGAGAAGAUAGACAGGGCUUCUUCAUCCUGGCAUAAUCGGAACUAGUCACUUCACAUACUCCAUAUUCUUCUUCAAAGGAGGAUGAUCCUGUUGUGCAAAGACAAGAGGAUAACUAAAUGCUAGCAUCCCUGUUUGCUCGAAAAAAAGGAAAGGAAAUAUUUAAAACAGCACAGAUGAAGCACUUCUCAAGGACAAUACCACUUUUUGAUGACAAUAUCUAAACAGUAGCACAACACCAAUAGAGAUGACAAAGCUCAAUCAUUUGGAUGAAAUCAGUGGGCGAGUACCAACCUUUGUCAGGAGGCUUAUUGUGUAGAGCAUACAGAUGAAGCACUUCUCCAGAACCAUCUGUUGCUAUCUACUGUGGUGGCCAUGCUUACUAUAUACUCCUUGAUUAGAUUAAUGUUUCCAACAUCUUCUUAUGCAGUUCCACUAAAAUAUAUGGUAUCUUCAAAGAAGAUCCCUGUUUGCACAAGUAGAGAUAAUUAUGUAUUACAUUAAGAGUGGCAUCAAAUCAGUGGCAAAACAAUAUCUCGUUCCAGCCAUAGCAAUAAAUUAAGAUGCAAAACUAUAUCAUUACUUGUGUCAUCACAGUUCCAGUGCUUCAUUACAGCACCAGGAGUUGAUUUUUGUUUUUCUUCCGCUUGUUCUUCCCCUUCAUCACUUGGUUCAAUUACAGACAAGCUUCGCCUUCAAUGUAAGAUUUGGCAUGUCAAUUAGGUUGCACAAGUAUAGCACUAAACAAUGACAUUAAUUUUCUGAUGAGAGUGGCAAAAUAUAGGCCAACAGUUGUGAAAUAUCCUUAUCUUACCUCAAUGGGAUAUUGCGGUGCACAUACAGAUUGGAAGUCUUGUCUCCAUUUGUGUAGUUCACUAAAAUCAAGCAACAUUACCGUACAAGUAGCACAACAUAUGAAAGCACACUGCAGAAUCAUGUGAAAGAAGGCUAGUACUGACCUCUCAUGAUGCGGAAUUCAAACAACUCACAAGAAGAAGAUCUGAACCAAAUUUGCCAACACGGAUAGGAAGUAAGAUCUCCUCUUGUGCAGUUCCACUAAGAUCAAGCAAUCAAGCAAUGUUGUCGGUGUGACAUUUUGGUUGAACUGCACAAAACACUCUUAAAACAAAAGUGUUUUGUGCAAUGCAACAAAAGGUCACAAUGGCAACGAGGUGAAGUAGAUAACCCUGUUUACACAGAGGUGCAAAGGAAACAACUAGUGGUCAAUAACGGUGGAUGACACAGAAGCCAACAAAAAGAAGCAUCUACCUUAUCUAAAUGGGAAAGAAAGCAAGACAGUAGCAUUUCUCAAACGGUGGCAUUGAUUAAUAUUAACAGAGAGAUUAUAUUAACAAUAAAAUUCGUUAAACAUGUAAUUUGCUUUUAACUGUGGCAUUGCAUCAAUUUUCCAGCGGCAUUAUUAGAGGGUGUUUCUUUACAGGGACAUUUUGGUGGAGGGACUAAAAAAACUCCGUGUCAGUCCCAUCUAAACCAAACAGGAGGGACUUUUAGGGACUAAAAGUGGGCAUUUGGGACUAAAGAAAGAAGACCCCGAGGGAGAGUCUUUUUGGGACUUUUUCCAACAGUUGCCCCUGCCACGCAUCGCACCUUGUCUCUAUUAGUUCAUUACUAGGGGUAACAUGGUCUUUUAGCAUGUCAUUUAAUAACCUCUAGUCCAUGUUUAGUCCCUGGAACCAAGCAGGUGGGGACUAGGGAGUUUUUAACCAAACAGGGCCUUAGAUUAACAACAGCUAAAGAGUUGCACGGGACAGUGGACGCACCAGCACCAUGUGCAUCUACUGAUGUACUGGGGUGAUGCACAGUCUGUUGCAACAAAGAACAAACAACCAAGGAGCAUAUUUGUGUUGGUCCCAGUUUUGUUAUCUUUAGACACCUUUCCCUAUGUGAGCGCAGCAAAUCUAGUCCUGCUCAAACUCUACAGCCUUGUCCCCCAAAACAAAAGAUCAGUUUGUUACAGGUGUGCGUACUGCGUUUGUCAUUCUUUUCCCUUUUCGACCAACGUAGGUGCUGGAUAGCCAGUCUGUACUAGUACUUUCCCCACUUCCUUUCCUCUAUGAACCACGUCCUAGAUUUAUGCUAUACAACUUUCCCCACUACUUUCCCCCAUUCCUGUCCUCUUUGAACCACGUCUUAGAUUCAUGCAAUACAACUUUCCCCCUUCCUUUCCUUUUUGAACCACGUCCUAGAUUCAUGCUAUACAACUUUUCCCACUACUUUCCCCCAUUCCGUUCCUCUUUGAACCACGUCCUAGAUUCAUGGUAUACAACUUUCCCCACUACUUUCCUGUUUGAUCCAACACCUAGAUUCAAGUGCAGAAGCGGAAAAAGGACACAUGCAGCUAGAGCAAUGCAUGUGGAAUAAGUAAAUUAUCCUUAAGGUUCUUGGGGUGUGGUUCGGUGGGGGAACGGAGGCCGUUCGACCCACACUAUGUACGGCGGCGAAGAAGGGGUCGGAGGCCCUCCCGCGCCGCCGCUGGGUGAAAGUGAACAGCCGCGCCGGUAGUGGAUUCCCUCCCUCGCCGACGGCGACAGCGUUAAGCCUCCUUCCCUUCCCGGCGGACGGAUCCUGCCGGCUCUCUGACCAGCAGUGAGGGGAGAGAGAGGCCAACGAAGUCUUGUUUAGAUCUGGAGAGGGUGAGAGAGUGUGAAGAGAGCAACUACAAGCAGACUAGCAGUGAGGGGAGAGAGAGAGGCAACAAAGUCUUGUUUAGAUCUGGAGAGGGUGAGAGUGUGUGAAGAGAGCAACUACAAGCGUUGAGGCUCCAGCGUGUAUAUAUAUACGGGAGAGAGUGUGAAGAGUGCAAACCCUAGAAAAAAAGCGCCGAGGCUGCAGCUUAUACGUGAUGAGGUGAUUAUAAGGUCACUACGAGAUCGUAUAGCUCCGUAUCCAUCCAUUUUGACCAGUCAAAGAAUCCUCCUGGCACGAAUUAUGCUCAGGUGUAGUUAUCGAACCCGAGACCUCAAGUUUGAUGAGCGAACAGGCUAACCAGCCACACAACCCUCCUGUUAUGUUCAACGAGAGGAAAAUAACCUUUUAUACAUUCCUGCAUUUGUGUGACAAGCAUACCGUGUUUUGUGUGUGUGUGGGAGUCAUUGGGAUUUAAAUCAUAAUCGUGUCAUGUGGCUUUGGUGGUAAGACUAUCCACAGUGGUGCAGAAAUAAUGCAGCCUUAGUCACCUUACCUCUCUCCACGUAGUACGUUGGGUCCCACCAGUCAGAGGGUGAAACAAACAAAUUAAUAAGGAAAAUUAAAAGCGCCAGCGGUGUAUCUUACCUCACACAUCUCGCUACUGCUCGGGAACAUUGUCCAAUUGAUCCCUCUGUUCGCUCACGUACUAUUUUAAGUGAAUCCUUAUUAUAACAUGCACACAAUUUUGGGCACUUGUAUUCGACCUAAGUCAGUGUGCCACCAUAUCUCGUACGACUCCCUCCGUCUAGGUGUAAUAAGUCACGUUAGAAGGUGUAGCGGGACCAAGGUGCAAGCAGAUUGGAGAAGGAGAAACUUGACCGGUCAUUCCUCCAAUCAAAGCCCUGAUUUCUGUCUCUAAACGCAACAAUUAAUCCAAACAACUAAGAGAUGCCGUUUUAGCUACCAUGCAGGGCCACGUAUUAACUCGCAUGCAAGCCGACUUUGAUUUCUUGACUCAUCAACGCGUAGUUGCGCUCCAUGCAUUGGGUUUCCGGGGGAGAUAACAAGGCAGAGUAAGGAGCGUUUGGUUACAUUGCUUAGGCUGGUCAUAGUGGUGAGUAACUUGGACUAGUAACAUGCAUAUGUUACUAGUCUAUGUUACUACUACGCGAAGUUUGCCGUCGGAAGCGAGCCGAUCUGGCUCUCCUGAGCUAGCAAGGUUUUUCUAGCCCACCCAAGCUAGCUGGCCCACAAAAGCUAACAUAUUUUAACAGUUCCAAACGCCUAACCUUGCCCGGCUAUGCUAAAAGAUGUUCUUGCUAAGGAUCCAAACGCUCCGUAAGUAACAACGCUCGCUAGCAACAAGGCCAGGAGGGGAUUGAGAUGCGAAGUUAAUGGACGACACCUAAACAUUUUGGGAAUAUCUGAUUUCCGUAGGAUGACUUAACACCUAGACGGAGGGAGUACUACUCCUCAGUCCAGGUUUGAUGGAAUAUUCGUCACCUCUUCUCUUCUUGUACGUACUCCAUUUGUAUCUCACUUCCUGUGGCUUUGCACUCGCACGAUUUUCCUAUUCUACGAACCUAUGUGUGCAUGUGCGUGUGUGUGUUUAACAACAUGUGUGUGUUAGAGAGAGCGACAGAUCGACCUACUCCUACAGAGAGAUGGUGUGUAGUGUAUGAUUUUGGCCGUGCAUCCUCUCGUUUCCGGGCGUCCGAUAGGGACAGGCGGACAGCUGCCACGCACGCUCCUGACCACCCUGGACGACCCAAAGCCCCUCCAUCGCCCGCGCGCGCUUCCUGCCCAAAACGGUCAGCUCCACUCCAAAGAAUCGGUGCCGCAUUCAUGCCCGGGCAGAGCGGACGCGACCUCUCACUGGCGCCUGCGUUGAAGGGAGAAGCGGAUUCAAGAGUGAUGGUUGCUUCGUCCGUCCAACUUACUGCUGGGUCUAUGUGAUUUGACGGCUCAUUGGUCAUUAUUACUGAGGUGAUAGGACUGCUGGAUGUCCCACGCUUUCGGCGAAAGGAGGUACUACUAGAUUACAAUUUUCUCCAUUCUUACGGCGGAGGAGUGCAAGAGCAGUGAAAACACGCAGGCUCAGUGAUUACAUGGCCCACCUCACACUAUCACCAUAUUUUCUGGACACCGUGCGACACCUAACUCUUUACAUAGUACUCCCUCCGUUCCUAAAUAUAAGUCUUCAUAGAGAUUCCACUAGGUGGACUACAUACGGAACAAAAUGAAUGAAUCUACACUUAAAAUGCAUCUUAUACAUCCGUAUAUGGUUCAUGGUGAAAUCUCUACAAAGACUUAUAUUUAGGAACGGAGGAAGUACUUGUAUAGUACGUACUGUAAUUUAUCAGCGAGAUAGUACAAUGCUAUGAAGCUUCCAGCUUCUGUUACAUGUAUCUUGCGUCCAAGGUUGCCCGUUGCAACAUUUCAUCAAAAACAAAGGAGACUAACAUGCAUGGUAUUGCAUCUCAAUGAUUGACAGAUCAUAGCAAAUAUGUACUCCCUUCGUUCCAAAAUAAGUGUCUCAACUUUAUGGUACAUACGGAGCAAAAUGAGUGAAUCUACACUCUAAAAUACGUCUAUAUACAUCAGUGUUUGGAGUAUGUACUAGUAUUUCAUAUUGAAAUCUACUAAAGGACAUAUAUAUUCCAAACAAUAUGAUAAUCUCUCUAACUAGUAGGGACGAGGAGUAAACGGAGGGAGUAGUAAAAUUUUCUCCUCGUCCUGCGAGCCACCGCGCGCGUGGGCGAGGGAGCGGGCGUAAGGCGUACAGUACUACUACUAGUACGCAAGCUUCACCUCAUCCUGCGAGCCACCGCGCCCGUGGGCGGGGGAGACGGCGUACUAAGCAAGCUUCUCCUCGUUCUACGAGUUGACGGGACACAUCAAAAGUACUCCAGUGUAUAGAGCCUUGCCUCUAAGGUAGGCCCCACAUGGUUUGCCUCUUUUUUAACAUAACGCGCCAAGUCGCAAUUUGUUUGUUCACCCGUGGUAGACGAUCCUCCUCCAUCUAGUGAACAACCAGUACACGUGUCAAAUUACCACGUGGGCUGCCUUUUCGUACAGAAAUGAGCUCCACUGUGUACCCGCGCGGGUGUGGUUGAGAAAGAGACGGGAGUACGUGCGCCGUGCGUGCACCUCUUCUCUUUGUGCAUGUCCCCCACCUACGUGGGUGUGUGUGAGAGAUACAAACCUAGACAAAUGGCUUGUGCGUUCGUGAGUGUUUUUUGUUUGGGGGGGUUGAUUUCGUGAAUGUAUUUGUGGGAAUAUGUGUCGAUGACAUCUCAAAUAAAUUUUUGCAUGCAAUGUGUGUGAAAUGGAGGCCUAUCCAUAUCAUAUAUAGAGGGUCGGGCGAUCCACGAGAAGAGAGGGAGGGGUCAUAGAUAUCGAUAGAGUCGAAGAGAGGAUCAAGUGGGUAGGUGCGAGAUCGAUGAAGAGAGCCAUCGAAAUUGUGUGUGUGUGUGUGCAAGUCAAAGAUAUAGGGCGACUGACCUAGAUACCGGAACGUCAGAGGGCACAGGUCAAGUUUGUGUGUGGCAGGGAGACAUGACUAGAGCGCUCGAUGUAUCGGUGUGUGUGUGUGUGUGGGGGGGGGGGGGGGAGGGGUAGGCAGAGGCCUAACUAUAUAGGUAGAACGACUCGUAUAUGUGUUGAGAAGGAGAGACCCUUCUAUGUCUUGAGGGAGAUCGGUCGACAUCCAUACAUAACUAAAGGACGGGAAAUAGGAUGGGACAGAGAGAGAGAGGANNNNNNNNNNNNNNNNNNNNNNNNNNNNNNNNNNNNNNNNNNNNNNNNNNNNNNNNNNNNNNNNNNNNNNNNNNNNNNNNNNNNNNNNNNNNNNNNNNNNNNNNNNNNNNNNNNNNNNNNNNNNNNNNNNNNNNNNNNNNNNNNNNNNNNNNNNNNNNNNNNNNNNNNNNNNNNNNNNNNNNNNNNNNNNNNNNNNNNNNNNNNNNNNNNNNNNNNNNNNNNNNNNNNNNNNNNNNNNNNNNNNNNNNNNNNNNNNNNNNNNNNNNNNNNNNNNNNNNNNNNNNNNNNNNNNNNNNNNNNNNNNNNNNNNNNNNNNNNNNNNNNNNNNNNNNNNNNNNNNNNNNNNNNNNNNNNNNNNNNNNNNNNNNNNNNNNNNNNNNNNNNNNNNNNNNNNNNNNNNNNNNNNNNNNNNNNNNNNNNNNNNNNNNNNNNNNNNNNNNNNNNNNNNNNNNNNNNNNNNNNNNUGUGUGUGCAAGUCAAAGAUAUAGGGCGACUGACCUAGAUACCGGAACGUCAGAGGGCACAGGUCAAGUUUGUGUGUGGCAGGGAGACAUGACUAGAGCGCUCGAUGUAUCGGUGUGUGUGUGUGUGUGGGAGGGGGUGGGGGAGGGGUAGGCAGAGGCCUAACUAUAUAGGUAGAACGACUCGUAUAUGUGUUGAGAAGGAGAGACCCUUCUAUGUCUUGAGGGAGAUCGGUCGACAUCCAUACAUAACUAAAGGACGGGAAAUAGGAUGGGACAGAGAGAGAGAGGAGAGAGAGAGAGAGGGAGGGAGAGGGGUAGAGUGCUGGAUGGGUGAUGGAGUUGCUUCUCGAAGAUGGUGGGAGAGGCCUACUAGACAAACUGGGGUGGAACUGCAAUAUUAUGGAUAAGAGUGGGGAUGUGUUUCUGUGUGUGCCUGUGCGUGAUAGAUCUGUUGGGACACAUCCAUGGAUGAUGAAGGGGAACCACGUGUUUGGUAAGCAAAUCUAACUAGAUCGGUAGAUCGGUAGAUCGGUGGAACCAUCUUGUCGGAGGAAGGGAGAGACAUAACUAAUGAGGUAGAUCGAUCGACGCGCGGGGAAAAACGAGUUAUCAGGACCUAGCUAGCAAUAUGUAUAGCGGGAGAUCGGUCGGUGUACGUCCAUUUGUUAGAGGCAAAUAAGGUCCGGCGAGAUGGAUAGACAGAGAGAAUGGAGCUAGGAGGUGGUGCGAGAGGCCCAGCUACUAGCUAGAUAGGGGAGGAGUGUGCGGUUGUGAGAUCGAUGAAAAGAGGGGCGAGAGUUUACACGUGCCUGGGACCGUAUGAGAGACACGAGGCAAGGACACAUAAAGGAGGAGAUUGAAGGUGCGUGUGUAUGUUGUAGGCAGACAUCGCUGGAGAGGUUUAUCGAUUGGUGUGUGUCGGAAAGGAGUUGUGGAGACUGUGGGAGAACGACCUAAAGAAAAAAAAUGAAUGUGUGCGAUGGAUAGAAUGCUGAGGGAGGGGGAGGGCGUGUGCAUGCACGAGACAAAGUUAGUGGUAGCUACAAAGGUUAGAGGAUUGUGUGGGUGUAACAGACUAAUAAAGAUCAUAAUUUGAUAUGAAAGUGGAUUCAUAUAUUUGAAUAGGAGAUCAUAGUGUUUUAAACAUAUGCAUGCAUGAAUAUAGCGGUGAUACGCGUGUUGUGGUUUUGCACAUGUUAUACCAUAAUGUGAUAAUGCAUGGCGUUUGCAACUCACAGCUAAAUGUCGAACAACCUAAACCAUACUAUACAUCGAACAAUCUCACAUUUUAUUUGAAUUUGUGAUAAUGUGUGGCGUUUGCAGCUUAUAACUAAAUAUCGAACAAUCUAAACAAUACUAUAUAUCGAAGAUUCUCACAUUUUAUUUGAAUUUGUGGUAAUGUGUGGUGUUUGCAACUCACAUCUAAAUACUUGUAGGCGUAGGGGGCGGGGCACCAUACAUAAUGUGAUAAACACAUUAUACAUAUGAGACAUGGUUUAGUUUGUGAAGAUCUAGCUAGAGCUUGAAAUGUACUAUGAUUUGAAAUCAACAUAAAGUGGAUUCAAAAAAUCGAGUUCGAGUUCAUAUAGUACACAUAGUUCAUAUGUAACUCGAGACUAAUCAUGUGGUGUGCUCUGAAGAUAAUACACAAACGAUGGUUUAACUUGACAAUAAUGACGAUUGUAGAUCUUAUUAAAAGAGAGAAACGAAUUCAAAUGCUUUGACUUCACAACAAUCAUUAUUGUAGAUCUUAUUCAAAUAGAGAAAAAAAUUUCAUAUUUAGUUCAUAUUGAAGCGGUAGUAUAUACGUUUGGAAUGCAAUAAAAACGUUCAUUUGAGUACCAGGUUGCAUGCAUUAUACACGUAGAGAAAUAUUUUAAUUGAACAUAACAUGAAUUCAAAGUUUUGAAUGACAUUUGUAGUGCGAAUUGAUUUGGCACAGUACACGUUAGGCUUGUCCGAAAAUUUCAACCCGCGCCUUGUUAGCCCAAAAUAUUUAAGAUAUAUCUUUGUCUCGUUGUGCUCCGACAACUCCCUCCAUCUCAACCCGCGCCUUGCUAUUCCAAAAUUACAACGCGUGCGAAAACUCCCACCUCCUGUGGAAUCCCGACACAUGAAAUGCCCGUGAUACCCCUGAACCGAAAGAACCGCCUCAAAUCGGUGGGGGUACUUUUGUAACUUACCCCACAUUUCGGACAAGCGCGUCCCUAAGCCAUGGUUCCCCACUCCCAUCCCAUCCGCCCACCCAUUCGUACACCGAGGCCGGGAAAACCCGCGAAGCCCCACACCCUUCUCCGUCCGCCACCCAGCCGGAGCCUCUUCCCCGACGACGUCGUCCACAGCAACACCUCGACGUCCCUCAUUCACCGUACCGGAUGAGGAUCCGUCGUCGAUCCGGUCGUCCUGCCGGUUCAGCCACCCCCUCCUCCACCUCCAAGGAGCUGCCCUGAUGUUCCCCUCGUCUUUCGCGCCACCUCCAUUCCCACACCUCCGUCUUCACCUGCACCACCGGAAGAGCAUCAUCAUCACCGUUUCCUCGGAUGAAGCUAUAGCCUAAUCGGCGCCACCAAAGAGGUUGUACACUAAUCGCCGCAUUUUCUUCUUGAUUCGAUCUCACGGUGCUGCCGGCGCUCGGUCCCGAGCCGACACGGCGCGGCUCCAUCCACGGCAGCGUCGCCGGCCACUUCCUCCACGGUGUCGCUCCCUCGGCAGCGACGUCCACAUAAGUAGGAGCUACUGCUGCUUUAGCUCUCGCUCGCGCUGUUGCUCUGCUCUUGCUCUCGGUCCCCUGCCUGGUCUGCUCUUGCUCGCAUUGCUGCUCUCGCUCUUGCUCUUGCUUGCGAUGCUGCUCCGAUUUAGCUACACUUCAGUCGACUGAAUCGACUUUUGGGUCAAUCGAUUUUCAGGGGGUGGGGUGGGGGGCUCACCGGAGUUAAGGAAAAACCAGCNNNNNNNNNNNNNNNNNNNNNNNNNNNNNNNNNNNNNNNNNNNNNNNNNNNNNNNNNNNNNNNNNNNNNNNNNNNNNNNNNNNNNNNNNNNNNNNNNNNNNNNNNNNNNNNNNNNNNNNNNNNNNNNNNNNNNNNNNNNNNNNNNNNNNNNNNNNNNNNNNNNNNNNNNNNNNNNNNNNNNNNNNNNNNNNNNNNNNNNNNNNNNNNNNNNNNNNNNNNNNNNNNNNNNNNNNNNNNNNNNNNNNNNNNNNNNNNNNNNNNNNNNNNNNNNNNNNNNNNNNNNNNNNNNNNNGGCGGUGGGGAGUGUUUUCGGGGCGGGCGGGGCGGCGCACCGCCGGCCGCGGGCGGCGGGGGGCGGCUGUUUAGCCGGUGGUGGCUGGCGGCUCAGGGGGGUGGAGGUUGAAGAUGAACUGCAGGCCCUUGAUUUCGUAUCCAACGGCUGCAAAAUCGACUGACCAGAGAUGAAAAAGUCAGUCGACUGACAUGUAGCCUCACCUCUAGUGCGUUCAGUUUCGACAGCAAAAUUCAGUUUCGACAGUUAAGUUCAGUUUCAACAGUUAAAUUCAGUUUCGACAGUUAAGUUCAGAGAUGAGCAGCUGAUGUAUACAUCUAGAACUUCAUGGUUAUGUAUUUUACGUCAUCUAUUGGAGAUGCUAUUAGAAUUCCACUCAGGUUAACAUUGUCUCUCUUGUCCUGCUUCAGGCUCGGCGGCGUACAACUCACCGGAGCUGCUCCAAUGACGAAACCCUCCAUCACAGCGGAGCAGUACCUCGGGCUCCAUCUCCAGACGCCUAAGAUCUUCUUCCCCUCCUCCGACAGCCAAGUCAGCCGGAGCAUCCUCACCGGCCAACCCAAUCACGCUGAGAUCGACAUGGCUUCGCCAAAGAGGUUGUACACUUCUUGUGGUUUGACUUAAUCUCACCAUGCUUCUUUUCAUCCUGUGAUCUUCCAAUUCUUGUGAACCAAACACUCAGAUUGGCAGAAAUCCUGUGUUUUUAAAUUCUCUGUUUUGCACAUGCAUUCCUAUCCUAUUCCUAUCUAUUUCCUAUCCCUGCAUUAUUAGAAUCCUCAAAUUCAAACAAGCCCUUACACAAUUACUUUUGUUACAGAUAUGUGUCAAAGAAAACCUUGUGUGGUUUGUCCUGCUCCUGCGGUGUUGUGUUCCACCCAGCUCAGCUGCUCCAACGACGGAAGGGUUCACCACAGCAGGGAUCCGCUCUCCAGACUGUCUUUCGCCGCCUCAGAUCUUCUUCCCUGCCGCCGGCAGCCACGACAACUGCAUUACCAUCAUCAACUGAGCAGAUGACCUUGAGGACUACAUGGGUCCGCAAGAGAGGUCGCACUCUUCCGUGUCUGCUUAUGUUAUGCAUCGCUUAAUAUGAUGACAUCCUACUUUAUCGUCGUGUUCACCUAUUAGACUCCGACUCAGGUCCAAACUUAUGCUGAAACUUGAGUUUUUAAAUGGUUGUGGGGUACAUAUUAGGGCAGCAAUCAGUACUAUCUGUCUACUAUCUGGUUCAUCUCAGGUGUCUACUAUGAGUUUCAUGUUGGGUGCAAACAAACAUUAAAGGAGCCAUUAUCUGUAUUUUUUAACUAAAGCUAUUAUCUGCCUGCUAUCAUUGGUUUUGGGUCUAUCUACAGUUUGCUACCUUCACUCUGGAUUUGUGCAUGCACUCCUUACAUAAUCUCACUAUGUUUUAUUCCUAUGCAUGUCAGUUAUUGUACACAAUGGAAUUGAACAUGUAGAGUGAAAGAGACGAGCCUUGCGUGGCAAUAAAAUUUCAUGCAAACGUCGCUCCAUGGUGGGCGCAAAGGCAGCCCCCCUCCACCCAUUUCGGAUCGUAAUCAAGAGGAAGAUAACUGUUCUGAGGGGGAUUCAGAAGCAGAAGACCACUCCUAUUUACCCCAUGAGGUCUUCGCUCUAACUUGGCAUGCUGAUGUUGGUAAUAUCAUGCAUAUGGUGCCUUGCAUUGCUUACUGUAUACAUCAAAGAUGUCAUCUGCUUAGUUUAGACAUGCUUUGUGUCAAUGCCAUCUGCUUAGUUUCUCAUCGUAUAUGUGAAUCAUGCAAUGCCAUCUUGUUUAGCCAGACAUCAUAUAUGUGAAUUUUGCAAUGCCACCCUGGUUAGCCAGUCAUCUUAUAUGUGAAUUAUAUCAUGACAUCAUUUUUUAUUACGUGUUAAAUUUGUCAACAAUUUUAGUACAUUCAAUUACUCUUCCUGUGCAUCAGCCAUUCGACACGGUCAUGGAAAAAUCUGGAGUGGAAACAAGGUCUUCAGAGCAGACAAUGCUAUCUGACGAAGCGCAUGUCUUGCUGGUUACAGAUAGCUCCUCAGAGGAGGAUUCAGAGACAGAUGACCAGUCCUACCCCCCCGAGGUACAUGCUCUAACUUGGCAGGGUUAUGUUGCUCAUAUCGUGCGUAUGGUAUCUUGCAUUGCUAUGUCAUUUGCUUAGUUUAGACAUGAUUUGUGUGAAUGCCACCUGUUUAGUGUCUAAUUACCAUAUAUGUGAAUUAUGCAAUGCCAUCUUGUUGCAAGACAUUAUAUAUGUGAAUUAUGCAAUGCUAUCUUGUUGCAAGGCAUUAUAUAUGUGAAUUAUGCAAUGCCAUGCUGUUUAGCCAAGCGUCAUAUAUGUGAAUUAUAUCAUGCCGUCCUUUUUUUGUAUUUCUCAUUGCUUUUGUCGACAAUGUUUGUAUAUUCAACUGCUCUUCCUGUGCAUCAGCCAUUUGAAUUGGUGAUGGAGAAAUCUGGAGUGAAAACAAGGUCUUUAGAGCAGACAAUGCUACCUGCUGAAGCAGAUAUGUUGCUGGUUACAGAUAGCUCUUCAGAGGAGGAUUCAGAGGCAGAUGACCAGUCCUAUUAUCCCCCUGAGGUGUAUGCUCAAACUUGGCAGGGUUAUAUUACUCAUAUCAUGCAUAUGUUGUAUUGCAAUGCUUAGUUUUUACAUCAUAUACACGAUAUUGAAUGCCAUCUCCUUAGUUGACACAUCAUAUAUGCGAUUGCCCUCUGCUCACUUCCUUAGUAUAUAAAUCAUAUAUUUGAAUUAUAUCAUGCCAUGAUGUUUACAUAGACAGCAUGUAUCUGAAUUAUGGCAUGCCAACCCAUUUUCUAAAGACAUAAUAUAGUUAUAUCAUCUCAUCCUGUUUACAUAGUCAUCAUAUUUUGAAUUAUGUCAUUCUAUCCGUGAAUUAUAUCAUGCCAUCAUGUUUCCAUCGAUGGCAUAUUUGUGAUUUAUGGCAUGCCAACCACUUUAAUAGACACAUCGUAUAGUUAUAUCAUGUCAUCCUGUUUACAUAGUCAUCAUAUUUUGAAGUAUGUCAUUCUAUCCUGUUUAGUUAGCCAUCAUACAUGUGAAAUUGUGUCAUGCUAUCCUGUUUAAUUAGCCAUCAUAUAUUUGAAAUUAUGUCCUGCUAUUCUGUUUGGUUAGACAACAUAAAUGUGAAUUAUGUCAUGCCCUGUUUUCUUCCCUACUAUCCAUUGCACCUGUGUAUCUUACAAUGUCUGUACAUUCAAUUACUUUUCUUGUUUAUCAGCCAUUUCAAUUGGAGGGGGUGAUGGCAGUAUCUGUGGAAGUAAAAACAUGGUCUUCAGAAAAGAUCGUGCUACCUGUCGAUGGAGAUAGAACCACGGUUGUACUUUCCCAAGAACCAGCCCCACCACACAUAACCCAGACUCACGCAGAUUGUACCCCUACACAGUUGGACAGAGAACCAGCUACACCCCUUCUAACCCCAACCCCAGCAGAUAGUAACCCAGUUCCCGUUGACACAGCACCGUCUCCACCACAGAGCACCCAAACAUGAUCAGUUAGUAAGGCAACUGCAGUGCCCAAAGCACGAGGACCACCACUCCGAACCCCAAGUCAACGCUUAAAGCAGAAGAAGAGUUGUUCUCAGGUCAGGUUCCGUAGCUAUGGUUCAUACUACUUUGCUCUUUCAUCACUGUAUUUACUCAUACCAACUAAUUUCAAAUUUGAAGGAUGCAAUUGAAACUCCAAUGGCGCAACAGGUAUGUUUUAAACCUGUUUCUUUAACGUGUUUGCUGUUGUAACUUGCUCUAUGUUGAUUUCUGUUUCAAUUGAAUAAACAAUUAUGUUCUCAUGCCAUGCACAUUACAAGUGUUGUUAUUGCUGUGUAGUUUCCCACACUUAUAUUCUGUCUAUGCUGCUUUUUCUUAAAUAGAUAUGAUUCGAACUGUAUCUAUCUUGAUUUGGCAACAUAAACUAGAAUGAUAUAGACCAUACAGUGGCCAUACUACAUAAUUAUAUGUUUGUUUCAUGCUGUUAUCCUGUCCACCUUACUACUGAACUGGUUUACCAAAAUGAGUUUCAUAUACUACAUUGUAAACCUGUGAUGUGUUUGUUUGUUUCUCUUUUAGAACAUAGAUAAAAUAUUGGAGAAGAGUACCCCGUUAUGCAAUGGUAAAGGAAGUAAUGCAGAUAAGGUUCAAUAUAGUGAGACAUCCCUAUUGUUCUCCAAGAAAGCUGAUAAAAACAAUAUUGAAGACACUGAGACAACCCCAAAGUCCUGUCUUGAUGUAGUGUUCGAGUUACUGGCUACUACUACUGGCGCCAGCUCUUCGAACUCGCUGCCUGAAUCAGUUCGGCUUCUUGAGUCUCAACUUCAAGUUGAAAGACAUCGAUCAGAUGUUAUGCGACAGGAAGCUGAAGGACUGAGGAAGUCCCUGCAGAAUUCAGAUGCAUACUUUCUGGUGCAACAGCAAAUGCUGGAGGAUCUAAGCGCCAAACAAGAGAAAGUUAAUAAGCUUGCUAAGCAUCUUGCUAGCAUUAUGGGUACCCAGGAUAUUGUUCCUUGAGCUCUUCUGAAGUGGUUUCAGUUCUGGACUUGUUUUGUUGCGGCGUUUAUAUGCUGCUUUGUUCCCUAUAUUUGCACUUGUGGCGAACUUUGAUGCCCAGUGGAUGUAAUAUGUGUAAUAGCCGUGAUAGCCUAGCGUAAGUUGCUUGCUUAUUUAUUUCCUUAUUGUCUUGUUUAUUUGUUUUCUUGUAGUCAGUGCAGUUCUUUUUCCGCGGUUUGCUAGUGGCCGCAAUAACCUAUUUUUUAAAACUAGGCCACAUUAACAAUGGGCUACAUAUUUACUGUAGUUAACAUGGGCCUCCUACGGGCCAUAGAAACAAUGGGCCUUCUAAGGGCCAUAGAAACAAUGGGCCUUCUACGGGGCGUAGACAUAAUGGGCCUUCUACGGGUCGUAUCAUCAAUGGGCCUUCUACGGGCCGUAUGAUCGGUUGGCCAACCAUGGUCCAAUAACAGACCACAUUAUGGCCGUAAAUGGGCUAGAGUUGAAAUUGUCCGUUCAUGGGCCGACCAUAAUGGGCCGUCAUUAAUCGGCCGUAUUUGAUGACGCUAUGAAAAUGGCCCAACGUAUUAACGGGCCACAAACGGGCCGACUGUAACCACGGGCUGUAUUUGGCCCACAAGCAGAAAAUGACAGUAACGGGCCGAAAGUAAACGAAUGCUGGAAAUGAGCCCAAGAAUAAAUGGGCCCUGAGAAGGCCGAAAGAUAACAUGGGCUGGAAACGACCCAACGGAAUAAUGGGCCGUUAAUGGCUAUAAAGUGAUACACUGUUCAUUAUGGGCCAGUUUUACCACGGGCCGUUAAUGGGCCGAGGGUUACUAAGGGCCUCAUAUGGGCCAAAAGACGUCAUGGGCCAUACAUGGGCCGGAAGUUAAAACGGGCUGGAAUUAUAUUGGACGGCCCAGAUGACGCUACUAGGCCUAAUUUGGAUAGGCCGUAAACGGGCCCUGGAUUAGCGGGCUGUAAAUGGGCUAUAUGCGAACAUGCCGUUAACAGGCUUGCCGUGGGCCGGCCCGCCACCUUUUGACCAAGUCAAACGGGCCGGCCUUUUCACAGGAGUGGGCCUCUGUUGGGCCGUGCCAUGUGUUGACGUAUCAUAGGCGCUUUGUGUCCAAUGAGUGGAUGACAUCUGUCCCAACGGUGAGCCGACACGUGUUUCCUCCAACCAAUGAUGAUUUUACACGUGGAAAAUCCCCAUUGGUCGGGGCCUAUCCAAGGGAAUCACAAACCUUAGCACCAAUAUUCUUACUAAAGCAUAAUUACUCAUCAACAUGACUCACAUAUCACAUCAUCAUAUCUCAAAACUAUUGCAAGGAAUCAAGUUUAUUUUGUCCAAUGAUCUUCAUGAAAGUUUUUAUUAUAUCCUUCUUGGAUAUCUAUCACUUUGGAACUAAUUUUCAUGUGUUGCUUUUGAUAAGGUCAAACAAAUAUAAGUGAAGAUCAUGAGCAUAAUAUUUCUUUCUCUCAAAUUGAUUUAAGUGAAGCAAGAGAGAAUUUCUUCAAAAAUACUAAAGCACACCGUGCUCAAAAAUAUAUAAGUGAAGCACUAGAGCAAUUCCAUAGAAAAUAGCUUCGUUGACAGGAUGUGUGUGCCACUUACCUAGCCUCCCUGGCAACUAUUCGAGGACUCUAUUUUAUUUAAAAACUUUCAGAUCUAAGUACUUUAUUAAAACAGCAAGCAAAACAAAAUAAAAUGACAUUCCAAGGAUAGCACACAUCAUGUGAAGAAGCAAAAACUUAGGAUCAACCGAUACUAACCGGUAAUUGUUGGUGAAGAAAGGUGGGAUGCCUACCUGGGCAUCCCCAAGCUUAGAUGCUUGAUACUUCUUGAAAUAUUAUCUUGGGAUGCCUUGGGCAUCCCCAAGCUUGAGAUUUUGUGUCUCCUUAAUUCCUUUUAUAUCACGGUUUCCCUAAAUCUUAAAAGCUUCAUCCACACAAAACUCAACAAGAACUCGUGAGAUAAGUUAGUAUAAACCAAUGCAAAAACUUUAUCAUUCUCUACUGUAGCAAAUCACUAAAAUUAUUAUUAUACAUUGCAUAAUAAAUGCCUCUGCAUAUUUAAUACUCAUAUCCUCAAAUAGAAUCAUUAAACAAGCAAACAUAUGCAAACAAUGCAAACAUAACAGCAAUCUGCCAAAACAAUACAGUCUGUGAACAAUGCAAGAGUAUCAAUACUUAUUCAACUCCAAACAUUAGGAAAUUCUACCGCACUAUUGAAAAUUUAUCAGAGCUUAUUAUGCAAAAAGUUUCAACAUUUUACCACAUUCUGACUUUUCUAGGGAAUGUUUGCAACAUCGAUAAACUUUCUGUUUUCAAACAGCAACAUGUAGACUUGUAAAAUAAGCAUAGUAAAGGCUAUCAAUGCCACUUUUAUUGAAAUAAAAUAUGCAAAACAUUAUUCUAAAUAACAGAAAGCAAAUCCUAACAAAAUAAAUUGACGCUCCAAGCAAAACACGUAUUAUGUGACGAAUGAAAACAUAGCUCCAAGUGAGGUUACCGAUAAUGUUGGAGACGAAAGAGGGGAUGCUUUCCGGGGCAUCCCCAAGCUUAGUUGCUUGGAUCUUUCUUGAAUAUCACCUUGGGGUGCCUUGGGCAUCCCCAAGCUUAGGGUCUUGUCACUCCUUAUUCUCCUCAUAUCGACAUCUCACCCAAAACUUGAAAACUUCAAUCACACAAAACUUAACGGAACUUCGUGAGAUAGGUUAGUAUGAUAAAGAGCAAACCAUUUCACUUUUGGUACUGUGAAAGACAAGAUUCAUAAUUGUUCUCACACAAUGCCUACUAUAGCAUAUCAUUUCCACAAUUUAUAUUGAGCAAUAUAAGCCAUAGAAACUAGAAAACAAGCAAACUAUGCAUUAAAAACAGAAUCUGUCAAAAACAGAACAGUACGUAAAGAUCUGAAUAUUAGUCAUACUUCUGCAACUCCAAAAAUUCUGAAAACUUAGGACCACGUAGAAAAUUUGUAUAAACUUAUGCAAAAAUAAUCAACUCAAAAGCAUUCUUAUGUUAAAAAUAAGAAUUAUUUUCGUGAGCACAAAAAUUUCAGUUUUUCAGCAAGAUCAAAUCAACUAUCACCCAACAUGAUCCCAAAGGCUUUACUUGGCACUUUAUUGAAACAAAAGCAAUAAAACAUGAUUACUACACUAGCAUAAUCAUGGGAACACACAAAAACAGUAGGUAAAAGUGUUGGGUUGUCUCCCAACAAGCGCUUUUCUUUAAUGUCUUUUAGCUAGGCAUGAUGAUUUCAAUGAUGCUCGCAUAAAAGAUAAGAAUUGAAACAUAACAAGAGCAUCAUUAAACACAUGGCAAGCACAUUUAGGUCUAACCCACUUCCUAUGCACAUCAUCAACUAGCAUAGGAAGGCAAAACAAGUGCAACUUCAAAACAAUGAACACAUAGUGAAGAAACUUGAUAUUAUUGAGAUAUGUAAGAGCAUAAGUUCCUUCCUCAUAAAUAAUUUCCAGAAACAUCAUGAAUGGAUUCAACAAUAUAACCAUCACAUAAAGCAUUCUUUUCAUGACCCACAAGCAUAGAAAUUUUAUUACUCUCCACAUAAGAAAAUUUAUUCUCAUGAAUAGUAGUGGGAGCAAACUCAACAAAAUAACUAUCAUGGGAUUGAAAAUUAAAAUCAUGAUGACAAGUUUCAUGGUUAUCAUUAUUAAUAUAGCAUACAUGUCAUUACCAUAAUCAUCAUAAAUAGCAACUUUGUUGUCAUAGUCAAUUGCAACCUCUUCCAAAAUAGUGGAUUCAUCACUAAAUAAAGUCAUGACCUCUCCAAAUCCACUUUCAUUAUUUUAAUCAUCAUAAAUAGGAGGCAUGCUUUCAUCAUAAUAAAUUUUCUCAUCAAAACUUGGGGGAAUAAAAUAUCAUCUUCAUCAAACAAAGCAUCCCCAAGCUUAUGGCUUUGCAUACUAUUAGCAUCAUGGAUAUUCAAAGAAUUCAUACUAACAACAUUGCAAUCAUGCUCAUCAUUCAAAUAUUUUGUGCUAAACAUUUUAUUGACUUCUUCUAACACUUGAGCACAAGUUUCUGAUCCAUCAUUUUCAAGAAAGAUAUUAUAAAGAUGAUCAAUAAUAUGAUGCAACCUCAAUUCCAUUUUGAUGUAGUUUUCUUUUAUAAACCAAACUAGUGAUAAAACAAGAAACUAAAAGAUUCAAUUGCAAGAUCUAAAGAUAUACCUUCAAGCACUCACCUCCCCAGCAACGGCCCAAGAAAAGAGCUUGAUGUCUACUAUGCAACUUUAUUCUUGUAGACUCGUGUUGGGCCUCCAAGCGCAGAGUUUUCUAGGAUAGUAGCAAUUUUCCCUCAAGUGGAUGACCUAAGGUUUAUCAAUCCGUGGGAGGUGUAGGAUGAAGAUGGUCUCUCUCAAACAACCUUGCAAUCAAAUACAAGAAAUCUCUUGUGUCCCCAACACACCCAAUACAAUGGCAAAUUGUAUAGGUGCACUAGUUCGGCGAAAAGAUGGUGAUAAAAGUGUAAUAUGGAUGGUAGAAAUAUAUUUUUAUAAUCUGCAUAAAUAAAAACAGCAAGAUAGCAAAUAGUAAAUGGGCAAAAAAACAGUAUUGCAAUGCUUGAAAAUGAGGCCUAGGGUUCGUACUUUCACUAGUGCAAUCUCUCAACAAUCGUAAUAUAAUUGGAUCACAUAACCACCCCUCAAAGUGCGAUGAAGAAUCACUCCAAAGUUCCUAUCUAGCGGAGAACAUAAGAAGAAUUGUUUGUAGCUAUUCUUUCUGAUCUAUCUAUCCAAGAGUUCGUACUAAAAUAACACCAAGUUAUUCUUUUCGAUCGAUCUAUCUAGAGUUCGUACUAAAAUAACACCAAGUUAUUCUUUCCGAUCGAUCUAUCAAGAGUUCGUACUAAUAUAACACCAAAGCAAAUUCAGAUCAUAAUACUCAAUCCAACACAAAGAACCUCAAAGAGUGCCCCAAGAUUUCUACCGGAGAAACAAAGACAAGAACAUGCAUCAACCCCUAUGCAUAGAUUACCCCAAUGUCACCUCGGGAAUCCGCGAGUUGAGUGCCAAAACAUAUAUCAAGUGAAUCAAUAUGAUACCCCAUUGUCACCACGAGUAUUCAAUUGCAAGAAAUAUAUCAAGUGUUCUCAAAUCCAUAGAAGUAUUCAAUCCGAUAACAACGAAAUCUCAAAGGGAAAAACCUAAUUCAUCACAACAAGACAGAGAGGGGAAAACACCAUAUGAUCCAACUAUAUUAACAAAGCUUGCGAUACAUCAAGAUCGUGACAUCUCAAGAACACGAGAGAGAGAGAGAGAUUAAACACAUAGCUACUGGUACAAACCCUCAACUCCGAGGGUGGAUGAUACAUCUCCAACGUAUCUAUAAUUUUUGAUUGUUCCGUGCUAUAUUAUAUUCUGUUUUGGACAUUAAUGGGCUUUAUUAUACACUUUUAUAUUAUUUUUGGGACUAACCUAUUAACCGGAGGCCCAGCCCAGAAUUGCUGAUUUUUGCCUAUUUCAGAAUUUCGCAGAAAAAGAAUAUCAAACGGAGUCCAAACGGAAUGAAACCUUCGGGAACGUGAUUCGGAACGAACGUGAUCCAGAGGACUUGGACCCUACGUCAAGACAUCAACCAGGAAGGCACGAGGUAGGUUGGCACGCCUACCCCCCAGGGCGCGCCCUCCACCCUCGUGGGCCCCACGUUGCUCCACCGACGUACUUCUUCCUCCUAUAUAUACCUACGUACCCCCAAACUACCAGAUACGGAGCCAUCUUGGGGCCUUUUUCGGAGCUCCGCCGGAGGGGGCAUCGAUCACGGAGGGCUUCUACAUCAACACCAUAGCCUCUCCGACGAUGUGUGAGUAGUUUACCUCAGACCUUCGGGUCCAUAGUUAUUAGCUAGAUGGCUUCUUCUCUCUUUUUGGAUCUCAAUACAAUGUUCUCCCCCUCUCUUGUGGAGAUCUAUUCGAUGUAAUCUUCUUUUGCGGUGUGUUUGUUGAGACCGAUGAAUUAUGGGUUUAUGAUCAAGUUUAUCUAUGAACAAUAUUUGAAUCUUCUCUGAAUUCUUUUAUGUAUGAUUGGUUAUCUUUGCAAGUCUCUUCAAAUUAUCAGUUUGGUUUGGCCUACUAGAUUGAUCUUUCUUGCGAUGGGAGAAGUGCUUAGCUUUGGGUUCAAUCUUGCGGUGUCCUUUCCCAGUGACAGUAGGGGCAGCAAGGCACGUAUUGUAUUGUUGCCAUCGAGGAUAACAAGAUGGGGUUUAUAUUAUGUUGCAUGAGUUUAUCCCUCUACAUCAUGUCAUCUUACUUAAAGUGUUACUCUGUUCUUUUGAACUUAAUACUCUAGAUGCAUGCUGGAUAGCGGUCGAUGUGUGGAGUAAUACGUAGAUGCAGGCAGGAGUCGGUCUACUUUUCUCGGACGUGAUGCCUAUAUACAUGAUCAUACCUAGAUAUUCUCAUAACUAUGCUCAAUUCUGUCAAUUGCUCAACAGUAAUUUGUUCACCCACCGUAAUACUUAUGCUCUCGAGAGAAGCCACUAGUGAAACCUAUGGCCCCCGGGUCUAUUUUCCAUCAUAUUAAUCUUCCAACAACAAGCUAUUUCCAUUGCCUUUUAUUUUGCUUUUAUUUUACUUUGCACCUUUAUCAUAAAAAUACCAAAAAUAUUAUCUUAUCAUAUCUAUCAGAUCUCACUCUCGUAAGUGACCGUGAAGGGAUUGACAACCCCUUUAUUGCGUUGGCUGCAUGGAUUUAUUUGUUUGUGUAGGUGCGAGGGACUUGUGCAUGGCCUCCUACUGGAUUGAUACCUUGGUUCUCAAAAACUGAGGGAAAUACUUUCACUACUUUGCUGCAUCACCCUUUCCUCUUCAAGGGAAAACCAAGGCAGUGCUCAAGAGGCAGCAAGAAGGAUUUCUGGCGCCGUUACCGGGGAGGCUUACGCAAGGUCAAGUCAAGAUUUGGACUCCCGACAACGAGCCAUUCUGGCGCCGUUGCCGGGGAGUCUACGCAAAAGUCUACAUACCAAGUACCCAUCACAAACCCUUAUCUCCCGCAUUACAUUAUUUGUCAUUUGCCUCUCAUUUUCCUCUCCCCCACUUCACCAUUUGCCGUUUUAUUCUCCCUCUCUUUUCCGUUCGCCUCUUUAUCGCUUGCUUGGUCGUUAUGGCUAGUCCUCUAUCUUCUCCGUUGUCUCCCGAGAAUGAAGUUCUUAAUUUUAAGCAAAGGGAGGGAGAAAAUCUAAAAGACGCUUGGUAUAGAAUUUGCAAUGCUCAAAAUAGAUCUACCAGGAAGCAAUCUACUUCCGUUCUUCUCCGCAAUUUUUAUGUAGGCGCUACUCCUUGGUACAGAUAUAUCCUUGAUACCAUUACCGGACGGAAUUUCUUGGGUAGCCAUACUUUUGAUUCUUAUAAUGCUAUGAUAGAUUUGUUUGGCUCACCACCUCUUUUGGUUAAUGGAACUAUGUUAACUUUGGAGCAUGUAAUGCAAAGACUUGAAAUUAUUAAAAAGAAAGUUGCUACCGUAGAGUUAAUUGAAAAUUUGGAUAAAAAGAUCCAUAACCAAAUUACCCAAUAUGGAUCUAAGGUAGGAGUCACUUUGAAAAAUAUUAAGGAGAAGGAAGCCAUAGUUAAUGAAAGAAUAAAUCAGGAUUCCACUAGAAUUGAUAAACGAGAGGGUAUCAUUACCAACUUGGGAACCGCUUUUUCUUCCAUAAAGAAUACUCCAAGUCCUCCAACUAAAAUUGCCAAGCUUAUGUAUGUUCCUAAAAAUAAGGGUGAAUCCUCUAGUAAGGAAACUGCGGAUCUCAAAUCUAUAAGUAUUCAUCCCAAUCUUUUUGCUAUCAUUAAGGAACCAUUUGCUACAAACGAUUUUUUCGGUUAUGUGCCUAGAAGUUUGAUAAUUAAUAAAAAGAAAGAAACUCCUAAGGAUGAGAGAUGUCUCAUAGAAGGAUUUCCUACCAAAGAUGGCGAUACCUGGAACUAUCCUUGCUUUUAUGCCUAGCUAGGGGCGUUAAACGAUAGCGCUUGUUGGGAGGCAACCCAAUUUUAUUUUUAGUUUUUUUUUUGCUUUUUGCUUCUGUUUAGGAAUAAAUCUUUGAUCUAGCCUCUGUUUAGAUGUGUUUUGUGUUUUAAUUAGUGUUUGUGCCAAGUUAAACCUAUAGGAUCUUCUUGGAUGAUAGUUAUUUGAUCUUGCAGAAAAUUGCAGAAACUUUCUGUUCACGAAAAUAAUUGUUAAAAAUCACCAGAACGUGAUAAAAUAUUGAUUCCAAUUUCUGCUGAUCAAUAAACAAACUUUCUAGGUCUUCCUAUUUUUUCUGAAUUUUUGGAGUUCCAGAAUUUUGCGUUAGUUACAGAUUUCUACAGACUGUUCUGUUUUUGACAGAUUCUGUUUUUCGUGUGUUGUUUGCUUAUUUUGAUGAAUGUAUGGCUAAUAAAAUAAUUUAUAAACCAUAGAGAAGUUGGAAUACAGUAGUUUUAACACCAAUAUAAAUAAAUAAUGAGUUCAUUACAGUACCUUGAAGUGGUGUUUUGUUUUCUUUCGCUGACGGAGCUCACGAUAUUUUCUGUUAAGUUUUGUGUUGUGAAGUUUUCAAGUUUGGGGUAAAAGAUUUGAUGGAUUAUGGAACAAGGAGUGGCAAGAGUCUAAGCUUGGGGCUGCCCAUGGCACCCCAAGAUAAUCUAAGGACACCAAAAAGCCAAAUCUUGGGGAUGCCCCGGAAGGCAUCCCCUCUUUCGUCUACUUCCAUCGGUAACUUACUUGGAGCUAUAUUUUUAUUCACCACAUGAUAUGUGUUUUGCUUGGAGCGUCUUGUAUUAUUUGAGUCUUUGCUUUUUAGUUUACCCCAAUCAUCUUUGCUGUACACACCUUUUGAUGAGAGACACACAUGAUUCGGAAUUGAUUAGAAUACUCUAUGUGCUUCACUUAUAUCUUUUGAGCUAUAUAGUUUUUGCUCUAGUGCUUCACUUAUAUCUUUUAGAGCACGGUGGUGGAUUUGUUUUAUAGAAACUAUUGUUCUCUCAUGCUUCACUUAUAUUAUUUUGAGAGUCUUAAACAACAUGGUAAUUUGCUUAAUCCUAAUAUGCUAGGUAUUCAAGACUAGUAAAAACUUUCUUAUGGGUGUGUUGAAUACUAACAGAAGUUUGAUGCUUGAUGAUUGUUUUGAGAUAUGGAGGUAGUGAAAUUAAAGUUGUGCUAGUUGAGUAGUUGUGAAUUUGAGAAAUACUUGUGUUGAAGUUUGCAAGUCCCGUAGCAUGCACGUAUGGUAAACGUUAUGUAACAAAUUUGAAACAUGAGGUGUUCUUUGAUUGUCCUCCUUAUGAGUGGCGGUCGGGGACGAGCGAUGGUAUUUUCCUACCAAUCUACCCCCUAGGAGCAUGCGCGUAGUGCUUGGUUUUUGAUGACAUGUAGAUUUUUGCAAUAGGUAUGUGAGUUCUUUAUGACUAAUGUUGAGUCCAUGGAUUAUACGCACUCUUACCCUUCCAUCAUUGCUAGCCUUUUCGGUACCGUGCAUUGCCCUUUCUCACAUUGAGAGUUGGUGCAAACUUCUCCGGUGCAUCCAAACCCCGUGAUAUGAUACGUUCUUUCACACAUAAACCUCCUUAUAUCUUCCUCAAAACAGCCACCAUACCUACCUAUUAUGGCAUUUCCAUAGCCAUUCCGAGAUAUAUUGCCAUGCAACAUUCCACCGUUCUGUUUAUCAUGACACGUUCAUCAUUGUCAUAUUGCUUUGCAUGAUCAUGUAGUUGACAUAGUAUUUGUGGCAAAGCCACCAUUCAUAAUUCUUGCAUACAUGUCACUCUUGAUUCAUUGCAUAUCCCGGUACACCGCCGGAGGCAUUCAUAUAGAGUCAUACUUUGUUCUAGUAUCGAGUUGUAAUCAUUGAGUUGUAAAUAGAUAGAAGUGUGAUGAUCAUCAUUUUUAGAGCAUUGUCCCAAGUGAGGAAAAAAUAAAAAAAGAAGAGAAAGGCCAUAAAAAAAGAGAGAAGAAGGCCCAAAAAAUGAGAGAGAAAAGAGAAAAGGGACAAUGUUACUAUCCUUUUACCACACUUGUGCUUCAAAGUAGCACCAUAAUCUUCAUGAUAGAGAGUCUCUUGUUUUGUCACUUUCAUAUACUAGUGGGAAUUUUUCAUUAUAGAACUUGGCUUGUAUAUUCCAACAAUGGGCUUCCUCAAAUGCCCUAGGUCUUCGUGAGCAAGCAAGUUGGAUGCACACCCACUUAGUUUCUUUUGAGCUUUCAUACAUUUAUAGCUCUAGUGCAUCCGUUGCAUGGCAAUCCCUACUCCUUGCAUUAACAUCAAUCGAUGGGCAUCUCCAUAGCUCAUUGAUGUGAGACUUUCUCCUUUUUUGUCUUCUCCACAUAACCCCCAUCAUUAUAUUCUAUUCCACCCAUAGUGCUAUAUCCAUGGCUCACGCUCAUGUAUUGCGUGAAGGUUGAAAAAGUUUGAGAUUACUAAAGUAUGAAACAAUUUCUUGGCUUGUCAUCGGGGUUGUGCAUGAUGAUAGCAUUUUUGUGUGACGAAAAUGGAGCAUGACCAAACUAUAUGAUUUUGUAGGGAUGAACUUUCUUUGGCCAUGUUAUUUUGAGAGGACAUAAUUGCUUAGUUAGUAUGCUUGAAGUAUUAUUACUUUUAUGUCAAUAUGAACUUUUAUCUUGAAUCUUUCGGAUCUGAAUAUUCAUACCACAAUUAAGAAGAAUUACACUGAAAUUAUGCCAAGUAGCAUUCCACAUCAAAAAUUCUGUUUUUAUCAUUUACCUACUCGAGGACGAGCAGGAAUUAAGCUUGGGGAUGCUUGAUACGUCUCCAACGUAUCUAUUUUUGAUUGUUCCAUGCUAUAUUAUAUUCUGUUUUUGACAUUAAUGGGCUUUAUUAUACACUUUUAUAUUAUUUUUGGGACUAACCUAUUAACCGGAGGCCCAGCCCAGAAUUGCUGUUUUUUUCCUAUUUCAAAGUUUCGCAGAAAAAGAAUAUCAAACGGAGUCCAAACGGAAUGAAACCUUCGGGAACGUGAUUUUCGGAACGAACGUGAUCCAGAGGACUUGCACCCUACGUCAAGACAUCAACCAGGAAGGCACGAGGUAGGGGGCACGCCUACCCCCCCAGGGCGCGCCCUCCACCCUCGUGGGCCCCAUGUUGCUCCACCGACAUACUUCUUCCUCCUAUAUAUACCUACGUACCCCCAAACUACCAGAUACGGAGCCAAAAACCUAAUUCCACCGCCGCAACCUUCUGUACCCGUGAGAUCCCAUCUUGGGGCCUUUUCCGGAGCUCCGCCGGAGGGGGCAUCCAUCACGGAGGGCUUCUACAUCAACACCAUAGCCUCUCCGAUGAUGUGUGAGUAGUUUACCUUAGACCUUCGGGUCCAUAGUUAUUAGCUAGAUGGCUUCUUCUCUCUUUUUGGAUCUCAAUACAAUGUUCUCCCCCUCUCUUGUGGAGAUCUAUCCGAUGUAAUCUUCUUUUGCAGUGUGUUUGUUGAGACCGAUGAAUUGUGGGUUUAUGAUCAAGUUUAUCUAUGAACAAUAUUUGAAUCUUCUCUGAAUUCUUUUAUGUAUGAUUGGUUAUCUUUGCAAGUCUCUUCGAAUUAUCAGUUUGGUUUGGCCUACUAGAUUGAUCUUUUUGCAAUGGGAGAAGUGCUUAGCUUUGGGUUCAAUCUUGCGGUGUCCUUUCCCAGUGACAGUAGGGGCAGCAAGGCACAUAUUGUAUUGUUGCCAUCGAGGAUAACAAGAUGGGGUUUAUAUCAUAUUGCAUGAGUUUAUCCCUCUACAUCAUGUCAUCUUACUUAAAGCGUUACUCUGUUCUUUUGAACUUAAUACUCUAGAAGCACGCUGGAUAGCGGUCGAUGUGUGGAGUAAUAGUAGUAGAUGCAGGCAGGAGUCGGUCUACUUGUCUCGGACGUGAUGCCUAUAUACAUGAUCAUACCUAGAUAUUCUCAUAACUAUGCUCAAUUCUGUCAAUUGCUCAACAGUAAUUUGUUCACCCACCGUAAUACUUAUGCUCUCGAGAGAAGCCACUAGUGAAACCUAUGGCCCCCGGGUCUAUUUUCCAUCAUAUUAAUCUUCCAGCAACAAGCUAUUUCCAUUGCCUUUUAUUUUGCUUUUAUUUUACUUUGCACCUUUAUCAUAAAAAUACCAAAAAUAUUAUCUUAUCAUAUCUAUCAGAUCUCACUCUCGUAAGUGACCGUGAAGGGAUUGACAACCCCUUUAUUGCGUUGGCUGUGUGGAUUUAUUUGUUUGUGUAGGUGCGAGGGACUUGUGCAUGGCCUCCUACUGGAUUGAUACCUUGGUUCUCAAAAACUGAGGGAAAUACUUAUGCUACUUUGCUGCAUCACCCUUUCGUCUUCAAGGGAAAACCAACGCAGUGCUCAAGAGGUAGCAGUGGACUACUCCCUCCUCAUCGUGGUGGCCGCCGGGAUGAUGAAGAUGGCCACCGGAGAUGAUUCCCCCCUCUGGCAGGGUGUCGAAACGGGGUCUAGAUUGGUUUUCGGUGGCUACAGAGCCUUGCGGCAGCGGAACUUCUGAUCUAGGUUAACCCCCGAUGGUUUCUCUAUUUAUAGUAUUUUUUUUGGCGUUGGUUUCACGCUAAGAUGAGCCUCGAAGUGAGCACAACCCACCGGGGCAAGCUAGGCCCACCAGUCGCGCCCUAGUUGGUUGUGCCCUCCUCGUGGCUCUUCUAGCCCUCCCACGAAGCUUCAGGGGUCUCUUUUGUUCCAAAAAAAAUCGUCAAAAAUUUUCAGCUCAUUUGGAGAACUUUCAUUUCUGCACAAAAAACAACACCACGGUAGUUCUGCUGAAAAUAGCGUCAGUCUGGGUUAGUUCCAUGCAAAUCAUACCAAAACCAUAUAUAAUUGUUGUAAACAUGGCAUGAACACUUCAUAAAUUAUAGAUACGUUGGAGACGUAUCGGCAUCCCCAAGCUUAAUUCCUACUCGUCCUCGAGUAGGUAAAUGAUAAAAGAAAUAAUUUAUGAAGUGUGAAUGCUAGCAAAGUGCAUAAGUUUGAAUAAUGACAAUAUCAAUCACUUUUCCUAGCAUCAUAAUAGCAACUCUUUCUCAUAAAACUUAUCAUAAUAAAGUAGCAAUUGAAAAUGGAAUAUUUGUUGUGGAAAGCUACCUAUCAUAUUCAUCACAUAUUCUUUUCUUUUGUAGCAUGGACAUUUGGACUUUUAUCUGGUUCAAAGCAAUAGUCUAGUUUUGACAUGAAGAUUUCAAUACUCAAGCAUAUCAAUAAGCAACCAUGUCUUUCAAAAUAUCAACACUAAAGAAAGUCAUCCCUAGCCCAUCAUGCUCAAUCAUUGAUCCAUUCAUGAAACACACUCGCAUAUUAGCCAUCCAAUGCUCAAGUACGCUCAUAGUGCCCCUUAGUUGGUGCUUAUAAGAGAAGAUGGAGACUCAAAAAAAAUAAAAACUGCAUAAAUUAAAUAGAUAGGCCCUUCGCAGAGGGAAGUAGGGAUUUGUAGAGGUGCCAGAGCUCAAAGCGAAAAAGAGAGAUAAAAUAUUGUGGGAGGCAUACUUUUCCCACCAACGAAAACGACUUAGAGCUCCCAACACUUUCCAUGCUAGAUAUAUCAUAGGCGGUUCCCAAAAAAUACAGUUUAUUCCUUUUUCCACCAUACUUUCACUUUCCAUGGCUAACCGUAUCCACGGGUGCCCUCCAUACCAACACUUUCCAAGGAAUUUAUUAUUUGACAACAUAAAGUAAAUUCAUUUUUCAUUUCGGGACUGGGCAUCCCUAAUACCUUUGCCUUACUCUCGUGCAAUGACAAGUGAAUAAACACUCAUCGUGAGAAUAACACAUCUAGCAUGGAAAAUAUUGGCCACCCCUCACCGCCUCGCGAGCAGUACGAGCACACAAAAGAGAAAUUUAUUUUGAGAAUUAGAGAUGACACAUACAAAUUUUCUUAGAACGGCAAAAGAAUACAACGUAUAGGUAGGUAUAGUGGACUCAUGUGGCAAAACUGGUUUAAAGGAUUUUGGAUGCACAAGUAGUGAUCAUACUUAGUGCAAAAUGAAGGCUAGCAAAAGAUUGAGAAUCGACCAACCAAGAAACGAAUAAUCUCAUAAGCAAGCACUAAGCAUAAUUAACACCGAAUAAUGCACCACAAGUAGGAUGUAAUUUCCUUGCAUAACUAUUGACUUUCGUGCUUGCAUAGGGAAUCACAAACCUUAACACCAAUAUUCUUACUAAAGCAUAAUUACUCAUCAACAUGACUCACAUAUCACAUCAUCAUAUCUCAAAACUAUUACAAGGAAUCAAGUUUAUUUUGUCCAAUGAUCUUCAUGAAAGUUUUUAUUAUAUCCUUCUUGGAUAUCUAUCACUUUGGAACUAAUUUUCAUGUGUUGCUUUUGAUAAGCUCAAACAAAUAUAAGUGAAGAACAUGAGCAUAAUAUUUCUUUCUCUCAAAUUGAUUUAAGUGAAGCAAGAGAGAAUGUCUUCAAAAAUACUAAAGCACACCAUGCUCAAAAAGAUAUAAGUGAAGCACUAGAGCAAUUCCAUAGAAAAGAGCUUCGUUGACAGGAUGUGCGUGCCGCUUACCUAGCCCCCCUGGCAACUAUUUGAGGACUCUACUUUAUUUAAAAACUUUCAGAUCUAAGUACUUUAUUAAAACAGCAAGCAAAACAAAAUAAAACGACAUUCCAAGGUUAGCACACAUCAUGAGAAGAAGCAAAAACUUAGGAUCAACCGAUACUAACCGAUAGUUGUUGGUGAAGAAAGGUGGGAUGCCUACCUGGGCAUCCCCAAGCUUAGAUGCUUGAUACUUCUUGAAAUAUUAUCUUGGGAUGCCUUGGGAAUCCCCAAGCUUGAGAUUUUGUGUCUCCUUAAUUCCUUUUAUAUCACGGUUUCUCUAAAUCUUAAAAGCUUCAUCCACACAAAACUCAACAAGAACUCGUGAGAUAAGUUAGUAUAAACCAAUGCAAAAACUUUAUCAUUCUCUACUGUAGAAAAUCACUAAAAUUAUUAUUAAACAUUGCAUACUAAAUUCCUCUGCAUAUUUAAUACUCAUAUCCUCAAAUAGAAUCAUUAAACAAGCAAACAUAACAGCAAUCUGCCAAAACAGUACAGUCUGUAAAGAACGCAAGAGUAUCAAUACUUAUCCAACUCCAAACAUUAUAAAAUUCUACGACAUUGUAGAAAAUUUAUCAGAGCUUAUAUGCAAAAAGUUUCAACAUUUUAUCACAUUCUGACUUUUCUAGGGAAUUUUUGCAACAUCGAUAAGCUUUCUGUUUUCAAACAGCAACAUGUAGACUUGUAAAAUAAGCAUAGUAAAGGCUAUCAAUGCCACUUUUAUUGAAAUAAAAUAUGCAAAACAUUAUUCUAAAUAACAGCAAGCAAAUCCUAACAAAAUAAAUUGACGAUCCAAGCAAACCACAUAUCAUGUGACGAAUGAAAACAUAGCUCCAAGUGAGGUUACCGAUAAUGUUGGAGACGGAAGAGGGGAUGCUUUCCGGGGCAUCCCAAAGCUUAGUUGCUUGGAUAUUUCUUGAAUAUCGCAUUGGGGUGCCUUGGACAUCCCCAAGCUUAGGGUCUUGUCACUCGUUAUUCUCCUCAUAUUGACAUCUCACCCAAAACUUGAAAACUUCAAUCACACAAAACUUAACGAAACUUCGUGAGAUAGGUUAGUAUGAUAAAGAGCAAACCAUUUCACUUUUGUUACUGUCAAAGACAAGAUUCAUAAUUGUUCUCACACAAUGCCUAAAUGAGCUUAUCAUUUCCACAAUUUAUAUUGAGCAAUAUAAGCCAUAGAAACUAGAAAACAAGCAAACUAUGCAUUAAAAACAGAAUCUAUCAAAAACAGAACAAUACGUAAAGAUCUGAAUAUUAGUCAUACUUCUGCAACUCCAAAAAUUCUGAAUACUUAGGACCACGUAGAAAAUUUGUAUAUUAAACUUAUGCAAAAAUAAUCAAAUCAAAAGCAUUCUUCUGUUAAAAAUAAGAAUUAUUUUCGUGAGCACAAAAAUUUCUGUUUUUCAGCAAGAUCAAAUCAACUAUCACCCAACAUGAUCCCAAAGGCUUUACUUAGCACUUUAUUGAAACAAAAGCAAUAAAACAUGAUUACUACAGUAGCAUAAUCAUGUGAACACGCAAAAACAGUAGGUAAAAGUGUUGGGUUGUCUCCCAACAAGCGCUUUUCUUUAAUGCCUUUUAGCUAGGCAUGAUGAUUUCAAUGAUGCUCGCAUAAAAGAUAAGAAUUGAAACAUAACAAGAGCAUCAUGAAACACAUGGCAAGAACAUUUAGGUCUAACCCACUUCCUAUGCAUAGGGAUUUUGUGAGCAAACAACUUAUGGGAACAGGAAUCAACUAGCAUAGGAAGGCAAAACAAGUGCAACUUCAAAACAAUCAACACAUAGUGAAGAAACUUGAUAUUAUUGAGAUAUGUAAGAGCAUAAGUUCCUUCCUCAUAAUAAUUUUCAGAAACAUCAUGAAUGGAUUCAACAAUAUAACCAUCACAUAAAGCAUUCUUUUCAUGACCCACAAGCAUAGAAAUUUUAUUACUCUCCACAUAAGAAAAUUUAUUCUCAUGAAUAGUAGUGGGAGCAAACUCAACAAAAUAACUAUCAUGGGAUUGAAAAUUAAAAUAUGAUGACAAGUUUCAUGGUUAUCAUUAUUAAUAUAGCAUACAUGUCAUAGCAUACAUGUCAUUACCAUAAUCAUCAUAAAUAGCAACUUUGUGGUCAUAGUCAAUUGCAACCUCUUCCAAAAUAGUGGAUUCAUCACUAAAUAAAGUCAUGACCUCUCCAAAUCCACUUUCAUUAUUGUAAUCAUCAUAAAUAGGAGGCAUGUUUUCAUCAUAAUAAAUUUUCUCAUCAAAACUUGGGGGGAUAAAAAUAUCAUCUUCAUCAAACAUAGCAUUCCCAGGCUUAUGGCUUUGCAUAUUAUUAGCAUCAUGGAUGUUCAAAGAAUUCAUACUAACAACAUUGCAAUCAUGAUCAUCAUUCAAAUAUUUUGUGCUAAACAUUUUAUUGACUUCUUAUAACACUUGAGCAUAAUUUUCUGAUCCAUCACUUUCAAGAAAGAUAUUAUAAAGAUGAUCAAUAAUAUGAUGCAACCUCAAUUCCAUUUUUAUGUAGUUUUCUUUUAUAAACCAAACUAGUGAUAAAACAAGAAACUAAAAGAUUCAAUUGCAAGAUCUAAAGAUAUACCUUCAAGCACUCACCUCCCCAGCAACGGCGCCAGAAAAGAGCUUGAUGUCUACUAUGCAACUUUAUUCUUGUAGACUCGUGUUGGGCCUCCAAGCGCAGAGUUUUGUAGGAUAGUAGCAAUUUUCCCUCAAGUGGAUGACCUAAGGUUUAUCAAUCUGUGGGAGGCGUAGGAUGAAGAUGGUAUCCCUCAAACAACCUUGCAAUCAAAUACAAGAAAUCUCUUGUGUCCCCAACACACCAAAUACAAUGGAAAAUUGUAUAGGUGCACUAGUUCGGCGAAAAGAUGGUGAUAAAAGUGUAAUAUGGAUGGUAGAAAUAUAUUUAUAUAAUCUGAAUAAAUAAAAACAGCAAGGUAGCAAAUAGUAAACGAGCACAAAAACGGUAUUGCAAUGCUUGAAAAGGAGGCCUAGGGUUCGUACUUUCACUAGUGCAAUCUCUCAACAAUGCUAAUAUAAUUGGAUCACAUAACCACCCCUCAAAGUGCGAUGAAGAAUCACUCCAAAGUUCCUAUCUAGCGGAGAACAUAAGAAGAAUUGUUUGUAGCUAUUCUUUCCAAUCGAUCUAUCAAAGAGUUCGUACUAAAAUAACACCAAGUUAUUCUUUUCGAUCGAUCCUUCUAGAGUUCGUACUAAAAUAACACCAAGUUAUUCUUUCCGAUCGAUCUAUCAAGAGUUCGUACUAAAAUAACACCAAAGCAAAUUCAGAUUCAUAAUACUCAAUCCAACACAAAGAACCUCAAAGAGUGCCCCAAGAUUUCUACCAGAGAAACAAAGACAAGAACGUGCAUCAACCCCUAUGCAUAGAUUACCCCAAUGUCACCUCGGGAAUCCGCGAGUUGAGUGCCAAAACAUAUAUCAAGUGAAUCAAUAUGAUACCCCAUUGUCACCACGAGUAUUCAAUUGCAAGACAUAUAUCAAGUGUUCUCAAAUCCAUAGAAGUAUUCAAUCCAAUAACAACGAAAUCUCAAAGGGAAAAACUGAAUUCAUCACAACAAUAUAGAGAGGGGAAAACACCAUAUGAUCCAACUAUAUUAACAAAGCCUGCAAUACAUCAAGAUCGUGACAUCUCAAGAACAUGAGAGAGAGCGAGAUAGACUAAACACAUAGCUACUGGUACAAACCCUCAGCCCCGAGGGUGGACUACUCCCUCCUCAUCAUGGUGGCCGCCGGGAUGAUGAAGAUGGCCACCGGAGAUGAUGACCCCCUCUAGCAGGGUGCCGAAACGGGGUCUAGAUUGGUUUUCGGUGGCUACAGAGCCUUGCAGCAGUGGAACUUCUGAUCUAUGUUAACCCUUGAUGGUUUCUCUAUUUAUAGGAUUUUUUGGUGUUGGUUUCACGCUAAGAUGGGCCUCGAGGUGAGCACAACCCACCGGGGCAAGCCAGGCCCACCAGGCGCGCCCUGGUGGGUUGUGCCCUUUUCGUGGCUCUUCCGGCCCUCCCACGAAGCUUCGGGGGUCUCUUUUGUUCCUAAAAAAAUCAUCAAAAAGUUUCAGCUCAUUUGGAGAACUUUCAUUUCUGCACAAAAAACAACACCACGGUAGUUCUGCUGAAAGCAGCGUCAGUCCGGGUUAGUUCCAUGCAAAUCAUACCAAAACCAUAUAAAAUUGUUUUAAACAUGGCAUGAACACUUCAUAAAUUAUAGAUACGUUGGAGACGUAUCAGGGCUUCGCCUAAGCACUACGUGAAUAUGACCGGAGGCGUAAACUGUGGAGGGGGGCGCCGCACACGGCUAACAAUUGUUGGUCUAUAUUCUAGUGGUGCCCCCUUCAUAUAUAUAGGUUGGAGGGGAGGAGAGGCAACCAAGGGGGCGCCCCAAGUAGGAGGAAUCCUACUUGGGCGCCUCCCAAUUCGGCCUCCCCCCUUCCAUAUUCAUCCGGAGGGGGAAGGAAGGAGGAGGGAGGAGAGCAGUGAAGGAAAUAUGCCCUAGAGGCAAUAAUAAAGUUGUUAUUUAUAUUUCCUUAUAUCAUGAUAAAUGUUUAUUAUUCAUGGUAGAAUUGUAUUAACCGGAAACUUAGUACAUGUGUGAAUACAUAGACAAACAGAGUGUCCCUAGUAUGCCUCUACUAGACUAGCUCGUUAAUCAAAGAUGGUUAAGUUUCCUAGCCAUAGACAUAUGUUGUCAUUUGAUGAACGGGAUCACAUCACUAGAGAAUGAUGUGAUGGACAAGACCCAUCCGUUAGCUUAGCACUAUGAUCAUUUAGUUUAUUGCUAUUGCUUUCUUCAUGACUUAUACAUGUUCCUAUGACUAUGAGAUUAUGCAACUCCCGAAUACCGGAGGAACACUUAGUGUGCUAUCAAACGUAACAACAUAACUGGGUGAUUAUAAAGAUGCUCUACAGGUGUCUCCGAUGGUGUUUGUUGAGUUGGCAUAGAUCGAGAUUAGGAUUUGUCACUCUGAUUGUCGGAGAGGUAUCUCUGGGCCCUCUCGGUAAUGCACAUCACUAUAAGCCUUGCAAGCAAUGUGACUAAUGAGUUAGUUGUGGGAUGAUGCAUUACGAAACGAGUAAAGAGACUUGCCGGUAACGAGAUUGAACUAGGUAUGGUGAUACCGACGAUCGAAUCUCGGGCAAGUAACAUACCGAUGACAAAGGGAACAAUGUAUGUUGUUAUGCGGUUUGACCGAUAAAGAUCUUCGUAGAAUAUGUAGGAACCAAUAUGAGCAUCCAGGUUCCGCUAUUGGUUAUUGACCGGAGAUGUGUCUCCGUCAUGUCUACAUAGUUCUCGAACUCGUAGGGUCCGCACGCUUAACGUUCGAUGAUGGUUCGUAUUAUGAGUUAUGUGAUUUGAUGUACCGUAGGUUGUUCGGAGUCCCGGAUGAGAUCACGGACAUGACGAGGAGUCUCGAAAUGGUCUAGCCAUAAAGAUUGAUAUAUUGGUGAAGGAAAUAUGCCCUAGAGGCAAUAAUAAAGUUGUUAUUUAUAUUUACUUAUAUCAUGAUAAAUGUUUAUUAUUCAUGCUAGAAUUGUAUUAACCAGAAACUUAGUACAUGUGUGAAUACAUAGACAAACAGAGUGUCCCUAGUAUGCCUCUACUAGACUAGCUCGUUAAUCAAAGAUGGUUAAGUUUCCUAGCCAUAAACAUGUGUUGUCAUUUGAUGAACGGGGUCACAUCACUAGAGAAUGAUGUGAUGGACAAGACCCAUCCGUUAGCUUAGCACUAUGAUCGUUUAGUUUAUUGCUAUUGCUUUCUUCAUGACUUAUACAUGUUCCUAUGACUAUGAGAUUAUGCAACUCCCGAAUACCGGAGGAACACUUAGUGUGCUAUCAAGCGUCACAACAUAACCGGGUGAUUAUAAAGAUGCUCUACAGGUGUCUCCGAUGGUGUUUGUUGAGUUGGCAUAGAUCGAGAUUAGGAUUUGUCACUCCGAUUGUCGGGGAGGUAUCUCUGGGCCCUCUCGGUAAUGCACAUCACUAUAAGCCUUGCAAGCAAUGUGACUAAUGAGUUAGUUGUGGUAUGAUGCAUUACGGAACGAGUAAAGAGACUUGCCGGUAACAAGAUUAAACUAGGUAUGGUGAUACCGACGAUCGAAUCUCGGGCAAGUAACAUUCCGAUGACAAAGGGAACAACGUAUGUUGUUAUGCGGUUUGACCGAUAAAGAUCUUCGUAGAAUAUGUAGGAGCCAAUAUGAGCAUCCAGGUUCCGCUAUUGGUUAUUGACCGGAGAUGUGUCUCGGUCAUGUCUACAUAGUUCUCGAACUCGUAGGGUCGGCACGCUUAAGGCUCGAUGAUGAUUCAUAUUAUGAGUUAUGUGAUUUGAUGUACCGAAGGUUGUUCGGAGUCCCGAAUGAGAUCACGGACAUGACGAGGAGUCUCGAAAUGGUCGAGACAUAAAGAUUGAUAUAUUGGUGAAGGAAAUAUGCCCUAGAGGCAAUAAUAAAGUUGUUAUUUAUAUUUCCUUAUAUCAUGAUAAAUGUUUAUUAUUCAUGCUAGAAUUGUAUUAACCGGAAACUUGAUACAUGUGUGAAUACAUAGACAAAACAGAGUGUCCCUGGUAUGCCUCUACUUGACUAGCUCGUUAAUCAAAGAUGGUUAAGUUUCCUAGCCAUAGACAUGUGUUGUCAUUUGAUGAACGGGAUCACAUCAGUAGAGAAUGAUGUGAUGGACAAGACCCAUCCGUUAGCUUAGCACUUUGAUCGUUUAGUUUAUUGCUAUUGCUUUCUUCAUGACUUAUACAUGUUCAUAUGACUAUGAGAUUAUGCAACUCCCGAAUACCAGAGGAACACUUAGUGUGCUAUCAAACGUCACAAUGUAAAUGGGUGAUUAUAAAGAUGCUCUACACGUGUCUCCGAUGGUGUUUGUUGAGUUGGCAUAGAUCGAGAUUAGGAUUUGUCACUCCGAUUGUCGGAGAGGUAUCUCUGGGCCCUCUCGGUAAUGCACAUCACUAUAAGCCUUGCAAGUAAUGUGACUGAUGAGUUAGUUGCGGGAUAAUGCAUUACGGAACGAGUAAAGAGACUUGCCAGUAACGAGAUUUAACUAGGUAUUGAUAUACCGACGAUCGAAUCUCGGGCAAGUAACAUACCGAUGACAAAGGCAACAACGUAUGUUGUUAUGCGGUUUGACCGAUAAAGAUCUUCGUAGAAUAUGUAGGAGCCAAUAUGAGCAUCCAGGUUCCGCUAUUGUUUAUUGACCGGAGAUGUGUCUCGGUCAUGUGUACAUAGUUCUCGAACCCGUAGGGUCUGCAGGCUUAACGUUCGAUGACGAUUUGUAUUAUGAGUUAUGUGAUUUGAUGUACCGAAGGUUGUUCGGAGUCCCGGAUGAGAUCACGGACAUGAUGAGGAGUCUCGAAAUGGUCGAGGCGUAAAGAUCGAUAUAUUGGAAGGCUAUAUUCGGACAUCGGAAAGGUUCCGUGAUUCGGGUAUUUUUCGGAGUACCGGAGAGUUACGGGAAUUUGCCGGGGAGUUAAUGGGCCUUAAUGGGCCAUGGUGGAAGAGAGGAGGAGGCGGCCAAGUGGGAGGCGCGCGCCCCCCAAGCCCAAUCCGAAUUGGGGAGGGGGCCGGUCCCCCCUUUCCUUCUCUCCCUCUCCCUCUUCCUUCUUCUCCUACUCCAACUAGGGAAGGGGGAAACCUACUCCUACUAGGAGUAGGAAUCCCCCCCUUGGGCGCGCCCCAUGAGGCCGGCCCUCCCCUCCUCCACUCCUUUAUAUACGGGGGAGGGGGCACCCCAUAGACACACAAGUUGAUUGUUUAGCCGUGUGCGGUGCCCCCCUCCACAGAUUUCCACCUCGGUCAUAUUGUUGUAGUGCUUAGGCGAAGCCCUGCGUCGGUAACUUCAUCAUCACCGUCAUCACGCCGUCGUGCUGACAAAACACUCCCUCGGCCUUAGCUGGAUCAAGAGUACGAGGGAUGUCACCGAGCUGAACGUGUGCAGAUCGCGGAGGUGUCGUGCGUUUGGUACUUGAUCGGUUGGAUCGCGAAGACGUUCGACUACAUCAACCGCGUUACUUAACGCUUCCUCUUUCAGUCUACGAGGGUACGUGGACACACUCUCCUGCUCGUUGCUAUGCAUCACAUAGAUAGAUCUUGUGUGAUCGUAGGUAAUUUUUUUGAAUGCGUUCCCCAACAAUGGCAUCCGAGCCAGGUCUAUGCGUAGAUGUUAUAUGCACGAGUAGAACACAAAGAGUUGUGGGCGAUAAUAGUCAUACUGCUUACCAGCAUGUCAUACUUUGAUUCGGCGAUAUUGUUGGAUGAAGCGUCCCAAACCGACAUUACAUGACCGCGUUCAUGAGACUGGUUCUACCGCCGUGCUUCGCACACACACUACAAAAGAAAGACACAUCCGUGACAUUUUGGGCCGAACGAAAUUUUUUUCUGUCAUACAUAUGACACUUCUAUGACGAUAAUUGUGACAAAACCUGGUAUCAUCAUAGAUGUGGUGGGUUCCUACUUCUAUGACAAAAAAUCAUGACAAAAAAUGGGCUUUUCGUCCUGCGCGGGCCGGAGACGCAGCUGCAUGACAUUCUUUGGGCCAUCCAUGACGAAAAAAACCGUGGUAGAAGCGAGGGGGAGGAAGAUUUCGGGGAGUUCCCGGUUACGGUGGGAGGUCGGGGGCUGAGCGAUGCGCAUUUCUCUCGUACACGUACGCGCGUGUGUGCGAGGCGUUGGCUCUAACUGAACCCAAGCGAGGCGUUGGGCUCUAACUGAACCCGAGCGAUUGCACUGCAGGCUACGCGUUACUGAACCCGAGCGAUCGAUCGAUGGCUGUUAACUAAACCCGAUCGAGUGAUUCCUUCGCUACUGCUGCUAACUGAAGCCGAUCGAUUGGAUGAACAGUGAGCGUUGCGGGGGAGGGGGGGUUGGAUGAACAGUGAGCGGUGGCGUUGCCUCUGGAUGAACAGGACCCCGUGGUGUGGAGGGCUAGAUGAACAGUAGACGGUGGAGGGGUGCCCGUGGAGGGGUGGUUGAACAGGACCCCGUGGUGUGGAGGGCUGGAUGAACAGUAGACGGUGGAGGGGUGCCCGUGGAGGGGUGGUUGAACAGUAGCCGGUGGAGUAGCGCGCGGUGGAGGCUGGAUGAACAGGAGCCCGUGGAGGCUGGAGGAGGUCGACGGUAGCCCGUGGAGGCUGGAGGAGGUCGACGGUGGAGAUGAACAGUAUCCCGUGGAGUCCCGUUUUGCGGUACGCCACACCCCUCCCGAUGAACAGGACCCCCGUUUCGACCGUAGGAGGUCCGUUUCGUCCGUUUUGCGGUACGCCACACCCCUCCCGAUCAACAGGACCCCCGUUUCGACCGUAGGAGGUCCGUUUCCUCCGUUUUGCGGUACACCACACCCCUCCUGAACAACAGGACCCCGUUCCGAACGUAGGAGGUCCGUUUCCUCCGUUUUGCGGUACGCCAUGCCUCGUUUCCAUUGCCUGUUUCGCCCAAGCGCUCCCGAUGAACACGACCACGCAUUCCGUUCCGACCCAACCGGUUGGCUCCCACGCGUUUCGUUGCCUCCCGAUGAACACGACGCAUUCCGUUGCCUCCCCAUGAACACGACGCAUUCCGUUGCCUCCCCAUGAACACGACGCAUUUCGUUGCCUCCCCAUGAACACGACGACGACGCUGUUUCUCCGUUCCGACCCAGCCAUGUACACGAGCCCUGGCCGUACGUAUGCGCGAGUAGGCGUACGAGACCCCGCCGGUAUGUACACAUACGUGGCCGUAUUUUCUUUCUUGCACCCUGGCCACUAUACGUACAUGUACAUGCUACGUGCACGCCUCUACUACGACACGUGCGCGUCUCUACUACGACACGUGCGCGCCUCUACAUCGACCAAUAUGUACGUACACGUUCGUGACCAGAAUGACAACGCUACGUACGCUUCGACCAGGUGGGUCCUGACUGUCAGGCACUUCCUUGCCUGCGAAGAUGUAGCUGGUGGGUCCCAGCAGUCAGGGGGGCAAAUCAUUUUUUUUGCCGGACGCACUUCCUUGCGUGCGAAGAUGUAGCCGGUGGGUCCCAGCAGUCAGGGGGCGAAUCGUUUUUUUUCGGGCGCACUUCCUUGCGUGCGAAGGUGUAGCUGGUGGGUCCCAGCAGUCAGGGGGCGAAUCUUUUUUUUUGCCCGGACGCACUUCCUUGCGUGCGAAGAUGAAGCUGGUGGGUCCCAGCUGUUAGGGGGAACGUUUUUUCGCGAAAUACAGUGGCCCGUCCGGUGGGUCCCAGCUGUCAGGUGGAGGAAUCAUUAUUUUCCGUGUAAUAAGGAGGCACUUCCUUGCUGCGGCCGUGGACCCAGCUGUCAGCCUCUCCACGUACAGUCCACGUCCGAUGGAAGUCGUUCCUUGACCAUGUUCACCAGGCCGCGCCGAGAGCACCACGGUGGUGGACGACGGCGAGGCCUAGGAAGGGGAUGACGCGGAGCCGGGGAAGACGCGGCAGUGGAAGCCCGCGCGGAGAGGAGUACGAUGGUUCACUGGUUCGGCUGCGGUGUGAGGCUGCCGUCGCCGCAGGGCCUGGCCAGCGGUGGGAAUAGUAGGGGGCAGUGAGGCCUCCGCGGCAGCACAGCUGGCCACGGGAGGCAGGAGCAUGCGGCAUGACCGGCGCUGCUUUGGGCGGCUGGAGCAAGAAGACCAGAGGUUGAAGAAGCACUACGGCCGUUGGUUGGACAUCGUACGGUCACUGGAGCUAGAAUCGUUCAUAUUGACUAAGUUGACAAAGCCCUCCGUCCCCGUCAACUUAGUUGGCCCACAAGUCAUCCUCCCACUAUGGUGGGUCCCAGCUAGCAGGGGGUAUUCAUUUUUUUGUGCGUAAUAAGGAGGCACUUCCUUGCGUGCGAAGAUAUAGCUGGUGGGUCCGACAUGUCAGCGGGGGGAACGUUUUUUCGCGAAAUACAGAGGCCCUUCCGGUGGGUCCCAGCUGUUAGGUGGAGGAAUCAUUAUUUUGCGUGUACAGUCCACGGCCGAUGGAUGUCGUUCGUUGACCAUGUUGACCAGGCCGCGCCAAGAGCACCAUGGCGGUGGACGACGGCGAGGCCUAGGAAGGGAACGACACGGAGCCGGGGAAGACUCGGCAAUGGUUGCCCACGCGGUGGGGAGUACGAGGGUUUACUGGUCCGGCUGCCGUCGCCGGAAAAUAACAGGAGGUGUGGGUGAGUAGAGGAAUGGCCUGGCCAGCAAUGAAGUAGGGUGGGGCGGUGCGGCCUGUGCGGCAGCACAGCCGGCCAUGGGAGGCGGGAGCAGGCAGUCCCACCGGAGCUGGUUUGGGCGGCUGGAGCAAGAAGAUCAUAUAUUGAAGAAGCAGCACGGCCGUUCGAUUAACAUCCAACGGUCACUGCUGCUAGAAUCGUUUGUGGACUAAGUUGACAAAGCCAAAGUACACGUCAACCUAGUAGACCCACAAGUCAACCUCCAAAUCUGUCCCAAACAGCAUACAGCCCAAAAUUUCUAGCCAGAUUCAAAUUAAUUUUAAAUCUAAAUAUACCUUAAUUUAAAUGCAAUGAAAUUUUACCCGCACAAAAACAAUGAAAUUUAAAAUAUCAAAAUCCGAAAGAAAAUAGUAUUUUGGAACUAAUUGCCUGUUUGCUGUAUUUUUUCAUUUUACAGCCCAUUUAUUAUUACUUAUAGCCCAUUUCUUAUUACUUAUAGCCCAUUUUCUGGGCAAAAUGCAUCCCUCCUCGUCUUGAAAGAUUUCCGGCCCAGCAGGGCGUAGAAAAGCAAGUAGGCCUACGUUGGUUAUUCUGCAAAAAAACAAAAUAGCUGGCUAGCCAUUUUCAGAAAGGAAAAAAACAAACUGGGCUGGUCAUGUGCUAAACAUAUGAAAUAAAAGCCUGGGCUAGACGGUCCACGGGUCUCGCACAACCCAGUUUAUACCCUUCUCCGUCGCGAAAAAACAAAAUUACUGCGCGCGCUGCUGGGUCCCUACUGUCAUCCUCACAAUGUCCAGUCAUCUCCUUAUUCCUCUCGGUUGUUGACCAUGUUGACAACACCGGAGGGUGGCGCCGCGGCGAGCGAACCAAGGCGGAGGACGAUGGUGAGGCCUCGGACGGGAAUGAACAGGAGCCGGGGAAGAUCACAGCCAGCCGUGGGAGGCGGGAGCAGGCGGUCCCGCCGGCGCUGGUUUGGCUUUGGCGGCUCGAGGAAGAAGAGACUGAAGAAAUGCGACAUACGUUGAAUGUCAAUCCAACGGUCAAGGUUGGCACAAUCGUUUGUUGACUAAGCGGACACCAAGUAGCAUACUUUUUUAUAUAUAGGAAGAAAACUGCGAGGAAAAUGCGUUCGUCUGCCGUCCUCCUCACAGGGAACAUUCGCCACAUAAGUGACUAGCACCCUUGGUUUUCAACCGAGAGGUCUUGGGUUCGAGUCCCAGGAACUCUCAAUUUUGUCCUCCUUCCUUCCUCACAAAAAAAAGGGAAAGAAAAUCAAAGACUUGGGAAGGCGUACAGAACAAGCUAGUGUACCAGUAAAGAGACGUUACCGAGUUUUAGAAAAAAGAAAGACGUGCUCCUGUAGCUGGUUCGAAUCCAAACCUAGACUAUGACUAUAUAUGGUGCUAUGCUACUCUGCAAGUAAUGAAACUGACAUAUCCAACGUUCGCUUCUCCUCUUCUCUACUUACUCUGCCUGGCAUCAGAAGCUCUGGCCGCAGCAACCAUGUCCGCUAGCUGCUCGUCCACCUGCUCUUCAGCAGGCAACAACCAGAUAUGCGCCAAGUCGCCACCCGUACCAUCGCGUGUGGGUCUCAUCACACCCCCACCGGCACGCGCACCGCAGCCGAUUGCUCAUCGCAACCCGCUGCCGUUGGUGUGGUGCCACUGUUGCAAAUCACGCAGAGUCAUCCGUCGCGUCUCAACCACAAUCCGCAACCCUGGCCGAGUCUUCUACAAAUGCCCGAAUCAUGGGGUAAUAAUAUGGUUAAGUGUUGUUCUGCUGCUUUCAGUUGCUGAUUUUUUAAUAGUUUGGUUGAUGAUCUUCCAAUUUGAUUAGUGCAGAAAAGGGAAGAUUCAUGUGAUUUGUAUUUCUGGGAAGUUGCUGAUGUGGGGGAAUGCAACUACGCUGAUUAUUUGGUUAGCCGAGGAAUCCCAAUACCAGAAGGUUGGGGUGUUGGACAAGUAACUGAAGGAACGGCAGAAGAGGAAGAUGUAGAGCAGAAGGUUAAAGAUGCAGUUCCUCUGAUCAUGGCCAAGCAACAGCUGCUGAACGGCCUUGACAGCAAUGAGGCGAUGAAAGAGCUUGUGAAGAUAAUGGGCAAAAUCGAUGUGCUAUGUAGGAUGAUUGUCUCUUUAUUUGCAGUGUAUGUAGCACUCGUGAUGUAUUCAGUGGCUAUGACAUGAGCACUUUGCUGAAACUAGUAACGAAUGAAACCUAUGUAGCAGACUGGGCGUAGUGUUGUGAACAUCUAAUGAUUUCUAUUAACGGAAAUCAGGGGGUAUCCCCUUUUGCUCAUAUAAAUAAAUAAAUAGCAGAGGUCCUAUCAGGUCAGCUUUGUUCUCAUUCGAAGACGUCGAGCAAAUUGCAGUCCAACAGCAAACUAUGUCAUCAAAUACAAGUUUCACAGCCAAAUAUGAGUACAACUAAACAACAAUGUCAUCAUGUUUUAGUUGUCAUACAAUCACCAAACACAAAUCAGCAUACAUAACAAGUGAUGUUCUCACAGCAAAAUACUAAACAACAUGUUCAUCAGGUUUCAGUUGUCAUAGCAAACACAAUUUCACAUAGUAGAUAAAAAACGUCUUCUGACAGGCAAAUACGACAAAAGCAAUGUAAUCAUCAUCCGCAGCAGCAGCGUCAACAUCUUCGCCAUGUGUAUCAGUCUGAAUUGUAAUUACCCAUGGUGUCAUCUUCUUCUUCGUCCUCAACGUCCUCGAACGUUGGCUUCUUCUUGAUCAACUCUUGUAUGUCCACAGCACGACAGGCAAUCUUUUCGCCGGCAUCAUUGACGUGAUAUGUUCUCAAAGAUAUUAGGAUCAUCUGUGUUAUCUUGUACAUCAGGAGCAGUGUAAGCAUCAUCUUAUUGUGCAACUUCAUUAAACGAAUUCCUCUGCUCAAACCUUUGCAAUACUCUCCAGUCAUCGCUACGUGCAAAUGUGUCUUCCAAGAAAAAUAUCUGUGUUGCUUGAUUUGCCAAAAUAAAAGGCUCGUUGGUCUGGUACGCCGCCUUGACAUUGAUGGAUUUGAAAUAAUCAUCAGCUCUGGGUUUUGCGAUCCUGGAAAACAGGUUAUACCAACGACAGCACAACAGAACCACACACCUAUGAUCCUCGAAACUGGAGAUAUACUGCAACUGAACAAUGUCUGUUAUGUUAGCAUACAUUUUAGUUGUCUCUUUGUCAUACGUAUCCGUGCUCAUGAUGGCACUGUUUUGUGUCUUCCUGCCUUCGUCUCGUGCAAGGGUGUUGUAGCGCACAUCUCCAACAACGCAAGAUUCAUAAUGUCUUACUCGAGUAUCAGGACCCAUUGCUAGUGAGUAAAGGGCAUCAUCAACUGCCUGCCCAUCCUCCCGCAUCUUCUUAACCUAUGGUUAGAAAAUAGACAAGUUGAUCAUCUUAUGUACUCAAUAUAUUAAAAAAACUGACAGUGCACUUCAAAAGCUUACAUGGUUCUUGAACCAUUUCGCAAAUCCUGCCAUAACCAGUUUGUCAAUGUUUCUUGGAUUUUGCGGCAGUAACUCCUCUUUGUAGAUGCUGCACAACAUAGUGAUCGCGUCAAACAUCUAAAUAUAUAAGAAUGUGCUGCAAGUUUAGUAGAUUACGAUGUAUAAGCUGCGGUAUUGCACUUACUUGAUAUAAGGUAGUAUCUCAGGACAGUUAUUCAACACAUACCAAACCAUUUUGUCCAAAUCUUUAGGUUUGUCCUCUUGUCGACUCUUCCCUGUAACUCGAACAGAAUAAUCGAAAACAUUGAGCCCGGGAUUGUCUUCACCCACCUCUUUGCUAAGCUGAUCAGCUGUUUCAAUGUAUUUUGAGCAGGAUGUCAAUGCUUCUGUAGCAAUGUAGGCCUCUGCAAUGGAACCCUCGGGUCUAGCUCUGUUCCUAACAUAGCCCUUGAAAGUGCCUAGCCGCCUUUCAGUAGGGUACAUCCAGCCAUACUGUACUGGACCUCUAAGUAGUGCCUCAUCAGGUAGAUGAAUAGCCAAAUGCACCAUCACAUCAAAGAAGGCUAGAGGAUAUAUCUUCUCAAGGUCGCAUAGGAUAGUUGGUAUCUUGUCUCUAAGACGCUCCAAAGUAUCUAUCCUGAUAUUCCUACUGCAGAGUUCCCUGAAGAAUUGUCCCAACUAUGCAACUGCUCUGUAUAAGUCAGGGCGGCCCAAUCCUCUAAGGAUAACAGGUAAAACCCUUUGAAGUAGGACGUGGCAGUCAUGAGUUUUCAACCCUUGUACCUUGUUUCCAUCCGCACUGACUCUCCUUUCAGGGUUGGAAGCAAAUCCAUGUGGGAAUCUCAUACGUGACAGGACCUCACGUAAUUCUUUUCUUUUUACCUUGUCCAAGACGUACACAGCUGGUGCCAUAUCCCGUGGUUUACCUUCAUCUUGCACCUGCAAAUCCUUUCUGACACCCAGGUGUGUCAAAUCAAUCCUAGAUUUUAAGGUAUCUUUCGUCUUGCCUUCAAUAUUAAGAAGUGUGCCGAUAAUGCUGUCACAUAUAUUUUUCUCGAUGUGCAUCACAUCAAGAUUAUGCCGCAGAUCCAAAUCUUUCCAAUACUCCAAGUCCCACAAAGUGGACCUGCGGGUAAACAAUAAUCUCUCUUCUGCCCUGCCACGCUUCCUUUUCCCGCUACCAUUACCAGGAUGGUUUCCUGGUGUAAUAUGCCUGACCUUCUCUAAUUCCACUUGCAACUCAUCGGCGGUGAGCCUCUUUGGCGCAUCACGGUUUUCAUGCUUUGCAUUGAACACAUGUCUUCGGUAUUUUCUAGGAUGCGGCUUGUCCUUGGCAAGGAAACGGCGGUGUCCAAUGUAACAGAUCUUGCUAAGUAUUGCGUAUGACAGCGGAUUCCUGUCACAGCGAACACAUGCAUUGUAACCAUGUGUCGUUCGCCCUGACAUAGUGCCCAAAGCCGGAUAAUCAUGGAUGCACCAAAUUAUAACAGCACGCAGAAAGAAAUCAGCUAGUGGGCUGCUAUAUAGGUCUCGAGUGAGAACACCCUUCCAUAGUUGUUGAAGUUCCUCCACAAGAGGCUCCAUGAACAAAUCAAAAUCCUUUCCAGGACUUUUUGGACCUGGGAUGAGCAAGGCCAUCAUGUAGUUUGAUUCUUUGGUGCAGACAUUUGGAGGCAUGUUGUAAGGGAUAACAAGCACUGGCCACAUGCUAUAUGUGGCGCUCUGGUGGCCAAAUGGGUUAAAUCCAUCUGAAGCUAAGCCAAGUCUAAUGUUUCUCGGGUCAGCAGCAAACUCUUUGUGUUUAUCAUUGAAGCUUUUCCACUCACUACCAUGAGAUGGAUGGCUCAUUACAUUCUGAUCUCUGUACUCCUGGUUCCUAGAAUGCCACAAUACAUCCUCUCUUGUUUCAGCAUCAUGAAACAACCUCUGCAAUUUGGGUGUAAUUGGAAAAUGUCUCGGAACAAAAAAUACCUAGGUCGAUGUCUAGAGCUAUGGCAAGAUAUUUGGACGAGCAGAUCUAAGUAACGGAAUAUAUGUAAAGCUAAUUCAGCAAACAUAUUUGAGUGCCAAAUUAUGGCAGGCUGUUUCAGCAGUCAAUGAGGCCGAGCACAUAGCCAUCAAACUAUCGAAGGCCAUCGCAGCAACAAAGAUCGAGUAUAAAAUGGUGUAGAGCUAUUUCACCUAACAGAUGGGCUACUAGACCAUGGCAAUCUACGUCACAAUAAAUAUAUGGUAGGCUAUUUUAGCAACUAAUCGGCCUUGGCAUGCCAUCUCAGCUAAGCAGAUUGAGUGCAGAACAGGGCAAGGAAGCUUCUUAAGAAGAGCAUAUUGACAGUAAACUACUUCGGCAAACAGUGAGAUUAACAGCGUCUAUCAGCUAACAUUCAGCGCUACACCGACAUGAACGGGGCCCCAGUCUAGAAUGCGCGUACCGUGGGAGAAGCUGACCGCCGUGCGUCUCCACACGAACGUCGCCAGCGGUGGCGGAGCUGACCGCCGUGCGCCUCCACAAGAACGUAGCCAGAGGUGGCGGCGCGGCUAGAGGACGGCAGUCUACGAGAGCGUACUGUGGGAGCGAGAGGAUUGCCGAACCACGGCGCCAACGUAUCGGCGCGGCGGGGAGGGCGGCUUUGGUGGAGCGAAUGGAGUGGAGGGGGACAUGGGGGAGGGGGGUUUGGGGAAUAUUAUUGGCUAGUUGGCCGAAGGGCGGUUGAAUCGGAUUUGGGGGGAACUUUUGGAUGUGGGGGUGGGAGGAGGAUUUUCGCGCGGUGGGCGGGGGGAGUUUGGCGCAUGGUCGGUUUCUCCAAGUGCAGUCCCACAUGUCAGUGAAGAGGCAAGCCGAAGCGCGUUCCGUUUGCGUGAGCCGUGUGCAGGACCGAACGUGUGUGGGGUGCAAUGCGACCGCGACAGGAGUGUUGUGAGUGUACCGCCUUUUUUCCUUUUAAACUAGGUGCUUCACCCCCUCAAAAAAAAUUUGUUGCUUCGCGCGAUCCAUCGAUACUACUACUAGUAAUCCAGUAAUCCCGACUAAAACGGCGCGGCCGGGUCUUUUCCCGCGCGAUAUGCUGGGAGGUUGGCUUAGUUGGGUUUUUUUAGGACGAGUAAUGCUACACCUACGUAAUCCCAGUUAUGUAAUUAACGUAAUGUGAAACAUGUGAGCUGUUGAUUGUAGAUUGGGGGGAGGGAGGGGCCCACCACCAUGAAAAUCACGGGAGGAGAGAGAGAGGCAAUUUACGUUAACCCUUUCGUAGGUUCCCGUAGAUGUAGAAAGAUGUGAAAUGCGUGAAUGUGUAGUGGACGUACUAUUGGAGUGCCUAAGAUAAUUUGUGUAUGUAUAGACCCUAUGUGUUUAUUUUACUUCGCAUGUUAGAUUUGUCUCGGUUCAAUAAAAAUCAGAGUUGGUGAUGAUGGUGUGCCUGUCAUCCUGCAAUAUAGGUCGUCCGAUCUAUAUCUAACGGAUAGGAAGGAAACUAUGACAAUUUACCCGCACUCCUCUCCACAUUUGCAGAUAAGGCUUUCCCUCGUUCAUCCUUUUCUCCCACAAGAUCUUGAUCUUCCGUGCAACGCACGGGAAUGUUGCUAGUACUCCUACAAUAUGUAUAUUAUUGUGAAAGUUCAUAUACACCGGCCGAGAUUAAUGCAAACACGGCAGAUUUUCAUUACAUUUCGAACUUUUAUAGGACAGAAAAAUAAAAGAAACCCGACCCUAAACCUAUUCUACAGCGGCGACCGACGUCCUCCAUCUGCGAUCUCUAUGUACGGGGGCGGGGUUCAAGACCCGUGAAGUGAAGGUGCGGUCUCCGGCGAGGAAGAGUAGAACACAGGAUACAGACCGGCCAGUUGGCACACCAUGCCCUGCCGCCUCCCAUGCCCUACUCAUCCUCGGAGGAGUCCCCGACAUCGGCGGUGCCGGACGUUGGAAGGCGGCAAGUAGGACGCGUGGCUGACGGUGCUCCCGUCGUCGGCCGCCAGCGUGGCCACCGCUUGUGCGGUCGCGUCCGCGUCCGGCUACGCCGCUAUUACGUCGCGAGAGGCGACUUGAGCGAGGGCGGCGACCUCGAGCUUCAUCCCCGAAGACAAGCUAUCCCGCAGAGCGUUCGCACUUGCGGUCAUGGCGGAUGUGGUGCCAGGUAGGAGGACGAUGCGCUAUGGUGUGGAGGUUAGCUGGGCGUUGCCGCUUUAAGUAGCGCAUUCCGGUGAGGCCAAGCGUCCGGGUGCGUCAUUAAGUCACCGGAGUUGGUUCCUCGGGCACCGAGCCUCUUAACGACGACAUACGAACGGGCGGCAUGAAUGCGGGCAGCUGGCGCCGGCUGGGAACGCACCGCGCGACGGUGCGAGGGACGAGGGUUUUGGUGUGCCAGGGUAGUCAGCUGCGGUCGUGGCAACGUUGGAGAUGCCCUUUGCUCACAUGUCAUUGAAAAAGCAAGACGACCCGGCAUGGUCUCAGGUCCAGAGGAUGCAGUUGGCCGCGCUACACCACUCUGCAGACGCGUCGCGGUGCCCCGUGCAUCCUCGACGAGCCGGGUGUUGGGGUGUGUUUGGAUUGUGGCCAAAGUGCACCUUACCAAAAUUUUGGUCAUGACCCAAAGAUUGGUCUUUGUUUGGAUGGUUGCCAUUUUUUGGCAUGCCAAUGAACUCUAGCCAACUCUAGUUCAUUUUUCUUGCCAAUGUCGGCCAAAUCAUGGGCAACCAAUACCUCAACCAAAAUUUUGGUCAUGACCCAAAGAUUGGUCUUUGUUUGGAUGGUUGCCAUUUCUUUGGCAUGCCAAUGAACUCUAGCCAACUCUAGUUCAUUUUUCUUGCCAAUGUCGGCCAAAUCAUGGGCAACCAAUACCUCAACCAAAAUUUUGGCUACCCAAUGCUUUGAUGGGGCAACCUUGGGCACAAACCAAACAUACCGUUGGUCGUGCCACAGCACAAACGCCACCCUCGGCACACUGAAACCGACCGUCUCUAGCGACGAUAUGAGUGUGUCGCUCACCGCCCCGUUGUUGGCACCAACGACCCACAUGAACGGUUGUCGGUGGCGAGGAGGUCGUGGGCCAGCUCCUCCAUUGGACUAGUCUGCGCUACGUCGUCCCAACGGGUGUGCCCUACAUGUCGGUUUCCCUGUUUUCCCGGCCAUAUUCAAGCGUCAGUGCUCCGCGUUGCGCAUUAGGCCUUUCACUAUGUAGGCCAAGCGAGAUAACUUAUUGUUUAUUUGAGCCGUUCAAGUAUAAUCAUGUGGCGUUUGCUUAUUUCUCAUUCCUCUCCAACCCUCUUCUCCAUCGAUCAUGUCGCCCUCCAAUCAAGUCCAUCCUCCCGCAUGCCUCAUUUGAACAUUCCGCCGAGUAUCAUUCGCAUGUACCCACCCUAGUCCUCUUUCAAUAGAUCUCCGGACCCCGAGAUGAAGUCAAGAGAGAAUGAGUGGGGGCACGUGAUACCUAAGGCGGAUUCAAAAUUUUGAACCGGUGAUCAUAGCAUCCGCAAAUCAUAUAUAAAGGGUAUUCAAUAUUCGUUUCGUUUUUGAAGUAUACUCCCCCUAUCCUUUCUAGUUUACAUAUAAGUUUUAUGUGUAGUCAAAGUAUCUCUACUUUGAUCAAAAAGGUAUCAACAUUCAACAACGCCCAAUCAAUAUUCUUAGAUUCGUAUGUACUCCUAGAUUUCUACUCGAGAUGGUUUCCAAUUUGACUAUUGACAAGAUUAAUAGUACAUGAGAUGUAUAAUGUGAAAAUUAUAUCAUUGGAAACUCCUUUCACAUACGAAUUUGACCGUAUGCUUUGUGUAAGUUGCAUGUCAGAUAUUAUUACUCUAACAUUUGGUCAAAGUUAGCCUCGAAAAACGCAUUAGACCCUGUAUGCUUUGUGUAAGUUGCAUGUCAUAUAUUAUUACUCUAACAUUUGUGUAAGUUGCAUGUCAUAUAUUAUUACUCUAACAUUCUGUCAACGUAGUAUAGUGGAAGUGGAUCCUCUGACGUAGGUAUACCUACCUUACCCUCCCUUUCGGUCACUUACUGGCGGACCCCAUGCUUGCUAGGCCCCGCAUGUCAGUUACUCAAUGGGUUCGGCCACGUCAGGGGAUCCUCAUCCGUAGUAUACUCCCUCUGUUUUUAUUUACUCCGCAUAAAACGGAGGGAGUGGUGGUAUAAUAAAUGACGCGGGCGGGGGAGGGGGAGGGAUGUCGGUUUGCUCUCAACUGCGGUCCCACAAGCGACCGAAAAUGCAAGACGAAGCACAUUCCAUUCGGUGAGCGAUGUGGAGGGUCCAGCGUGCCGGGCUGCAACACGAACGCGACAAGAGCGAUGUACAGUCAAAAGCGAUUGACCGGUCGUCACCGGAACCACUAUUCAGACCAGAACCUUCGUUGCUCGGCCUACGCCAGCCACUACCCUAAAACCACACCAAAUCUCCAGCCCAUUCCCCCACCUUUUGAUCCCCUAGCCCGCAUCAAGCAUCCCCUAGUUCGCCGGAAAGCCAUGGUGCGCCGCAAGAUCACUUACUACAAGAUGCUGACGCCAGAGCGCCGCGCAGAAAUCGCGGCGGCGGUCGGCGCCACAGACCUCCGUUCCCAAGCUCGCUUUGCGGCGGGCCAAUCCCCGAGUACUCUAGAGCCAAGCUAUGAGGAGGAGGAAGCCGAUCCAAUGUUCAUGGCAGAGGUCGCGGCGCAGAAGGCCCCCGAUGGGUAUGAGACGAUGGACGUCGACUUCGUGCCGGCGUCCGAGUCCCCCAUGGUGCAGGCGGACCAGCGGUUCAACAUGGCGAUACUAAAGGAGGACCGGGAGGCAGAGGCUCAACUCGACGCGGAGCGCGCGCAUGCCGCUGCCAUCGAGGCUCUCCUGCAGGCGGAACCGGAUGUCAUGGAUGUGAACCGGGCGGCGGAGGCUCAACUUGAGGCGGAGCGCGCGGAUGCCGCUGCCAUCGAGGCCCUCCUGCAGGCGGAACCGGACGUCCUGGACUUGAACCGGGCGGCAGAGGCUCGAAUGGACGCAGAGCGCGCAGAUGCCGCUCUCAUCGACGCCCUCCUGCAGGCGGAACCGGACGUCCUGGACUUGAACCGGGCGGCGGAGGCUCGACUCGACGCGGAGCGCGCGGAUGCCGUUGCCAUCGAGGCCCUCCUGCAGGCGGAACCGGACGUCCUCGACUUUAAUCGGGCUGUGCUCUCGUCCGUGCAGAGCGCCCGCACGCUCCGCUUGAACAAGUAGCUGGAGGCCGAGGACAACCACGGUGCGGAGACACAUGUCGGCAGCGAUGGCUGGUUCGCGCCGGCAGCCAAAGACGAUGAGGCCAUCUCUUUCCGCGAGCAGUGAUAGUUUUUCUUUAUGUUGUUGUUUUUAUGGAUCUUUUGCUGUGUAAAAACAUAUAUUUGUUAUGCAAGUCAUCUGACUUGGGUCAGUCUACCAUUUCAGGCGGUUGGAUGAAUAUCCUACGUCUCCUAACCCUUCUUUCCUUCUUCCUCACCUCUUCUUCUUCCCCAACAGACCACCGCACGGGUCGUACGGAUAGUCCCCAACAUGCGGUUGGAUAAACAUACUCUAUGAACGAAAAUUAUGUGUCAGCGAUAGGAUGGCUGAGUUUAGUUUGUUCACAUGCGAUAGCACGUGUCAGUGAGGGUGCGUUCCCUUGGUUGGGUUUGCGGCGUGCAGGAGCGACUGUGUGAGGGUGCGGCGCGACCGCGGCGUGCAGGAGCGACCAUGUGAGGGUGCGGUGCAACCGCGACAGCCGUGCGCAAGUGUACCUCCUUCUCAUUUUGAAAACUUUAGGCAAGCUUGGCAAAAAUGUGUGGCGAAGUUUGGCAAUGCAAGGCCUAGACCCAAACAGGAUAAGUACGUACGUACUAGGAGUACUAGUGUUAAAAAAGAAAGGCGGGGUUUUCCUUCGCGGGAUUUAAUCGAUACAAAUCCUCGUUUCACGUGUCAACUAAUGCGUAUUUUUUUUCUCCAAAGACCAAAGAGCUAACCAUCUCACUCCUCAUCGCUUGAUUAAUGCAGCGCCAUGCAAACCAACCUUCUCACUUCCGCAUGCAUGCAGGGGAUAUUAAUGUCCUUGGUUGCUAACCCCAUCAAUUUUGCCUCGAUUAGUGUUAGUGUCCCUUUGCAAAUUGUAAUUUUGAUAUACUGGCCUUGUGUACAAAAAAAUGGAGGUAGUAACUAUAUUUGACUUCCCUCCCCAUUGCGGUGACGUCGACGAUAUCUUUUUUUGGUGGUUUGGUGAAGUGCGUUCGACGGAGAACACCAUUGAGGGAGACCACGGUAAGUCAUUCGCAAGUGCCGCCUGCAAGCCAAGACAACCGCCUUAUUUGCAUCCAGGAAGUCCUUUACUAGUACUACUAGGAGUACUAGUGCGGUGAGAUGGUUUCUCGAAGAAGACGAUGGAGAAGCGGAGUCAGCGAAGAGUGAAAUGAUGGUUGCUUCGUCCGUGCUUUUGUGAUUUGACGCCUCACUGCUUUGUGAUUUGUGAUAGAAGGGACAGGGGAGUAGACUCUGUGCUCUAUACUGUACUACAUGCGUCCAAGCAUGGGAGAAAGAGGAGAGACGUUGCAUUUUUCUAUUCCUUCAAUCAAUCAAUCAGGGAGCUUCGGUUCCAUCUUUUUGGCUUUAGCAACACCGUCCACAAUGGUUCCCACAAUGCCAAAAGCUAUUUUCACAUUUGGCUACACAUUGUGGACGCCCUUAACCGUACCACUUGGUUUUGCUCCUGUGUGCUAUGUAUACAAAUCUCAAUUAUAUUGAUCUAAAAAAUUAUAGAAUCAAGAUUAGUAAAAAGGAGGUGAUUUUGCCGCGCGGAUGGCGGGGGAGGUUUCUUAUUUGAGCAAUGCUACAUCCAUGUAAUGGUUUACGUAAAGUUACGAACUGAUGUGAUGUGGGACUAUUUGAUUGGAUUAAAGGAGAGGAUUAGGCCCACCCCACCUGAAAAUCAGGGGGGGCAUAUAUAGAUUAGAUGGAAAGUAUACGUAGCAGCUACGUAGCCCUUUGUAAGUCUAGGGUUAGGCUUCUUAUUUUCGGAGGACGUUGUCCUGGCGUUUUGCUAACAUGCGGUCCCACGUGUCAGUGCUUUACCAAGCCGAUCCGCGUCCCACAUGAGGCAGAACAACGGCAGAAGCAACACGUGGUGAAGUUGAAGAAGAUGAGGGAGAAGCGGAUUCAGCAACGAGUGAAAUGAUGUGAUGGUUGCUUCGUCCUCCAACUUAACUGCGGGAAAGGUGCAACUUUGUGAUUUGACGCCUCAUUGCUCAUUACUACGUCGGCGCCAUGACUGGGGUGCUUCACCCCGGCUGCUCUGCACUGUAUUCCGGUAUGGCACGUGGACCCGGUAGCUUGAUGUCCCACAUGUCGGCGAAAGGGACUAGAAGAUUUAUGAAAGCGAGCGCUCCACUCUUACGACGGAGGAGUAGACGACACGACGGCCCAGUGAACUGUCACUUGUAGUACCGUAUAGUACUAUAGUUUUGCUGUUUCGCACGAUCCAUCGAUACAAACCCGAUUAAACAGGAAAGGGCGGGAUUUUUCCCGCGUGGUAGAUGAUACUGGCCAUACAUUUCAAAGGCAAUUUUAAUGUAUGCAAACUGAAUAAUUAUAAGUAACAAUAUGAUAUCUAGUAAAACUAAAAACACAUAUCAUUUAUUGUGUUAGAGUGUAGUAGUAGUGCUGUAUUGCAUAGUUGUUAGAUGUAACAUGCGAGGACGUGUAGAGAUGUAGUUUUGGAGGGCCUACAGAGAGAAAAGCGUAAUACGGUCACCGAACUUCAGAAUAAGCUGAUUACGGUCACUAUAUACGUUUUGCGGUGAUUAUACGGUCACUUGCUCACAGUUCAACAUCGGAUUGCACUCUGUUGACCGGCCAAAUAGUCUGCGUGGCGCCAUGUUGACUAGUUAAAUUGACCACGUUCCUUGUGGGUCCCACCUGUCAGUUCGCAUAGGCAAAAGGUCAGAUAAACACAAAUUUACGCAGGCGCGACAAGGCUCCAACCCGUGCGCGGGAAUCACCUGGUUGUGUAUGUGUCUGUCAGGGCCUGAUGUGUGCGCAUGCACGUGUAGGUUGAGCACUUGAGCGUGAGAGUGUGUGUUGGUCGUGUGGUGUACUGGUGUGUGCAUGCAUGCGUGCAUGUGUGCGUGUGAGUGUUGCGUGCGUGCGUGUGAGUGUUGCGUGCGUGCAUGGCUGCGUGUGUACGUGUGAGUGUUGCGUGCGUGUGUGGGUGCAUGUGUUUGUGUGAGUGUUGCAUGGAUGCAGUUCGUGUGCAUGCGUGCGUGUGUGUAUAAUCACCACACCAGCUCCUAUGUGUUAAAACAGACGGCUCAGCAUACCAAUACACGACCACCUUGUCCGCUGUGCCCGCGGUCAUGACUUCGAACCACCGUCCAAAUAUUUUUUUGUCGUUUGUUUUCAUUCUUACUAGCAAGAUGCCCGUGCGUUGCACGUAACAUCAAGAUGCAUUUGUAUGACUUGUUUAUCUUGUGAGAGAAAAGGAUGAACGAGGGAAGGCCUUAUUUGCAAAUGUGGAGAGGUGUGUGGGUACCUUUUUGCAAAAUUGCCAUAGUUUCUUUCCUAUCUGUGAGACAUAAAUCAGGCGGCCUAUAUUGCAGGAUGGCAGGCACACCAUCAUCACCAACUCUGUUUUUUAUAAGAGUGUAUUUUAUAAGAGUGUAGAUGUAGAGUAGAAACAAGUCGACAGGUGGGCAUGAUGGUAGUGAGAUAAUGUGAUGCAACACUAGAGGUGCCACGUGGAGUGUUUAACUGGUCAACUAGUCAUGUCAUGAGCAAAUACAGAGUUGUACGGUGAGCCCGUGACUGUAUAAUAACCACUAAACGUAAAUGGUGACCGUAAUGAGUGGAUUCUGAAUUCCAAUGUACGUAUCGUGCUUUCGCUUCAAAUACAAUGAUCGUCAUUGCAUAUAUCGCGAGAGAAAGAUGAAACAUGUGUGCAUUUUCUGGGGGCUUACUUUUAGAGGACCUGCAGAUAGUUUUGUGUGCAUACGUGAAAGGGGCGUACAGGGGGGUAUGCGAUGGAGAGAGAGAUGCUCUUCGUUUCUCUUUAUUAAGACUAACUUUGUAUAUAGUAUAAAAAUAUACAAAUUCACAGUGCGGAAUAAAUAUCAUUGUGGGCACCAUGCAAUGCAAAUUAGCGUUCGUACUCCUCCAUAUAACUUUGUAAUGUUGUAUAUAUGUAGAAACUCUAAAAUAAUUUUUUGGCACACUUUAUUCAAAAGGAAUGUUGUAUGCAAAAUAAAUGUGAAGAGAGGGCUUUUUAGAUCAAUGGGGUAUGUGAUGUAACAUGUGUGAAUGUGUAGUUGAUGCAUUUGGCGGGGCCUAGAGAGGUAUGUGUGUGUAUUACGUAUUCGAGAGAGGCAUGGAUAGAGGGGCUGACGGGGGGCGUGGGAGAGAUAGCAUGAGAAAUGAGAGUGGUCUAGAGAGAGAGAGACGAAUAUGACGUCACGACAAGAGAUUCCAUUCCCUUGAGUGUGUAUAUGCAAGGGGGGAGGGAAUAGACGCACCGGGAGAAAUUUUCUGUGUGUGUGGUGUUUGUGUUGGUAUGUGUGGGUGUGAGAAGAUAAUGAGACGUGGGGGCAGAGGGUGUGUCACCGCGUGAGGUCCGGUGGGUCGAGGUGAGGCCCUUUGUUCGGUUCCGUCCUGCGCCACAUUGGUCGACCCGUGACGCAUUUAGGAAGACCCGUGGAUGACUAGUCGUACAAGACAAAGAUAGCAGAAUUGUGAAGGACUGUGUGUCCACUGACAAAGCCGGCUAGGAUUUGUAACCCUAGGUUCUCGGACUAAGGUAACCCCUUUAUCUCUGAUAUUACUAUUCAUCCAACCUAACUUUAAGGGGCAUCCUAUAGAAUGCUCUGCUAGAAUCGUACUCAUCGAUUAGGAAGAGAGGUGUGAGACAAUGCGUGAGAGACAGGCGUAAAGAUAAUGUGCGUACAUGAGACACGUAGGCAGGUCCAUGUAUAUAGAAAGGGUCGAUGAGGAUUAUGCAUGUGUAUGUUUGCGAGAGGAAGAGUGCUUGUGAUAAAGGUUAGUGAAAACAGUUGUAAAUGGUUACGAGAUUGAGGGAGGGUUAUAUCUAGAGCAUGUGUGCGAGAAAGACACCUCGGGAGAGAGUGUGUGAGCAUGUGUGAGAGACCACCGAUGGAGAGUGAAACUACACGUAAAAGACUGCUCUACACAUUGAUUAAAGAUAUAAAUUGUAUCCAAAUAUUAGGAUGGGAUCAUGAUAUUUGCAAUUCGCGUAAGGAGCGGUCAUUGAUCCAUCAGAGAUCUAGAUUCUAUCGAAUUUGAGCAUGUCUAUGUUAUUAUUCGACACAAUUGAUCCACAUAGUUAGUAUUUUGAACUCCAGACAAUGCAUCGCUUUAGCAAUCGAAUAUAAACGUGAGUAUAGUUCAUGUUGUGUGUAAAGCACAUUAUACAUACGAAAGUUACACAAUGGACAUUAUAAAUAGCUACCUAUGAACUAGCAUACAUUUGAAUUCAACUUAAGGUGGUUUAAAAAAUCGAAUUCAACAUGAAGUCCAUUCAAUUAUUUGAAUUUGAUAUCAUGGCAUUUGUAAACCAUACCUAAAUUAUGGGGGCACCAAUCUUUGCUCUGAUUUUGUACAUAAUAGCAUAUGUAGUCGUGUACAAAAUAGAUUCAAAUUUAGCUCCUCCAUUCCAAAAUAAUCGUAGUUAUAGGAUUUUCAAGUGUCAAAAUUUCAAAAAGAAGCGGAUAAUUUAAUGAGGUUUUCAAACAUACAAGGUCAAAUAUAACAUUGUCUAUUUAGGUCAAUCCUCAUAGUUCAAGAGUACUCUAAACGUGAAUGCUUGUGUUUCAAAAUUUCGAACGAAGCGCCAAAAGAGCCUCUACUCGCCCGAAACCGCGUGAGACCAAUGUUUGGUAGUACAAGGAAAUUACUUUUCUAAUAACUCCGACCCGUGAAACCUACCGGCCCGACGUCCAAAGGUCUAAACUGGGGUAGGUUUGUAGCUUCAUCUAGACGCCACGCAACCGCAUCCGAAAAACAUUCAUACACAAUGGCCGCCUAAGCACACAUGCGCGCGGACGAAAUCGCUCCUGCCCACUAUUUGGGGCACCUGGGAUUACCAUCCUACCCCCGACCCGCAGUAGGUCCGAAAUUUAAGAGGGGGGCAAAGUUUGUACUUUCCCAAAUUUCAAACAAGCGCGUCCCAUCUUCUGUUCAAAAAAGCCAAAACAAGCGCGUCCCAGACCAAAACAUGGUCCCCCCACCCGUCUGAUUCCCCAUUCGUACUCCGUGGGCGCCAAAACUAUCUCUCCACCAGCCGCGAAACCCUGGCGUCCUCCGUCCGCCACCCCAUCCCACCCAUCAACCGCCGCCCUCCUCCAUCACGCCAGAGCCGAUACCCCGACGUCGUCGUCCACCGCAACCUCAACCGCAACGCCCUCCACAGCUAGUAGUUGAAGCCGAGGCCGAGCCGUCCGUACCCGAGCCAGUUCAACCACGCCGUCCUGCGCCUCACCGCUGCCGCUCCAACUUCGCCACCCUCCACCGCACCGGAGUUGUUCCUGCUACGCCGUCCUUCGCCGCCUCGAAUCUGCUCCCCCUCCGCCGGCAUACGGCCACGGCAACACAGUCAACAAUUUGGCCAUGGGUUCGUCCAAGCCUGCACCCUCCAGAACAUCGGUUUCCCCGGUAAAAAGAAGAAGAUCGGCGCGACAUGUGGAGGUGACCACACCAGCAACCGAAAAAUGUACUCCUCUUCCCUUAUUCGUGCAAAUCUUACGUCUCUUCUUGCACGGUAUUCAUCCCACAGAAGACACUAGUUGACCGCUUCUUCUUGAUACUAGAUGUUCCUAGUAACUCGUGAUGCACAAGGUUUCUCCUCAUAUACUAUUUCACCUUAGCUGGAGGUCCGUCGCCCCCCUGAAUUUCAAUUUCUGGCCAGUUGAUUCCCAAUUAACGGAAGCAUUCCCCGGCAUAACAGGUGCUAGUACGCCUAUUAUGUCGGGGAAGCAGUGCCUUGGUGUUUAUCUUAGGGGCGUGUCCAGCCUAGAGCUACUGGCGCCCGAUCUGGAGGUCGGCCGGGAUUAAAGGGAUGGCCUGGGGGCGCUGCCAAGCACGGCGGUGGUGUGAGGUCGACGGGAGGGCGGGGCAGCGGAGGCAGGGGUCUGGGCCGGUGGUCGCUGGCGGUUCGAGAAAGAUCGUCAACAGUGACUGGCGGGAGGUAGACGAAGGCCAUCUGCCCGUUCCUUAUAGAUCGGACGGUUCAUUAAAAAAAUUGACUGACCUAUUUAUUUUCAGUUGAUUGUUAUCUUAGAUAUGACCACAUGUGGUCAUGUGCUGGAGGAGUACCUGCAUUUCCUGUGCUCAUAUAUUACAAAAUCAUACGGAGUAGAAUCUAAUUUUGUUUGCCAUGCAAUGUUGUAGAGCUAUCAUAUGUCUCCUCUCAUUUAUUUUUCAGCCACCUGCUAUCUGCUACUUUUACAGUGCACUAGUUCUGCACACACUUCACCCUUACUCUCACUAUUGUGUUUUUAUGCAAGGGUAUUUCAGACUCUGCUGCCAUGAGAGAAGCCAAAAAGAAAAGAGAGAAGUCGCUCCAGCUUCGUAUGCGGGUAGGCAAGACACGUUACAACGCUAUAAAGGGUGCAGUGUCAGCAGAUGGAGACGGUAAACGUAGCUCUGGAGUUGAUGACCUCGCUCGCAAUGAACCACCAUCCCAGGUGCUUGCUUUAACUUCGCGGUGUCAUAUGUGGUUGCAUGUUCCAUAUGGUGUCUAGCUUGUAUUCGAAAGGCCGAAGUCGGUAAGAUAAGGAAAGAUAUUUUUUUUACAUGAACCACCAUCCCGUGAGCACCAGAAGACAAAUAGCUAGUCAGGGCACUGGCCGAGCCAGUGACAAGCCCAGCAAAGAUAGGCAUCACCUGGAAGCCAACUAAAAAGCUGCGAUGGUGGCGAAGCAGCCCGCCUCCCACCAGGCUCUCAGGUCCUAGAUGAUCAUGCUCACCACUCCAGCCGGAUGUCUAGCUUGUAUUGCUUCCAAUUUGGUUAAAUUGCAUCUGCUUAGCUUACACAUUAUACCUUUGAAUAUGACAUACCUUUCUGUUUUUGGUACAUACUAGUACAUCUGUGUAUUAACCAUGUUCUUACAUCAAACUAAUGUUCUUGUGUAUCCCUCACCAAUCACUUAUGACGAGGCAGGCAGGCAAGGGGACUACUCCUCAUUUAAAGAAUGCAGCGUCAGCCUCCCGACAUGAUUCUCAAGAAACAGAAAUGCUAGAUGAAGAUAGUGAACGUAGCUCUGUAGUUGAUUACAGCAUUUCCCCUACACUUGCAUCGCAGGUGCUUGCUCUAACUUGGCAGCGUGAUAUGUGGUUGCAUGUUGCAUAUGGUGUCUAGAUUGUAAUUCUUCCAAUCUGGUUAAACUGCAUGUGCUAGUCUGCUUAGCUUAUACAUUAUACCUGUUAAUGUGACAUGCCUUCCUGUAUUUAGUACAUAGUACAUCUGUCUAUUAAGCAUGUCCUUACAUAAAACUAUUGUUUUUUUUGGUAUCCCGCAUCAAUCAACAUGACGAGACACCUUUAGUAUAUGCAGUGCGAUAUUAGUUGCAUCUUUCAUAUGAUUUAUAGCAUGCGCUACUUCUAAUUUGUUGAAAUUCCAUUUAUGAUGGGACGCUUUUAACUUGGCAGAGUCAUAUUGGUUGCAUCUUUCAUGUGGUGUCUAGCUUGCAUUGCUUCUUAUUUGCUAGAAUGGUUUCUGCUUAGUUUACACAAACAGUUGUGAACAUGCCAUGCCAUCCUGUUUUUCAUACAUAUUCCAUCCUGGUAUCAUGUGUUUGCCUUACAUCAAAGUAGUGAUUGUCAGUAUCAUGCAUGAAUGAGUUCUGAAGAGAGAAUUUUAUUGCUUUUUCUUGUCGGUUUUACUUGACAAUUCAAAAUCAAUAAAGCGGAAGGAAGUUAGCAAGGCGGCGGAUAAAGGUGCUCCUUCCGAACGGAGGUCCUCUACAGUUUCUACUCCUCCACACCCCCAAGAUGAUUUCCAAGACAACACAUGCAUAGACACUCAACAAAGCUGUGUUUAUGAUGAGCAUGUCUCCCCUAGUGCAGCAUCACCGGUGCUCCCUCUAACUUGGCACUGUUAUAUGUGGUUGCAUGUUAUGUGUGAUGUCUAGCUUGUAUUGCUUCUAAUUUUGUUGAAUUCCAUCUGCUUACUUUACAUAUUAUACUUGAAUAAGACACGUGUUCCUGUUUCUAGAACAUACAAUAUCUGUCUAUCACACCAUGUUCUUACAUCAAAUUACUACUGUUGUGUAACCUGCAACAAUCACUUAUCAUAAGACACGUUUGACUUCGGAGUGUGAUAUAGGUUACAUCUCACAUUCUUUUCUAGCUUGUACUACUAAUUUGUUGAAAUGGCACUUAUGACGAGACAGUUUUAACUUGGUAGAGUGAUAUUCGUUGCAUCUUUCAUAUGGUGUCUAGCUUUCAUUGCUUCUAAUUUGUUGAAAUGCCUUCUCCUUAGUUUACACAUCAUAAGCUGUGAAUAUGCAAUGCUGUGAAUAUGCAAUGGCACUAAUGACGAGAGACCUCUAACAUGGUAGUGUGAUGUUGUUUGCAUCUUGCAUAUGAUUUAUUUCUUAUACUGCUUCACAUUUGUUUAAACGCCAUUUAUGAUGAGACACUGUUAACUUGGCAGAGCGAUAUUUGUAGCAUCUUUCAUAUGGUGUCUACCUUCCAUUGCAUUGCUUCUAAUUUGGUGAAAUGUCUUCUUCUUAGUUUACACAUCAUAGUUCUGGUUAUCUCUUCCGUCCUGUUUUUCAUACAUAUUACAUCCUCCUAUCAUGUGGUUGUCUAACAUCAAAGUUCAGUUCGUCUGCGUCACGCAUCAAUUUGUUCUGAAGAACUAAAUUGUUAUUCGUUUUUCUUGUCGGCUUGACUUAACAUGGCACAGAGAAAGAGGAAGAAACACAAAAUGGCAGGGAAUGAGAAGUGGAUGAAUCCUGCAGAUUCUGCUGGUACUGAUGGUGCAAUAGAAGGUCAAAGUCCAGCGAAAAAUUCUACAAACACGGCAUCCCAUGCUACACGAGUUGCAAAAAAGCCAAACAGAAACAAAUAGCUGCCACCAAACAAGCAGAGACAGCCCUAGUUCUUGCAGCACCUACCACAGUACUACCAGCUGCAUGACUUACUCGUGCGUCAACUGAGCUAGCAGCACAUUCCCAAGCUCCCUUGCCACCUGACACUACUUCCCAAGCACUCUUGACACAAGACGAGUUGGCAAUAUCAGAUGAACCUUGUGAGCUUCAACAGCAAGAAGGUAGUUGCUGGAGUCAAGUUAUAGUUGCAUGCUUCUUUAUAUGUAGUCUCACAAUUUGAUGUACACUAACACUUCCUAUGUUCGUUGUUGGACUAGCACCUAGGCGCAAGAGGAAACAAACAUCAGGGAUAAUGCUCGAUAGGUUAACUAAAUCUAGAGGAGGAAGAAUGGAGAUCCGUUUUGAGGCAGGUUUAAAAAGGCCACGUGAUGCUACAGAGUCAGCCAAGUUAGUAUCAGAGGCAGCGGUUGCCGUUAGGUGUCAUGUACGUAUCCUCCCAACAUGGAUUCAGUACAGAAAUGACAAAGACGGAACCCAGUUCAACACCUUCCUCGACCAUUUAUCUGUAAGUAUGGUUAUGUAUGGAAACUAGUAAUAUCGUCUUGCUCUGUCCCAUACUUUCUAGGUUGCUGAUAAUGAGACUCCCAUAAUUUUCAACAGAUGAGGUUCAAGUUGGAUAGCCAAGAUGAUGCAACCAGACAAGCUUGCACCCAUGUUUUCAAGUCUGCUCUGCGACAGUAUCGGUAUAACUUGAGGAAAACUCACUUUGAAGGCAAGGCUAACAGUGAACUUUCCCAAACAUCUCCAGUGGAAAAUAUAUCGGAUGAAGACUGGAGGGGCCUUGUUAAACACUGGUCUGAUCCGAAGUAUCAGGUACAUUAUAUAUAUGUGAUCAGAUCACAUGUUGAAGUCCUAUUUACGCAUGUGCCACACAAAUCUAUCUUCUUGUAGGUGAACUGUUCAAAGAACAAGGCUAACCGUAUGAAAGUGAAAUUCCAACAGACGACAGGAUCUCGUAGCUAUAUUGCACACUGCGAGGCUCUUGUAAUUAGCUGUUGUUUCACUCUUUUCGCUGUACCAUAUUAUCAGAUCUAUAUUGACUUGUUCGAAAUGCAGAGGAAAGCCCGCAAGGACCAAAAAGUACCUGAACCAAAUGCUGUGGAAAUCUUCAAGGACUGUCACACCAGCAAGAAGAAGGGCAUGACUACACCAGUCAAAGCCGCUGUUGUAAAUCCUUAAUCCUCAUGCCUUUUAACUACUACUUACUCUGACUUGUGCCUUGAACUGCAUGGUUUGCAGCCAAUGUCUAUUACGCUUUUCAAUUUUAUACACAAUUGUCUUAGCGUAUCAUUGCACCUUACAAGGUUCAAAAGAGAGGAGUGAUGUUCCUUUGAUCUUGACCCGUAAUCUAGUUCCGUGCUGGACUUGCCCACACAACGUUACAAUUGCCUGUUUGUCUGUUCUCAGUUGUUUUGUGAUAUGAAUGAUGUCAUACUAUGAUUACCGUAUUAUAAACUUCGUCUCUUUAUCCUUAGCCCUCAAUACAAUGUGAAGAAAUAGACAAUACAUUAGCGAUGGUACAUGGUCAUAUGUUUGGAACCUGGUUUUAUUAUGUACUUUGCAAUAAAAUACAACUAAUAUUUUACAUGGGUUCACCAGAAUAAGUUAUGUAUAUAGACCAAAGCUAUUUUGUUUGGUUUUGCUGCCUCCUUAAUAUCUUCUGUUCUGGUACUACUAAUGUAAAACCUCAACUUUUCAGCGAGCUAUGGAAAAAAUGGUGGAACCGCCACCUUCUGAAUAUAGGACGGGCUGGAAACGGCGCAACGGGUUAACAGGCCAGAAACGGGCCGACUCUUGCCAUGGGCCAAAUUUGGCCCAUUAGGGUAACAGGCCAGUAACGGGCCGACUCUUGCCAUGGGCCGAAUUGGGCCCAUUAGGGGAACAGGCCAGUAACGGGCUGACUCUUGCCAUGGGCCGAAUUUGGCCCAUUAGGGGAACAUGCCAGUAACGGGCCGGAAGUAAUCGAGGGCCGAAAAGGAGCCAAGAAUGUAUGGGCCGUCAAUAGGCCGAAAGCUAACACGGGCUGGAAACGGCCCAUGUAAAUCACGGGCCGUUAACGGGUAUAAAGAAAAUUACUGUUCAUUAUGGGCUAGAGUCACCGUGGGCCUGUAAAGGGCCGAAAGAUACGAAGGCCUCAUAUGGGCCGAAAGACGUCGUGGGCCAUACAUGGGCCGAAAGUGAAAUGGGUUGGUGUUAUAUUCGACGGCCCACAUGACGUUGUUGGGCCGAUUUCCUUUAGGGCCUAACGGGUCGUGAGUUAACGGGCCGUAAAAUGGGCUAUUUGCGAAGUGACCGUUAACAGGCUUUUCAUGGGCCAGCCCGUUAACUUUUGACCAAGUCAAACGGGCCGGCUUUGUAAGCUAAAUGGGCCAGUGGUGGGCCGUGGCACGUGUCGACAUAUCAUAAGCGCCUAUCUGACCCACUGACGAGCUGACACGUGUUUCAUCCGGCCAAUAAGAAUUUUACACGUGGAAAUUUCCCAUUGGUCGGGGCUGUUAACGGGUUAUCGGAUCCAAAACCCAACCCGAUAGCUUAACAGCGUUCCAUUACGGUGGAUGCCACGUGUCGGUCACCCUUGACGAAAGCACUUCUGUGACGCGCGAUUUAUCGUCGUGGAAGUGGACACUUCCGUGAUGAUAAUUUUGGUAAUGUCAUGGAACACUUCUACGACAGCACAGGUAUGACUAUCUUGAUUCUGUCAUAAAAUCGUCAUGGAUGUACAUGCAUGACAAAAACGCGACCUACUAUGACAAACACGUAUCAUCACGGAAGUGUAUUUUUUUGUAGUGACAGGUGGCUAGUGGGUGUCUUUUUCUCCAACUUUAGUUGAAUCGAGUUUGACUACGCCCGGUCCUUGUUGAAGGUUAAAACAGCACACUUGAUGAAAAUCGUCGUGGUUUUGAUGCGUAGGUAAGAACGGUUCUUGCUAGAAGCCCGUAGCAGCCACGUAAAACUUGCAACAAUAAAGUAGAAGACGUCUAACUUGUUUUUGUAGGGCUUGCUGUGAUGUGAUAUGGUCAAGACGUGAUGAUAUAUAAAUUGUUGUAUGAGAUGAUCAUGUUUUGUAACAGUUAUCGGCAACUGGCAGGAGCCAUAUGGUUGUCGCUUUAUUGUAUGAAAUGCAAUCGCCAUGUAAUUGCUUUACUUUAUCACUAAGCGGUAGCGAUAGUCGUAGAAGCAAUAGUUGCGAGACGACAACGAUGCUUCGAUGGAGAUCAAGGUGUCAAGCCGGUAAUGAUGGUGAUCAUGACGGUGCUUUGGAGAUGGAGUCAAAGGCACAAGAUGAUGAUGGACAUAUCAUAUCACUUAUUUUGAUUGCAUGUGAUGUUUAUCCUUUAUGCAUCUUAUUUUGCUUAGUACGGCGGUAGCAUUAUAAGAUGAUCCCUCACUAAAUUUCAAGGUAUAAGUGUUCUCCCUGAGUAUGCACCGUUGCUACAGUUCUUCGUGCCGAGACACCACGUGAUGAUUGGGUGUGAUAAGCUCUACGUACACAUACAACGGGUGCAAGCCAGUUUUGCACACGCAGAAUACUCGGGUUAAACUUGACGAGCCUAGCAUAUGCAGAUAUGGCCUCGGAACACUGAGACCGAAAGGUCGAGCGUGAAUCAUAUAGUAGAUAUGAUCAACAUAGUGAUGUUCACCAUUGAAAGCUACUCCAUCUCACGUGAUGAUCGGACAUGGUUUAGUUGAUAUGGAUCACGUGAUCAUUUAGAUGACUCGAGGGAUGUCUAUCUAAGAGAGAGUUCUAAGUAAUAUGAUUAAUUGAACUUUAAUUUAUCAUGAACUUAGUCCUGAUAGUAUUUGCAUAACUAUGUUGUAGAUCAAUAGCUCGCGAUGUAGCUCCUCGUUUAUUUUUGAUAUGUUCCUAGAGAAAAACUAUGUUGAAAGAUGAUAGUAGCAAUGAUGCGGACUAGGUCCGUGAUCUGAGGAUUAUCCUCAUUGUUGCACAGAAGAAUUAUGUCCUUCAUGCACCACUAGGUGAUGGACCUAUUGCAGGAGCAGAUACAGACAUUAUGAACGUUUGGCAAAGCUCGGUAUGAUGACUACUUGAUAGUUUAGUGCACCAUGCUUUACGGCUUAGAACUGGGACUUCAAAAACAUUUUGAACGCCACAGAGCAUAUAAGAUGUUCUAAGAGUUGAAAUUGUUAUUUCAUACUCAUGCCCGUGUCGAGAGGUAUGAGACCUCUGACAGUACUUUGCCUACAAGAUGGAGGAGAAUAGCUCAACCAGUGAGCAUGUGCUCAUAUUGACUGAGUACUACAAUUGCUUGAAUCAAGUGGGAGUUAAUCUUCUAAAUAAGAUAGUAAUUGACAAAGUUCCCUAGUCACUAUCACCAAGUUACUAGAACUUAGUGAUGAACUAUAAUAUGUAAGGGAUGACGAAAGUAAUUCCCAAGCUCUUCGCGAUGCUGAAAUCGGCGAAGGUAGAAAUCAAGAAAUAACAUCAAGUGUUGAUGGUUAACAAGACCACUAGUUUCAAGAAAAGGGCAAAAGGAAAGAAAGAGGAACUUCAAAGAAGAAUAGCAAGCAAGUUGCUGCUCCCAUGAAGAAGCCCAAAGCUAGACCCAAGCCUGGAACUGAGUGCUUCUACUGCAAAGGAAAUGGUCACUGGAAGUGGAACUUCCCUAGAUACUUGGCGGAUAAGAAGGAUGGCAAAGUGAACAAAAGUAUAUUUGAUAUACAUGUUAUAUAUGUGUACUUUACUAGUGUUUAUAACAACCCCUCAGUAUUUGAUACUGGUUUAGUUGCUAAGAGCAGUAACUAAAAACAGGAGUUACAGAAUAAACACAGACUAGUUAUGGGCAAAGUGACGAUGUGUGUUUGAAAUGAUUCCAAGGUUGAUAAGAUCACCAUCGCACACUACCUAUACGUUUGAAAUUAGUGUUGGACCAAAAUAAAUGUUAUUUGGUGUUUGCGUUGAGCAUGAAUAUGAUUGGAUCAUGUUUAUUGCAAUACGGUUAUUCAUUUAAGUCAAAGAAUAAUUGUUGUUCUGUUUACAUGAAUAAAACCUUCUAUGGUCAUACACUUAAUAUAAAUGUUUUAUUGAAUCUCGAUCGUAAUGAUACACAUAUUCAUAAUAUUGAUUCCAAAAGAUGCAAAGUUGAUAAUGAUAGUGCAACAUAUUUGUGGCACUGCCGUUUAGGUCAUAUUGGUGUAAAGCGCAUGAAGAAACUCCAUGCUGAUGGGCUUUUGGAAUAACUUGAUUAUGAAUCACUUGAUGCUUGCUAACCAUGCCUCAUGGGCAAGAUGACUAAGACUCCAUUCUCCGGAACAAUGGAGCGAGCAACAGACUUGUUGGAAAUAAUAAUUCUGAAGUAUGCGGUCCGAUGAGUGUUGAGGCUCGCGGCGGGUAUCGUUAUUUUCUAACCUUCACAGAUGAUUUGAGCAGAUAUGGGUAUAUCUACUUGAUGAAACAUAAGUCUGAAACAUUUGAAAAGUUCAAAGAAUUUCAGAGUGAAGUGGAAAAUCAUCGUAACAAGAAAAUAAAGUUUCUACGAUCUGAUCGUGAAGGUGAAUAUUUGAGUUACGAGUUUGGUCUUCAUCUGAAACAAUGUGAAAUAGUUUCACAAGUCAUGCCACCUGGAACACCACGGUGUAAUGGUGUGUCAGAACGUCGUAACCGUACUUUAUUAGAUAUGGUGUGAUAUAUGAUGUCUCUUACCGAUUUACCACUAUUGUUUUGGGGUUACGUAUUAGAGACAGCUGCAUUCACAUUAAAUAGGGCACCAUCUAAAUCCGUUGAGACGACACCGUAUGAACUGUGGUUUGGCAUGAAACCUAAGUUGUCGUUUCUUAAAGUUUGGGAUUGUGAUGCUUAUGUGAAAAAGCUUCAACCUGAUAAGCUCGAACCCAAAUCGGAGAAGUGCGUCUUCAUAGGAUACCCAAAAGAAAUUGUUGGGUACACCUUCUAUCACAGAUCCUAAGGCAAGAUCUUUGUUGCUAAGAAUGGAUCCUUUCUAGAGAAGGAGUUUAUCUCGAAAGAAGUGAGUGGGAGGAAAGUAGAACUUGAUGAGGUAAUUGUACCUUCUCCCGAAAUGGAAAGUAGGUCAUCACAGAAAUCAGUUCCACCCUACACCAAUUAGUGAGGAACUUAAUGAUGAUGAUCAUGAAACUUUAGAUCAAGUUACUACAGAACUUUGUAGGUCAACCAGAGCACGAUCUGCACCAGAGUGGUACGGUAAUCCUAUACUAGAAGUCAUGUUACUAGACCAUGAUGAACUUACGAACUAUGAGGAAGCGAUGAUGAGCCCAGAUUCCGCGAAAUGGCUUAAGGCCAUGAAAUCUGAGAUGGGAUCCAUGUAUGAGAACAAAGCAUGGACUUUGGUUGACUUGCCCGAUGAUCGGCAAGCAAUAGAAAAUAAAUGGAUCUCUAAGAGGAAGACGGAUGCUGAUAGUAGUGUUACUAUCUACAAAGCUAGACUUAUCGAAAAAGGUUUUUGACAAGUUCAAGGUGUUGACUACGAUGAGAUUUUCUCACUCGUAGCGAUGCUUAAGUCUGUCCGAAUCAUGUUAGCAAUUGCCACAUUUUAUGAAAUCUGGCAAAUGGAUGUCAAAACUACAUUCCUUAAUGGAUUUCUUAAAGAAGAGUUGUAUAUGAUCCAACCAGAAGGUUUUUGUCGAUCCUAAAGGUGCUAACAAAGUGUACAAAGCUCCAGCGAUCCAUCUAAGGACUGGUGCAAGCAUCUCGGAGUUGGAAUAUACGCUUUGAUGAGUUGAUCAAAGCAUAUAGUUUUAUACAGACUUGCGGUGAAAGCCUGUAGUUCCAUGGGUGUUAGAAUCAUUACAAUGUAAUCUAGAUUAUUGACCCUAGUGCAAGUGGGAGACUGGAGGAAAUAUUCCCUAGAGGCAAUAAUAAAGUUGUUAUUUUAUAUUUCCUUAUAUCAUGACAAAUGUUUAUUAUUCAUGCUAGAAUUGUAUUAACCGGAAACUUGAUACAUGUGUGGAUACAUAGACAAAACACCGUGUCCCUAGUAAGCCUCUACUAGACUAGCUCGUUAGUCAAAGAUGGUUAAGUUUCCUAACCAUAGACAUGUGUUGUCAUUUGAUGAACGGGAUCACAUCAUUAGGAGAAUACCCAUCCGUUAGCUUAGCAUUUUGAUCGUUCAGUUUUAUUGCUAUUGCUUUCUUCAUGCCAUAUACAUAUAUCUUUGACUAUGAGGUUAUGCAACUCCCGGAUACCGGAGGAAUACCUUGUGUGCUGUCAAACGUCACAACGUAACUGGGUGAUUAUAAAGAUGCUCUACAGGUAUCUCCGAAGGUGUUUGUUGGGUUGGCAUAGAUCGAGAUUGGGAUUUGUCACUCCGAGUAUCGGAGAGGUAUCUCUGGGCCCUCUCGGUAAUACACAUCAUAAGAAGCCUUGCAAGCAAAGUGACUAAUGAGUUAGUUGCGGGAAGAUGUAUUACGGAACGAGUAAAGAGACUUGCCGGUAAUGAGAUUGAACUAGGUAUGAAGAUACCGACGAUAGAAUCUCGGACAAGUAACAUACCGAUGACAAAGGGUAUAACGUAUGUUCUCAUUAUGGUUCGACCGAUAAAGAUCUUCGUAGAAUAUGUAGGAACCAAUAUGAGCAUCUAGGUUCUGAUGUUGGUUAUUGACCGGAGAGGUGUCUCGGUCAUGUCUACAUAGUUCUAGAACCCGUAGGGUCCGCACGCUUAACGUUCGAUGAUGAUUUUGUAUUAUAUGAGUUAUGUGAUUUGGUGACUGAAUGUUGUUCGGAGUCCCGGAUGAGAUCAAGGACAUGACGAGGAGUCUCCAAAUGGUCGAGAGGUAAAGAUUGAUAUAUAGGAUGAUAGUAUUCGGACACCAGAAGUGUUCUGAAGUGUAUCGGGUAUUUAUCGGACUAUCGGGGGGGUUACCGGAAACCCCGGAGGGAAUAAUGGGCCUUAUGGGCCAUAGGAGGGGAUCACACCAGCCCACAAGGGGUGGCGCCCCCCUCCCCUAAGGAAGGAGGCCGAGUAGGAGAAGGAAAAGGGGGUUCGCCCCCCCCUUUCCUUCCUCCCUUCCCUCCUCCCUUUUCCCCUUGCAGUAAUAAGGAAAGGGGGGAGCCGAAUUGGCCUAGGCCCCCAAGUAGGAUUCCUCCUACUUGGGGCGCCCCAUGGCAGCUCCCCUCCCCCUCCCACCUAUAUAUACGUGGGGAUGGGGCGCCUAGAAGACACACCAAGAAUUGAUAGCCAUGUGCGGCGCCCCCUCCACAGUUUACGCCUCCGGUCAUAUCUCGUAGUGCUUAGGCGAAGCCCUGCGCGGAUCACUUCACCAUCACCGUCACCACGCCAUCGUGCUGACGGAACUCAUCUUCUUCCUCGACACUUUGCUGGAACAAGAGUUCGAGGGACGUCAUCGAGCUAAACGUGUGCAGAACUCGGAGGUGCCGUACGUUCGGUGCUUGAUCGGUCGGAAUGAGAACAAGUUUGAUACGGGGCUAACCCGGUGUAGGCCGAUCUUUCACGAUUGGAGUGGGUUCCCUCGAAGAACACAAUGAACACGGGGAAGAACGGAGAGAAAUCACAAGGGGGAACACUCAAGAACAAGUCCAAUCACACAUCCACUAGACAAUCAAACACACAAGAUCCACAAGGUACAUGAACAAUAAAGGGAAAGAUACAAGGUAAGGUUCAUCUCCAUGAGGAGGUCUUGAAGGGGGGCCGCCCAAGAGGGGGUCUUGAUGAUAUAUCCCGUGGGAUCUUCUCCUAGAUGGAGGUCUUGGCCUCCAUAAGGAGUAGUAGUCUCUCUCUCUCUCUCAAGAGUAGAGUGGUACAAGGAGCAAAGCUCUCUAUCAAAUGAGCUAUCACUUUGCUAACCCUAGAAUGGAGGAGGGGGUGGUCUAUUUAUAGUCUAAGUCACGAAAGGGUAAGUGGGAAAGGGAUACAUGGGCCUCUGGCCCGUGGCUGCGCGCAGGCAGGCACCGGAUGUCCGGGCUGGGGGCCGGAUGUCCGGGGCUUCGCGAGGCGCUGGAUGUCUGGGGCUCGGGCCGGAUGUCCGGGCUGAAGUGGCCAAACUUCCGGUGCAUUCUGUCGUCGAUGCCGGAUUUCCAAGGGAAGGGCCGGAUGUCCGGGCUUUGGCGAGGCGCCGGAUGUCCGGGGCUGGCGCCGGAUGUCCGGCUGCUGAUGCUGUUCGCCAUCUGUUGGGCGGCUGCACAGGCGCCGGAUGUCCGGCCUCUGGCCCGGAUGUCCGACCGCUGUAGCUUCAGCAGCUCCGUCUUCUUCUGUUGUCGCUUCCAGGCUUCCCUCGCGGAUGGUGUAGUUGUUCCUUGGCGCUUGCACGCCUCCUCAACAUCCGUGAAGCUCCGACAAUACCUAUGCAUGCACACGGGAGAAGUGUCAAGUAGUAUACCAUCCUCGAAGGGGUCAAGUGAACACGUGUAAAGGAGAUGAUUCACCUUCGCAUAUGUGAAGUAGAUGUCGCACGUGUCACUUGCCAAACGAACACUUGACAUGGUGAUGUCCAUAGGAUGCUCCGCAUCAUCUCCCCUCCCUUGGGAAAGAUCCGACCUCAGAUCGAAAACCAAAUCACCAUGGGAAAGAGAUGGCUUCGCCGUGUAGAAGUGGACGUUCACCAAGUACUUGUCAUCUUGAAGCUCGAAAUGGGCACUCUCCAAUGUCGCACCGUCUUGUGAUUCCUUCAAAAGGAGUAAGGACAACAAACACUUGGAAAAACAAAUGUGGUUAGCGUUAGUGCAAAACCAAGCAUUCAAGAGGUGAUUCACCAAACAAGUGUCGUCAUCAUGCAAAGCAUAUGGUGUGACAAAGGAUUGAGACAUGGCAUGUAAGUAUAUCAAUCGAGCACAAGCAAAGAUAUCAUGGGGACAAGCAUAUAAAUUGGAGGUAGAGAUGCAAAUAUGUGUGUCAAGAGAAUAAGCAUCUACCUCAAGUUCAUAGCAAGCAUGGGCAAAGCACUCAAUGAAAGGUCUAUGGUAGGCAUAGGAAUCAUUCACAACACCUAAGAAGAUGAGAUGUCUAAACACAUGGGUUAAGUGCAAGACAAUCCAAGCAAAAUGUGCAUAGGGUGUAGUGAACAUAGUGUGGCACUCAACACAAUAGAAAGAGCAAUUGUUCAUCAUGUGUGAGGCAAUCAAGUCAAUCAUGUGACAAGCAAUGGGACAUGGCAUAUGUGAAGUGAUGACAUUGUUGCAACCAAACAUAUGAGAGGAGCAAGUAAUCCAAGAAUUGGAUGCAACACACAAGGCAUAUAUAUCAUGAUGCAUGGGACGGUGAAAAUGACAAGUCGAAGCAAGAUCUCUAACAAGUGUGCAAUCAAGUGGUCCAAGAUGAACAAUAAGUCUCAUGGUGCAAGCAACACAAGUAGUAUGAUCCGCAAUAUCCAUGCUCAAGAAAGAUAUCACCUUGACGGCGUGUCCUUGUGCAUUCUUCACAAUGCCGAAGUGGUAGGAAAGGUGGUGUAGAAACGAGUCGUGGUCGAAUGUAUGAGGCUCGCUCUCAAGAGCUCGAAUGGUCAACUCACGUGAAGCGGAAGUCGACACAAAGUCCAAGUAUCCUACACAUGCACACAACAAAAGAAAGAACGUAUGCGCAUGGUAGAUAAACACAUCAUCCAUCAUGAUGGUUCUCUUCUUUUGCACAUAACCAUUAGAAGCACAAGUGCAUGAAUAAUAUGAUGCAACAAUGGCUAUAUUCAUGGCAUGAGGUAUAUGGUGCAAAGAGGUAAGACAAGCAUGCUUCACAAGGAAUAUGUCAAAAUCUCCAAUUAUAUGUGAGAAUGCUAUGGGGGCAAACUCAUUAUCAAGACUAAAGGCAUUGUUGCACUCAAUACAUGUCAAAUCAUCUAGCAUGAGGGAGGCAACAUAUGGAGAGAUAUGACAAGAAGCAAUAACAAUCAUGUGCAAAGCAUGUAGAUGGUUGUCAUCAACCGCAUGAAAUGAGCAAGUAUGAAUCAUCGGUGAUGCAACAAGGCAAGCAAUCAUAGUAAUCAAGUCAGGCAAGCUAGUAGUGCGAAGAUGCAACAUACUAGAGGAAACCAUGGCAAUCAUGUCAUGUGAGCAAAUAAUAGGCACAGACAAUGCACAUGACAUUUCGCAAGCACGAUCACAAAGCAAGAUCGUAGUAUAAUCAUGGGGCACAAAGCAAACAUGGCAAUAACAAGUGAUAUCUCCACCAAGCUUGCAAAUACACAUACAAGUACUAGAAUCAAUCAUCAUGUGUAAUGCAAAGCAUGGGUCACAAAUGCAUGGCAAAGGCAUAGAAAUGGGCAUAUCAUGCAAAGUGAACAUGGCAAGAUGGGCAUAGAAUAUGUGUUGGACAACAACCCAUAGCCAAGUGAGGGUCAUGUAGAAUGAAUGCGCGAAGACUUCGCGUGAAGAGAUCGGUGGGAAAGGCAAUCCAUGGGAUCCCAAGUCAUCAUUGCUCUCAAGAGCUCGUUUUGUCAACUCGUGGGAUUGCGAGGUUGACAAGUAUUCAUGGGUACCUACACAAAAGAGACACAAACCAAAGAAAUUGUGCGCGUGGUAAAUGUACACAUCAUCCAUCAUGAUGUGUAUGUACACAUGUGAGUUAGCACAAGAUAAGCAUCGCUCAAAGAAAUUUGAUGCAUGGUAUAAGAACAUGUCAUCCAUCAUGAAAGAAUAGUUGUUAUGUAUAACACGAUAGGGAUGCAAAUUGAGCAUACUAGUAUAUGGCACAUCAAUAGCAUGUUUAUUCAUGGGAAGCAUGUUGUGCACACAAGUAUUGGGAUCAUGCAAUGGAUAGGAUGAAUCAAAAUCUCCUAAAAUGUAUGAGGAAACUAUGGGGGUCUCCUCAUGAGCAAUAUUGGAAACAUCAUAUGGAGAAAAUGGACAACAUCGAAAACAAUGCAUAUCCGAAGCAAGGUGGUCAUGGCAUGGCAUAUGAGAUAAAUGAUGCAAAGGAAGCAUAUCAAUAUCAUCACAAGAAAAACAAAUGCCAAUAACCAUGGGCUUGUCAUCUAUGCCAUAAGUGCAAAUUGGGUUUAUGUUAAUGGCAUAUGCAUAGUCACUACGAAGAGAUUGCAAAUAUGACAUAUGAUUGAUCUCAUGCAUAGCAUAUGACAAGUCAAGCGGAUUGUCAAACAUGAUGUGACCUAAAGAAUUGUCACAAGAAAUCCUAUGUAACAUGGCAUCACAACCAAGAGACUCCACAUGAAAAUCAUCAAACUCAUCAUAAAUGGGUAAAUCAUCACAUGGGGAAAUCAUACUAGAAUGAAGCAUGCUAAUAGGUUGAUCAACAUCAUGCAAGCAAUCAAUGUCAAGAAUGUCCACUAGUGGGACUAGAGCAUCACCUUCACCUAUGUUACCUUGUUCAUUCCACUCAAGUGGUGUGGGUGAGGUGGCAAAGACCAAAUGGUGGUCAUCUUCAUCUUGGUGGAACCAUGUGGGGGGUGCAUCAUAUUCCACCAUGGCCAUCGUCUUGUCCAAAGGGAGGACGUAGUCGUCGCGAAUCGGCGCGUCAUCAUAUAUGGGACCUAGCACCAAAUGAGAAGACACAAUAGAGGUAGAGGUUAAGUCGUUAGAAAUCGAAGUGGCCUCACUCUCUCUAUGUGGUGAUUCACUCACUCCCUCAAGGUAGGUGCACUCAAAGUCACAUAUGGUGGAGUCACUCAUCUCACUCAAGUGGUGGGGGUUGUGGCUCUCCUCACAUGGGAAUUGGGGCAACUCGUCAUAUAUGGAGCUAGUGGUGAAGACACUCUCACUCUCAAUAUGGUGGCACAAGUCACUCAAGUCAUCAUACGUCACCGUGGUCGAAGGGAAAAUCCCAUGCUCAACCAUCUCGUCGUUGUCACCAUGGAUGAAGGCCGAAGAUGGCACAUCAUCACUCUCCUCCAUGACCGAAGGGAAAAUCCCAUGCUCGGUCAUCUCGUCAUCGUUGCCGUGGAUGAAGGCCGAAGAUGGCACAUCAUCACUCUCGCCUCCUAAGAUGGAAGCAUCAUCCUUGCUCGUCACCAUGUCGCUUGCCUCAAAAGCUUGGUCCUUGAAGGUCUCCGUAGUUGUACUCGUCGCCGCACCAUCUUGAAAAAGAGUCGUGGAGGACUCGACAUCAUCAAUGCCACAGAGAGGGAUGGCGGUGAAGUAGAACUUGGGAGCAUCGUCUUGGAGCUCAUCGGGCUUGGACAUCUUGGUGGUACUAGCCUCAUGCUCGUCGUCUUUGAGUUUGGUCUUCGAGAAGUGUGUUUGGGGUGGAGAAGCCUUGGCCUUCAUGAGUUCUUCUUUCGCCUUGAGAGCACCAAUGUAGUUGUCGUUGAGGGACUUGUAGUUCUCGAGGAAGAUAGUCUUGGAGAUGUCGUUGUUCAAUCCCAUCAUGAAGUGGAACUUCAUUGACAUAGGGUCGUCCACGCCGGCUCGUCGCAAGGCAUGCUUCAUCUCCUUAAAGUACUCGUCGAUGGACUUGGAUCCUUGGAUGGUGUUCUCCAAUUGGCGUAGAAGUUGUUCCGUGUAGGUUGGAGGCACGAACUCUCGCCGCAAAGCUUUCUUCGUCUUGGGCCAACUCAUGUCGUAGCUCUCCGAAGGUGUGUGAAACCACCAUGUCGAGGCGUAGUCGUGGAAGUUUCUUGUGGCGCACUUCACUUGAUCUUCGGGAGGAACUUGAUGUAGCUUGAGGUAGUCGUCCAUUAGGUGCUCCCACUCAAGAUACUCCUCGGGUUCUUGAGUCCCAUAGAAAGGAAUCUCAUGGUCGGUGUCGAGGUCGUAGUAGCUCGUGGAGGUCGCGGACUUGAGCUUGGGGAGCUUCUCUUGAGGUGCUUGUGGGCGAAGAUGCCGUAUGUCCAAAGGCGAAGAUGCCUUGAAGUCGCUUGGCGAAGAUUCCAAGGGAGAUGGUGAAGUCAUUGAGCGGUUGUUGGUGUUGAGGUCUUGACCUUCACGUUCGUGGUGGUGAUGGUGUCGAUGCCGAUGUGACCUUGCCGGAGAUGGUAGCUCGGAGGCAUGUGUUCUUGAGCGUCUUCUCGAAGAUGAGGAAGAUCGCUUGUAGGACUUGAUGAGGGCUUUGAUCUCCUCCAUUUGAGCUUGCAUCUUGGCGUCGUUGGAGUUGCUCGUGGCAUCGAACUCGUUGUUGUUGUUGUAGACCGAAGGUGAAAUGCCUUGCCUAUCCAUCACAAGACUCGAGUAGAGGUGAGUAGGAAAUGAGAUAAACAAUACCAAGUUACCUUUUCCCAAAGUUGAGGAUGUAUCCCAUUUCACUCAAUGUGAGAUGAAAGAAUAGUGGAAUUGGUACCAGACUUGUUCACUCACACCUACAAACUAAAGCUUAUGGAGUAGCUCGGUGAGGAUAGUGGCACAAAAAUUUAAUGCAAAAUGUUAGCAAGAGUCGAUAAUGUUGAAAGAGAUUCACAAAUUCGCAAGUGAAACAAGUAGACCAAUAGCAAGAAUGGCACUCGGAAACACACAUACGGGUAGAUAAAUGGGGUCGUGCAACCAAGGAAUGAGCACAAAAUGUGGAAUCCACGGAAAACGCUCGUGUUGCACAACUCAAGAGAGACGCUAGCACGAUUGCUCAAUAGGCGGAUACGACACUUGCACAACCUAUAAGAUACAAAAUGGAUAAACUUUCUAUCCCAAGUAUGCUAUGUAUGUAUGGUUCCCGGUGUUUCUUACACAAUGAUCCAAGAUGAUCAAGUAUGAUACCAUAUGAUAUAUUGUGAUGCUAUGCCUAUUGCUUACAAGCUCUUUGUUCACUCUUUUUCUUUGCUUAAAAGCUUAUUCUUUUUAUCUCUCUCUCUCUCUCUCUUUGGAUAGCCACUAUGCGAAAUGCACAAACCAAGAUAGCAAUUGUGUAUAUGCGGGAACAAUCUUGUGACACAAGAGAUGAUAUGAUGAUACCAAUAUGAUAUGGUAUGUAUUAAAUGGAAGGUGUAGAUCACUAAUGUGCACAAGUAACGUUGCCGGCAAUACUCAAAUGGCUAGUCUCGAUAGGCAAGUGACGCAAAAUGGGCUAGGGGUUAACAAUGUAAUGGUAAGGGAGAAUGUACAAUGAUGUCGUCGAGGUUACCGUCGAGGGUUUCUCGUUUGUAAGACACGGACGGAUGAUGGUGAAGUGGUCGAUGUCGAUGACGAACUCGAGGUGAUGAUGAGUUGUGGUGUUCUUGAUGUAGAUACCAAGAUGAUGGAGACUCGUCCCUAAGUAGCCGAAACACCUUAGGAAACGGAAAAACCACAACUCAAAAUCUCAAGGACAAAAGUCAAAUGGUGGUAGCGGGAAUGCGGUGGUGGUUUUGCGGAAGCUCAAUGGGAUUGCGAAAAUGCAAUGAUGGGUUUUGAGUACACAAUGCGGAAGUCGAGGGUAAGGUGGUGAACUAUACACGGUGUCGGAGUUGGAAGCACGGUCCCUAAGUAGCCGAAACACCUUAGGAGACACAACUCACAACACAAACAAAAUUGGGUUAAGUUGGCGUGGCGGAAGUGUAUGGUGGGCAAGCCUAUACGGAAGUUAUGGUGGUGGUGGUGGUGAUUGAUGAAGAUGCAACUGUCCCUAAGUAGCCGACACACCUUAGGAGACUCAAAUCACAACUCAAACAACCACUAAUGCUAUAAGGAACUAAAUGGGUUAGGUUGCGGAAGUCGGUGGUGGUUAUGCGGAUGUUGUGGUGGAAGCCCUAGGCAAAGAUGCCAAAGUUGUCAAAAUUUGAUGGAGUCAAAUGGUGAUGGAACCUAUCUAGAUGGAUGGGGGAUGUCAAUAGCUACUCAACGAGCUAAAGAACGCGAAAAUCGGACUCCGGAUGUGAAAGUUAUGGACAAAACGGUGAAACACGGGAGGCUAAAAUCUACAGGGGUCGGACAUCCGGGGUUGGGUCCGGAUUUCCGGGGGUCAGUGUCCAGAACCGUGCAGAUUUGGUGCUCCAGGAGCCGGAUGUCCGGCCAGAUGGCCCGGAUGUCCGGCCUGAGGCCCGGAUGUCCGGCCCGACGAUUCCAGAUCUCGUUUGGGGCGGAAAUUUUUGAAUUGGGGCGGAAAUGGAUGAUUCCAAGGGCAAAAUUGGAGAGAUUUUGUGGAUGGAAAGGGGGAAAAGAUGGGGGAAAGCUAGAUCCACUUGAAACCAAGCAAAUCCACGGAUCAAAAUCAACAAAACAUCAUCAAACUAACAAAUCACAAAAAAAAUUGGGGGCUAUUUUUGGUGGGGAUUUUCGACUUUAGGACGAAAUCAAGCAAAAGAAGGCUAGAAAACGGUGGGAGGGACUCCAAAUACGUGAUCAACGUGGCUCAUGAUACCAUAUGAUACGGGGCUAACCCGGUGUAGGCCGAUCUUUCACGAUUGGAGUGGGUUCCCUCGAAGAACACAAUGAACACGGGGAAGAACGGAGAGAAAUCACAAGGGGGAACACUCAAGAACAAGUCCAAUCACACAUCCACUAGACAAUCAAACACACAAAAUCCACAAGGUACAUGAACAACAAAGGGAAAGAUACAAGGUAAGGUUCAUCUCCAUGCGGAGGUCUUGAAGGGGGGCCGCCCAAGAGGGGGUCUUGAUGAUAUAUCCCGCGGGAUCUUCUCCUAGAUGGAGGUCUUGGCCUCCAUAAGGAAUAGUAGUCUCUCUCUCUCUCUCUCAAGAGUAGAGUGGUACAAGGAGCAAAGCUCUCUAUCAAAUGAGCUAUCACUUUGCUAACCCUAGAAUGGAGGAGGGGGUGGUCUAUUUAUAGUCUAAGUCGCGAAAGGGUAAGUGGGAAAGGGAUACAUGGGCCUCUGGCCCGUGGCUGCGCGCAGGCAGGUGCCGGAUGUCCGGGCUGGGGGCCGGAUGUCCGGGGCUUCGCGAGGCGCCGGAUGUCCGGGGCUCGGGCCGGAUGUCCGGGCUGAAGUGGCCAAACUUCGGGUGCGUUCUGUCGUCGAUGCCGGAUUUCCGGGGGAAGGGCAGGAUGUCCGGGCUUUGGCGAGGCGCCGGAUGUCCGACCGCUGAUGCUGUUGGUCGUCUGUCGGUGCAGCUCCUUGGCGGCUGCACAGGCGCCGGAUGUCCGGCCUCUGGCCCGGAUGUCCGGCCGCUGUAGCUUCAGCAGCUCCAUCUUCUUCCGUCGUCGCUUCCAGGCUUCCCUCACGGAUGGUGUAGUUGUUCCUUGGUGCUUGCACUCCUCCUCAACAUCCGUGAAGCUCCGACAAUACCUAUGCAUGCACACGGGAGAAGUUUCAAGUAGUAUACCAUCCUCGAAGGGGUCAAGUGAACACGAGUAAAGGAGAUGAUUCACCUUUGCGUAUUUGAAGUGGAUGCCGCACGUGUCACUUGCCAAACGAACUCUUGACAUGGUGAUGUCCAUAGGAUUCUCCGCAUCAAAGUUCGACUACAUCAACGGCGUUGUCAAACGCUUCCGCUUUCAGUCUACGAGGGUACGUGGGCACACUCUCCCCCUCUCGUUUCUAUGCAUCUCCUAGAUAGAUCUUGCGUGAGCGUAGGAAUUUUUUAAAAUUGCACGCUACGUUUCCCAACACUUACCAAGUUCUCUGUUCCAUAAAUAUGUAACUGGAAUUGAUAUGAGACGACUUCGAGACUUGCAAAAUUCAAGGGGGGGGAUCUCCUAGGAUACAACCUGUCAAGAUCAUGUGAUCUUUAGUAUUGCACUCUUUUCCUUUGUGAGUUUUUUCCAAAUGGUUUCUCAUAUAAGGUAUUUAAUGAGGCAAUAUCAAUGCAAGCAUGGACGAUAUAUGUCAUUUUCUCCUUAUUUUCCCACUGGGUUUUAGAAGGAGUUAUUCACGGCAUAUUAUAAUUUUCUUCUCAUUUUUCCCACAAGGUUUUGGAGGAGAAUAUUUCAAAGAUGAUCAGUCUCAAGGACAAGCGAGGAUUAGGGGAGUGUUAGGAUUUAAACUAAUUCUAUUAAUUAGGGACAAUCCUCCCUUGUAUUUAGCGUACAGUUUGCCUCCAGGCAACCGUCGUGUCGUACAUGCGAGGGCCUCUCGAGGCAACCGUCGCGUCUGCCCCUCCCAUCCCCACGAACAGACGCGUCUUCUCUUGGCGUCGGUUCCCUUUGUAUAAAUGUGUUGAUCAUCAAUGGAAUAGAACACAGUUCGAUCAAUUCGUACUUUCACAGUUUACAUGGUCCUCCUUUUUUGCCGAAAAGGGGUAACAUGUUGAUUUCAAGAUGACACCAAGUACACCAAGUCUUCGCAACAACACAAUUCAAGAGCUACCUACUGUGACGAUGCAUGCACCAAUUUAUUCUUCUAAAUAAUGAUAGAGGCGAGGGUCCCGAUCUUUCGAUGAGAUGAUAACUAUCGAUUUGGUGGAGACGACUUUGACGAUCCGACUACAAACAUGCACGACGUUGCGCCUUAGCAAUCGAUAAACCAACUCCGAGAGGUUAUUGACCACGCCGGAGCACGAUCAACCUGACCACGAAGGUCUAUUCCUGCAAGCAAUCGAAGAACAAGCAAGAAUAUGAUUAAGCAAUCUGAAUAUUGCGAGUAUGGAUGAAGUAUUGAUAAAAAUGGGGUCUCAUAAGCGGUCUCGGUCUGGUCGUUGGACACAAACGAAGUACACGAAGUUGCAGCAAUGUCUAUCUUUUAACUAAAUAAAACCCAAGUCUAAACGAUGCCUUAAGGGCUAUAUUUAUAGGGAAAAGAGAGGGGAUUUUGUCCACCCUUGGCAAGGUGGGACUAAAACACCUCCUAAGUCGUUUCCCCUACAACAUGGACUCUAAAAAUAGAUUACAUGGGCCUGGCCCAAAAUAAGGUGGCGCAACACCAAUAAUAAGCUAUGGACGAAAUUUAUGAAAGGCCAUCUUGUAUAUUUCGUCCAUCUUCUUAUAUGUCAUCAUGGUGGCUUCAAAGUCCGGAAAUCUCCACUUGAACCUCCGUUCUUGUUCUCUUCGCACGCACCUUCACCUCCGUGCUUGACCAUGCUCCAAUGUUCAACCUUCUUGUCCGUGCUAAGCCCUUCAAUUGCAAGCAACACAAAUGUAUCUAAAUUAGGCAGCAUCAUAUUCUCAUGAACACUAGAAACAUUACCAAGAAACGGAAGUACAUGAUAAUUUAAUUGGCGUAUCUGAGCUCUAGCAACUGUUCCAAGAGGUAAAAACAGCAGGGGAUAUGGGUGUAACUAUGACAGCCAUGUCCUCAUCAUCCUCCCCUUCUUGAAAACUAAGCCGUCCUCGGCGUUGAUUAAUCUGAAAUUUGGCUAACAAAAGAGACAAGGUGUACACGUUGUAUAUGUAUAUAUCAUCCAUUUUUACUGAUCUCAGUUGGGGCACAUGUGACACAGUUAUACAAGAGCACCCUUCAAAAGUCGUGAAAUAUAAAGCCAAUAUAUUAUCACAAGAAGUCAAAGGCAUGAAAAUAUUGCAACUCAGUUUGCACAUAUAAGUGAAGCUCUUAUUCAUAUCAAAAGAUUGACAAUGCUUAUCAUUAAACCAUCCCAACAUUGAUGAACUAUCACCAAGAUUAGAGGUCAUAUCAAAAUGAUUAAACAUUGGCACAAUUAUUUUCAAACGUAUUUGAUCCAAAUCUGAUUUAUUCCCUGAUUCACUUGAUUCUUUUGCAUCGAUAGUUAAUUCAAUGGGUUCACUCAAAAUUGUUUGAUCACAUGGCAAAGUCAAAUCAUCAACAUAGUCCUCUAAAAUAGCUGGUGUGAUCAAAGUAGUGGGUAGCUCACCGCAUGGUGCAUUUAAAUUGACAAGACAUUCAUCAUACUCAUGUGGAGGUGGAAGAUUAGUACCUUUGUCAUUACCUCUUAUGAUCAACUCAGAUGAUGUAGGCACUCUCGGUGAUGAUGUGUCACAUGGUGGAGGUGAUGUAGUCCUCACAACGACGCAUGUGGUUUUCAUAGUAUGCCUAGUAGUUGAAGGGACAACCGUAUCAACUCUUGGAAUGUGCAUCUCGCGCUUGUUCUCCUUGUGGGCAACACGUCGUUUUUUUUCCUGUUCAGCUUUGCAAGCAAGAUGAAACAAAUGGUUCAUAGGAUAACACUCUUCAUGAAUUAGUAUCUCCUGAAUGUCACGAUUUAAUCCUCCCCAAAAUCUAUCCAUAAAAUUUUCUUCACUUUCUUCUAAAGAAGAAUGCAGCAAGGUAGUUUGUAAAGUAUCAUAAUAUCUCGUUACGGUGUCAGUACCUUGUUUCAAAUGUUGCAACUUUUUAAUCAUGUCACGAGUAUAAUAAGCGGGAACGAAUGUAUGUCGCAUGGCAAGUUUCAAAUCAUCCCAAGUAGUAGGUAUAUCAUUAGGGUGUAACCGACAAUAUUCACUCCACCAAACUAUAGCAUAACCAGUGAAAGAACCAACCACAACCUUAACUUUUUUACGUUCAUCAAAAUUAUUGAAAGCAAAUAUAUUAUUUAUGUCAAACUCCCAUUCAAUAUAUAAAGCAGGUCUAAAGCGGCCAUUAAAUGGUGGUAUAGAAACAGUAACCUGAUCAUGUGCAUCUAGAUGUUUGUGCACCUCUCGUGACGGAUGUGGUAUUUGCAUAGGUGGUGGAACGUCUCCCGCGAUCGAGAAAGCCCAUGAAUUGACUCUGGAUCCUGUCAUGAUUAUUAGAAACAAGAAACAAAAUCCAAAAAUAAUGUUCCUAUGAACGACCGGGAAGUGGUAGUAAAACGCUCACAGUAUAGCAAAUCAAAGUCUUACAAGUUUUUACCAUGCAGCAGGUGGUGAUCGGCAACCAGCAAUGUCAAAUAACUCCAAAGGUUAGGUAAAACGAUUGCCAGGUGAACGUAUGUAUACACGGUGUAGAAAUAUAUGGAACUGGGUUGGCUUUAUAUAUGUGGAAAAAAAUGCUACAACCACGUUAAUGAAUGCAAGCUGAAAAUUCGUUCAAAGUGGUCGAGUGCUGGUCCUAGGCGAGACUGUAUUAGAGACGCGAACUAAGACACGGAAGGAUUCACGUAAUAACCUGGCGGACGUAUGUGGAUGCAAAAGCAGGAUGCUACCAGAAGAAAUGGACGUACUGGAUAGGUUGACCUGAAAUAGCAGCGAUCAAGACAAACAGUAGGUAAUGUGUAUUCUCUUUUUUUUGCUUUGCUGAAAAUCUAUCUCUCUGUAGUGCUGCACACAACCCACUUCUUUUUCUUUUUCUGCUCUUUCUUUUUUUUUCUAUGAAUGCUGUGUUACUUGCAGCACGAUCUCCAAUGUCAAUGAUUCCCACACCAGCACGUGUGUAUACUCCUCCAACCUGACUUCUCCUGUUUUUUUUAAUUCCUAUGCAAAGUCAACCGUCCAACCGAAUAAAAGAGAGCACGUUUGUUUUUGCUUCGGUCUCCACUUCUCCCAAUUUGCUCUGUAUUUCUUUUUCAAGUCAAACUCUCCAAUGCGUGAGGAUAUUCUGUUUUGUUCUUCCUUUAAUCUCUCUUCCCAAAAAUAACUUCACGUGGAAAAAACCAGCUCUCGUGCCAAACGUGGAAACAGCCACCUCUCCUUGAUUUACGUGCAGACUUCAACAUUUUUUUUUUGCGGGCAAACCGCCCUAGCGAACUCCUCCCAAAACAGCAGCGCACUAUGCCUCUUUUUUUUUUCUUGGCGUGGAUCCGAACAAAAUCUGGUAGGUAUCUUUUCUUGACUUCUUUCCAAACAAACAGAUCUCUUUCCUAUUCCGGGGUUGCCUUCCUUUUUUUUUUGGUAACCGACCUAAUUAUGUUUUUCCUUCUAUUUCUCCAACGAGAUCAUCUAGUCAAGGCAACAAAUAUCCCGUUUCUUUCUUUCCUGUUCUUCAAAACGUCCAAGCAAUCAGCAUGUUAUUUCUUUCCAAACGUGGUCUCUUUUUUUAUGCUCUUUCCAAAAACCAACGUGGCAAAUUAGGAAGGAACCAAAUAGAUAGUAUUCACCUUGGAAACCGAACCCAGAUCUCAACUUCCUUAAAACAAGGACGCUGAUAACUGCCACACGUGUGGUGUAUCGGGUGGUUGUGCCACACGUCCUGUGUGGCACGGAGACGACCCCGCCCGCACGACCGCGUACGGGCGCGCGCAGCCACAGCCCGCACGUCCGGUGCAGCGCGAUCGCCCCCGCACGAGCACGUCCGGACGAGCGAGCACGCGGCCCGCACGACCCGUCUAGGCCGUCGCCCCUCCCCGCCUGCGAGCCACACGCCCCGCGUGUCAGUAACCACGCGUCCUGCCGCGAUUGCCAUGGUCCGGACCUCUUCGGUUGCCAUGUUGCCAUGUUGCUGAACUGCAGUUGCCAUGUUGCCGAACUACAGUUGCCAUGGUUGCUCAACUGCAGUUGCCAUCUUAGGUCAAAAAGUGUAGGAUGCCAUUUUUGGGCAAUUGCAGCUGUUGCCAUGUAUGGUCUGGUCUACUACAGAUACCAUGAUUUGAAAAACUUUAGGAGUUGCCACCUACUAACACGGGACAGUUGCCAUGUAGCACUAAAAAACAUGGCAAAAAACAUGUUUUGAUAAAAAAAGAGUUGCCAUCUGCUCAUGCUCACAAAUAUGGCAGUUGCCAUGUACCCUGAAAAAACAUGGCAACUGAUAGCUUUUGGUGUGUGGGAGAGGAGACGGGCAUGUGGGCGAUGGUGGUACUUUAGGAGUUGCCACCUACUAACACUAGACAGUUGCCAUGUAGCGCUACAAAACAGACGUGGCAACAAUAACAUGUUCGGGGUAAAAAGAGAGUUGCCAUCUGCUCAUGCUCACAAAUAUGGCAGUUGACAUGUACCCUGAAAAAAUAUGGCAAUUGAUAGCUUUUGGUGUGUGGGAGAGGAGACGGGCAUGUGGGCGAUGGUGGUAUCUUUAGGAGUUGCCACCUACUAACACUAGACAGUUGCCAUGUAGCGCUACAAAACAGACGUGGCAACAAUAACAUGUUCGGGGUAAAAAGAGAGUUGCCAUCUGCUCAUGCUCACAAAUAGGGCAGUUGCCAUGUACCCUGCAAAACACAUGGCAACUGAUAGCUUUUGGUGUGUGGGAGAGGAGACGGGCAUGUGGGCGAUGGUGGUAUCUUUAGGAGUUGCCACCUACUAACACUAGACAGUUGCCAUAUAGCCUACAAAACAGACGUGGCAACAAUAACAUGUUUGUGGUAAAAAGAGAGUUGCCAUCUGCUCAUGCUCACAAAAUAGGGCAGUUGCCAUGUACCAUUUCAAAACAUGGCAAAUGACAGCUUGGGUGUCGGAGAGUGGGAGAAUGGGCAGUCGUAGGAGAUGGGGAACAGAAGUGGUGCGCGGCGUGCGGGCGCGACAGCAGUUUCAUCGCACGCCCCGACUGGCGAAAUGUUUACCGCGGAGAGAAACCGGCGUGCGGGCGAAUUCCCUCACACCCACACACACGAGUUGUCCUACGUGGCACACAAAAUCAGCCUUUUCAUGCAGAGAUUCAUGCAAAGGGCGCCGGAUGACGAUGGAGGCGUGUGGGCGAGUUGUCUAACACCCACACGUGUGGGCGUUAGUGUUUUCGUAAAACAAACAAGAGGGGCCACGUGAUUUUCUCCUCUCUUUUUUGCAAACCCAAACGAACUAGUACUCCUUCGUGGGAAACAAGUGUCUUCUGUUCUCAACUUCUUUCUUCCACAAGAUGAAAUAUGCUUCAAGACAACGACGAACUACAACAGCGGAUGGAUGGCGGCAGCGGUGGAAAAAAAUAUGACAAAGGAAGAUGGCGAUGAACAAGAUGAUGGUGUUGGUGAAAGCGGUGUGAACAAAACGUGACUAGAACUCGAAACUCUAACAAUCUAGACACUAAAACCAGCAACUCGAUACACGAUGCAACCGAAAAUUCAACAAUGCAAAAACUAAGUGAUAAUAGCGAAAGGCUCAGACUGUCUGGGACACGGAUGAACUAAUCUACAAUUUUUGUUUUGUUUUUUCUUGGACUCUAGGUAUGAAGAGAUGCAAUGUAGACGACGAAAAACUGGAAAACUCACCGAGCAACCUGAAAACUGAUACCACUUGAUAAAGGCAAGGGUCCCGAUCUUUCGAUGAGAUGAUAACUAUCGAUUUGGUGGAGACGACUUUGACGAUCCGACUACAAACGUGCACGACGUUGCGCCUUAGCAAUCGAUAAACCAACUCCGAGAGAUUAUUGACCACGCCGGAGCACGAUCAACCUGACCACGAAGGUCUAUUCCUGCAAGCAAUCGAAGAACAAGCAAGAAUAUGAUUAAGCAAUCUGAAUAUUGCGAGUAUGGAUGAAGUAUUGAUAAAAAUGGGGUCUCAUAAGCGGUCUCGGUCUGGUCGUUGGACACAAACGAAGUACACGAAGUUGCAGCGAUGGCUAACUUUUAACUAAAUAAAACCCAAGUCUAAACGAUGCCUUAAGGGCUAUAUUUAUAGGGAAAAGAGAGGGGAUUUUGUCCACCCUUGGCAAGGUGGGACUAAAACACCUCCUAAGCCGUUUCCCCUACAACAUGGACUCUAAAAAUAGAUUACAUGGGCCUGGCCCAAAAUAAGGUGGCGCAACACCAAUAAUAAGCUAUGGACGAAAUUUAUGAAAGGCCAUCUUGUAUAUUUCUUCCAUCUUCUUGUAUGUCAUCAUGGUGGCUUCAAAGUCCGGAAAUCUCCACUUGAACCUCCGUUAUUGUUCUCUUCGCACGCACCUUCAUCUCCGUGCUUGACCAUGCUCCAAUGUUCAACCUUCUUGUCCGUGCUAAGCCCUUCAAUUGCAAGCAACACAAAUGUAUCUAAAUUAGGCAGCAUCAUAUUCUCAUGAACACUAGAAACAUUACCAAGAAACGGAAGUACCUGAUAAUUUAAUUGGCGUAUCUGAGCUCUAGCAACUGUUCCAAGAGGUAAAACAGCAGGGGAUAUGGGUGUAACUAUGAUAGCCAUGUCCUCAUCAAAUAAGAUAUAACCUCACCGAAGCAAUCAAUGAACAACAAAACAUCAACAUCAAUCACCACCAUUGGCAACCCGCGAUAAAUAUUCUCCAGCAACGAUGUCUCCAGGAAGGGAAGGACCAGUGUACAAUUACCGUCACAGUACAACCGAUGAAGCUACAUGCUAAGUUUAUUAGUGUUGCAGUACAUGUUUGAGCUUUUUGGUGAACUAUCCAUGAAAAGUACUAUCUCAUUCACCAAAAGCUCCAGCUGAUAGAGAGGGCAAAUCAUUAUACUCUAACAUUCUUCAUCUAUCCAUGAUCCAUUGAAAUUACGGUGUGGGUAUUAGAAGCAAGGUUUUGCGAUUUGAAAGCAAAAUAAUAAUAAUCUAGACCUUAUAGCAAAAUAAGCAGUAAUUGCAAAAUGUUGUUAUUGAGGACUAAAUCCCAGAUAGAGAUGUUUGAAAAUUUCAAGUCCCAGUCCCAAAUUUGUCAAGUAGCAACUAUAACACCUUCUUGCUUUACUUCCUACCUACCACGUCACCAAAAGAAUCAAUUUCUGUCAAUUUAUUUAGAAUCCCAAAACUGUUAAUAUAAUAGGGAGAGCUACACUCAAUUGUCUAGUUAUUCCUUUACUGCAAGUUAUAUGCUUCCAACCAAUUCACGCAUCAGUUCAAUGUUUUUUAUCUCAAGUAAACCAUAACGAUGAAAUAUGCCAUAGUUGAACUAUUAGGUUUUGUGACAAACAACAUAACAGACUUCCUUUGGAAAUCCUUUCUCUCAACUAAGCUAACUUUAUGGUGCUUCUACGCCAGGCACAACUCCCACAAACAAGCUAUGUCACAAUGUGUUCAACCGCCUUUCUAGAAAUCAUUGAAGCAUCAAAUACAAGAUUAUAUGUUCACUGGGGAGAUACUACAUUCAGUUCGUCAGAGUUUGUAUAGCGUUCCUACAUGAAUGCUUUGACUGAUACUAUGUGACAUGCACCGCGUAGUGAAGCCUUGCUACGAAAUGUAGGAAAACACAAACCGAUGGCUAACUAUAUUAGAUGUGAAACAUCAGCCCUCAUUUUUUCUAUCAUAAUAGUGAUUUUACAAACCCCCGACAUGUUGUGUUUGGCGUGUACACUGUAAUAGAUUGAUGGGCCUACCAGAAAAAUAAGACAAUUGCUAGGGAUGUACGCCUUCGUUUUUAUUUACUCCUCAUAUUACCUUUGAUUGAAAUCAAACUUUAUAAAGUUUGACCAAGUUUGUAGGAAACAAUAUGAACAUUUAACAUAAAAAACCUAUAUCACGUGACAAUAUAUUCAAUGAUGAAUCUAAUGGUAUUGAUUUGGUGGUGUAUAUGAAUCUAAUGGGUAUGCAAAAGUACAUACAAGUACAAUGUGAUGUCCAACUGAAUCGUAAAACAUUUGUGAAUUUUGAACCAAAGUUUGUUUGAUUGUACUCCCUCCGUUUCAUAUUAGUUGUCAAGUGGUUUGAGUCAAUGCAAACUUCUUAUAUAAUGCAAGCGCAAUGAAGAAAUUCCAAUAGGACACACCAUUGGGGAUCAAAUAACCACCAUCGCAAACAGUUAUAUGAAAUCCACUGAAUGAAACAGGCCCAACAACUUAGAAAUUCCUUGCAAUAUAUACUCUUACAAGGCUAGCUUUUUUCUCUUAAAAAAGACAAAUGGAGAAAAAUGAGGGAAGAUAACACUUGGCACCCGGUGGGUGAAACACAUCAGAAUACUAUUUCAAAUUAAUCUUUAACCAAAAUCUCAAUACAAAAUACCCCAAGCAUACAACCAAGACCACGCAUGCACCCCAUUGCAUGGCCUCCACACGCCUUGUCGAUAUCCAUGGUGGCAUCUAGCGCCGGCCGGGUGGCACGGAUCCCCCUUCACUCCCUCAGCGUGUGAACGUGGACGCUCCAACCCAACCGUUCCCCGUGUUUAGGAUAAGCUGCCCAGCUCGUCCGCCCUUCUUAUUGCCGCUGCUUCUCAUCUCACACGCUCCAACACCAUCCUCUCCUACACCGAGUAUCCGCCUACGGAGUAGUACUUCCCAAGCUAGCUCGGAACUCCGCCGCAAUGGCCACCGUAUUGAGCAGCCUCCGCUUGCCCUUCUCCGUCUGCCCCGCCGCCCCUUCGGCGCCCAUGGCAUCCCGCGUCGCGCUCCCGCCGUCGUCGACGGCCGCCAGGGGCAUGAGGCUCCGCGCGCAGGCGACGUACAAGGUGAAGCUGAUCACGCCGGAGGGCGAGGUGGACCUCGAGGUCCCCGACGACGUCUACAUCCUCGACCACGCCGAGGAGGAAGGGAUCGACCUGCCCUACUCCUGCCGCGCCGGCUCCUGCUCCUCCUGCGCCGGGAAGGUGGUCUCCGGCCAGCUGGACCAGUCCGACCAGAGCUUCCUCGACGACGACCAGAUCGAGGCGGGGUGGGUGCUCAC